AACAAAUGGGAGUAAGCUUUCUGCCACAGCUGAACCAUUCAACCCAGGAGCUGUCUCCAUGACUCAUCUGCUACACUCUGUAGCAGCCACGAGUAUUUAUGAUCCGAGAACUAGUCAAGGUAUGCUUGCAGAACCUGCUGUACCUUCGGCUGCUGCUAGAGUUCCUUGUGGGCCAAGGUCGCCUCUCUAUUAUAGAAAUAAUUAUUCUUACAUUAUGAAACAUGGAUUUCCAAAAUACCACUCUUCCAUUAUGGAAAGAAACCUGUUGGGGCCUUCAAGAAUCAUGAACCCGCAUGCACCCGAGUUUGUGCCAAUGAGAGGUUGGCAAAUAAAUCCUGGAUAUGCACAUUCAACUGUUUCAAAUGAGUCAAACUCUUCAAAUGACACAAGUGAGGCAGACGAUGAGAAACUUGACAAAAUGUCCAGUAUUCAAGGCGAGGAUAAUACCUCAAGAAAGAGCAGUACAGAGGCGGAGAAGUCAGAGCUGGCAAGACAGAUACUACUUAGCUUCAUUGUAAAGUCAGUCCAGCAUAAUAUGGAUGCUCCAAGUCAUUCUUCAGGCUACGAAAAGAAGAUUGGGUAUUCAGAAAAUUCUUCAGAUGCAAUUGCAAAUGAUAGUGCUAUCAUAAAGAUCCUUUAUGGAAAUGAAAAGGGCAAAACAAACUUGGCAUCUCAGUCCAAUGAUCAAGAACAGCAAAAACCCAAAGAGGAAAACCAAAAAAGUGGGGAUGGUGAAGGAUUUAUAGUUGUCAGAAAACGGAGAAGAAACCGACAGCAGAUCACAAAUGGGGUAACUGAGAUGUACAAUCAUCAAUCCAUCUGUGCUUCUGUUCGUUAAAAGAGAGAGCAAAGCAAUAAAAUGCAAAGGUGCCGUCCUGUUUCUCCCAAUUUUAUUCGAAAAAUUUGUUAGUGAAUGUUACCGUUGUAGAGAUGGUUAAAGUUUGGAGCAAGUUUUAAUCAAUACUUGAUUGUAUCAUUUUAGAUAUCCUCUCUGGAUGUUCUAAUAUAAUAUUUGUACAAAUCGGUUUCUUGUUUUGUUAAGAGAUUUUGUUUUGAUCAAUAAAUGAUGAUAAAUUAAUUGGGCGAUUUUCCUCAUCAAGAGAUCUGUGAUGUUGUUCUAUAAUGGAUUUUAAUGUUUUAGACUGAGAUUUGUAGUUAUGCCUCAAAUUAUUUGGUAUUUGGUUGGUGCGUGUGAACAAUACGUUCGGAAUGGAGUUGAAUUGACCCACUGAUAGAUAGCUUACAUUUGCAGCUGAAGUUGCUGCACUGAUGAUAUUACAACUGACAUGGUAGGCAAAAUUCCUUAUUCAAUUUAAAUUUGCAAUCAACAGAAACUGAAGAAGAAGCCGUAAGUUUAAUCCUAAUGGAUGCAUAGCUGUUUGGAGAAAAGCCAAUGGAGACAUAACAAAGCACGAUAAGUUAUACACGGCAGAACGGUAUGUGCUAGUAAGCACAGUCACCGAUGGAAAACAUAUUUGAAAAGCCAAUAGUAGCAUGUGUCAAUACAUCUAUCAAUGAAAUAGAACCACAGUCUGCGCCAGUACGAGUUUAUCCAAAGUGCUGCAAGUAAACCCAAAAUCACUGACACAUAGGAUGCUCCAAAACUCCAUCUUAAUGCCACCAUGUCAAUCACAGAAUCGCCUUCAUCUUCUCCUCCUCCUGUAGGUGUCGCUGGUGGUGCCAACGCGCUGCUGCAUUUCCUCUUUAUCAUUGAGCCACAAAGAGCCGAAUUACCUUUAUAACUGCUGUCAUCAAAGGUGGCAAACUGCUCUUUGUCCGGGAUUGGGCCGGACAAAUUGUUGUAUGACACGUUGAAGUUUGAUAAAAAGUUGAGCUCAGUUAGUUGAGGAAUUCGGCCACUUAAUUUGUUGCGGGAAAGGUCCAGGCUCUCUAUCAUUUUCAGAUUGGAGAAGCUCUCUGGUAUAGUGCCUGAUAGUAAAUUAUUGGACAGAUUAAGUGCACGAAUAUGUUGAAGAUGCCCAAUUUCCCAUGGAAUUUCUCCACUGAACUCAUUGCUCGACAAAUCCAGUCCAGCCAUGUCGUCGAGAUUGAGACCAAUGAAAAAUUCAUAUCUAUACUUUGUCACAAAUUCUACACCUACUGGUUGAUCUAGUCCACCAUGUAGUUCACCUGGCGGCAGCAGAUGAAGAGUGGAAUUGUAGUAAGUAGAAGCGGAAUCACGAUUAGACAUAGCAAAUUCAUAUUCAAAUGAACCAUCAUCAAUCGCUUCCCUCCCGAAUGAGAUGUUACCCAGGCAUGAAGGUAUCGGCCCAUUAAGUCUGUUAUGUGAAAGAUCCAUGAUACCUAAUUUUCUUAAUUGGCACAACUGAUUAGGAAUACGUCCUUGUAGAGAAUUCCCUCUCAAAAGAAGAAAAUGCAAAUUCGAAAGCUCAUUGAUCUGAUGAGGAAUCCUACCAAAAAAUUUAUUGUCCCUCAAAUCGAGAGUCAAUAAUGUAGAGCUUCUAAGCAAUGCAAUUGGAAUUAACCCAUUAAUUGCAUUGUUAUGCAGAUAAAUGUGCUUCACUGAUGAAAGAUUGGAGAGAGAUACCAUGGACCCAGACAAACCAUUUUCGGAGAUGUCUAUAAACUCAAGACUUUCAAGAUUGCCGAGCUGGACCGGAAUACUACCUUGCAAAUAAUUUUCUGACAUUAAAAGAAGCCAAAGGACUGAGAAGUUGCCAAUCCAGUGGGGAAUAUCGCCGGAUAACUUGUUGUUGGAUACAUCUAAUACAUCCAGCAAAGUGGAGCUCAACAAACCAUCUGCCAUUUUCCCACUGAAAUGAUUGUUGUUCAAACGUAAUGAACUCAAAUGAGUCAAGUUCAUAAAAUUGGGAAAAAGUUGGCCAUAGAAAUUGUUAUUUGAUAGGUCCAACGUUUCUAAGGAGAGGCAACUAGAGAAUAUAGAUCGAGGUAAUUCUCCUGAAAAAUUAUUUCUAGACAAAUCCAAAGUAAUUAGCUCUUUCAUCUCACUGAUUGAAUAAGGAAUAUUACCUUCAAAACUAUUUUUUGACACAUCCAAAUAUAUCAAUUUCUGAAAGACAAUACCCAAAUUCUCUGGUAGCUUACCAGAAAAAUUGUUAGUGGAAAUAUCUAGAUGACGAAGCUUGUCGUAUUUGGCAUUGGGAAGUCGCGGAAGAAUUCCCGAGAAUGAGUUAUUCCACAAAAUCAAAACUUCUAAUCCUGUGUUGUUUUGCAACAACCAAGUUGGGAAAUUGCCAACCAACUGAUUGUGAGAGAGAUCAAGGAAUUUUAAGUGGUGUUGGUGUAAAAGAAAACUACUAUUGACAUUUAAGUGGCAGUGAGAUAAUUGGAGAACCUUGAGAGGAUAUGUGGGGAGCCAGUUUUCGGUUUUCACUUGCAACAUAUCGUUUCCUGACGAGAGUACCAAGACCUCAAGCUUUGAAUGAUUAGCCAAUGAAUUUAUUAAGAAUGUUCCUUGGAAAUCGAUGAAAGAGAGAUCCAAAUAUUCAAGUGAUGUGAGGUUGGUCAAGACAGAAGGAAAGUUUCCACUUAACUGAUUGUAAGAAAUAUCAAGAACUUUAAGAUGGGUCAAGUUGUUGAGACACUGAGGAAGAUGACCCUCAAAAUUAUUUGAGCUUAAAUCCAACUCAAGAAGAUUCUUCAAAUUACAUAUUCCUAAAAGUGAAAAUAAAAAGCUCAGAUUUCAUAAAACGAAAACUAAUUAUAGCACAUUCAAUCAUAAACCCAAUAUAAGACUUAUAAAACGGACAUGAAAUCAAAUUGUCUAAGUAUUUUGGUCAACAUAAAUAAUAAUAGAAUGAUAUGAAUUUAUUUCUCAUAUAAUAUGAUGUUGAUUGCAAAAGCGUUUCAAUUAAUCUAACAAUAAAAAAGAAAAUAAUAAUAAAAAUAUAAAAGCAGUCAGCAAUUCUUGCUCAUCGUAAUCCAUUCAAUAAGCGUUUCAGCAAUUCUCGUUGUUUAAAAUAAUGAUUUUCUGCGGAAGAGUUUGUUGACUUCGUCUUUUUCGUUGGAUAUUGGUUUUCUAAUCUCUAAAUUUGUUGGAUAAUGUAAAGAGAAACUCAUAAUAUAUUGGUUGCUUUCUUAAACUUUAUUUAAUUUCGUCGAAGUACUUCGACCAACAAGUCACUGGGAAGUAGGAAUUGUGUAAUCAGUAAUGCAAAUAUUGGGUGCGUUGGUAUUGUUUUUAUAUGCUGUUUUUUAUUUUUUGAAUUUAGAAAAUAUUAGAUACGUGUUCGGUAGAUUGUUUCUGAAUUUUUUUAAAAAAUAUAAAAUUCAUUCUACACAUUUUAACAAAAGAAAUGAGAAACAACUUUUUCUUAUUUUCCUUAUUUCCCAAUACAAUAUUAAGUUCCAAAAUGAAGAAUUCUCUUUACCUCCUCCUGAAAUAAUAAUAAUAUCAACAUUAUUAUUAUUAUUAUUAUUAUUCUUGUUGUUGUUGUUGUUGUUGUUGUUAUUGUUGUUCUUGUACCCAAAGAAUCAAUUUCCCUCACAAUAAUCUUUUCUUUUUAUAUACAUUAUAAUAUUUAUGUUUUUAUAUUAACUAAAUCAAAUAUGUAGGGUUUAUCAUUUUUCUUUGAACAAAAAAAAUAGAAAGAUCACCUAAUUUAUUCUUAAAAUUAAAAUAAUCAAUAUACAUUGCUUAAUCUUAAGUUUAUGGAAAUUAUUCCAAUAAUAAUUCUUUGAGACAUUCUUACCAAACAUAUUUGUUUUCUCAUUUUUGAGAUUAUUUUUAAAAUGAUACUGAACACAUUUUUAAAUUUUAAAAAUAAAUUUAAAAAUAGCAUUUUCAUUUUUUUUGUGAAAACAACAAUUAGAAAACAAUAUUGGGCUCUUAUUUAUCAUGUUUCAACAUAAAAACACAAUGUAAAUGGUUUAAUAUGGGUUUCUAGAGAAUUUUUUAUAUUACUAUUACUCAAAUUCAAUGCUUCCAAGCUUUUGAAUUUAGCUAAUCUUGCAUCAAGAAUUAAUGAACAUAAGGAAAAAAAAAUUUAUUCAGAACUAUAAAUAUUGAAAUAAAGAUAAAUAUCAUUGUUGAUUUUUUUGUAAAAAAAGAUUUAGAAUUAAGAGAGAGUGAAAGAAAUGAGCGGGUUAUGUCGGAAAUUGGUGAUAGAGUAUGUCAAGUACUAAACUUUGUAUAGAAAGCAGUGCUUCUAAUUUAAAUUUGAUCUAGUUUAAAGCAAUUAAAAAAUGCAAAUAUAUUAUCAUCUUGAUUAACAUCUAAAACAAUUUUUGUCAUUGGAGGAAGUGAGUUGUUAUAUACCUUGAAUUGUAGUUAUCCCACAAGAAUGAAGAUCCAAUGCUUUCAAAUUUGGCAAAUCUGCCAAUCCUACAUGCGCUAAUAAAAAAUGAAAAUAUUACAUUUAAAGGUAUUGUAUGUGAUCUGCACGUUUGAAGAAUAUUAAUUCUUAAUUUGCUUCUUAUCUCAGAUUCAAUGGCUUACCUAGCGUUGUCAAAUUUUGAUUUAAGCUUAAAUCCAACACUUGCAGGUUUGUCAAAUUUGCUAAUCCUAUUAAAAAAAAACAUAAAUUUUGUCAAUAAUAGUUACAUCACUCUCGUCUAAAUUGUUUAAUUAAAAUAAUAUGAUAAAUAUUAAAUGAAAAUUAAUUGUGCAAAUUGUUUAAUUAAAAAAAUUGCCUUCUAAAGAACUGUGUAUAUAAUAAUUAUAACUCAAAUCCAACGUUUCCAAGCUUUUUAAUUUAGCUAAUCCUGCACCAAGAAAGAAGAAAACUUUUAUUAAUCAUCUUUGGAAAAAAAAAAAGAAUUAAGAUUAAGAAACAAAUUUCAAAGUUAGAUUAAAUAAUUGUAGUAAUAAAGCUUAUGAUGAUUAAGAUAUAAUUAAAUUGAUCAUAUACUCAAAAAUGAUUUUAUUUUAUUUUAUUUUUUAAUUUUACUAAGAAAUUAGAAAGUAAAUUUUUGUCGUGUACCAAUUAUAGUCAAGUUUGUCAAGUUUUCCAGUCAAAAAUUGCUUUUAAUUUGACAUUAUACAUAUGUAAAAAUUAAAGCCAUAAUAAUAUCACAAGGAAUUUGGGUAGUGACUUGUUGCCGUGUACCUUGAAGUGUAGUUAUUCCACAACUACCAAGAUCCAAUUCUUUCAGGUCUGUCAAAGAUAAUCCUAUACCAACGAAAAGCAAACUAUUACUUUUAAAAUUAUUGUAGAAGGUUGUGAUUAGUGUGCUAACUUGGUAGUUAUCUCAGUAGCCUACCUAGCCUUGUUAAAGAGCCACUAGUUAUAUUGCGGUUCCCGCUUAGAUCCAACACUUGCAAGUAUCUCAAAUUUGCUAAUCCUGCUUAGAAAACAUUAAUUUUGAUCAAGACAAUAUAAAUAUAUAUUUUAAUUAAUAAAUUAAUUAAGUUGCCUGACAUGUAUAUCUGCUGGCUUGAAACGUAUAUGUAUACCUUGCUUGGUUCUGGAACCUUCAAUCUUAUUGUAACGAAGAUUCAGAGUGGUAAGUGAAGUUAGUGUAUUCAAAUAUGGUAAUAUGCUGUCGAUGAAGAAAUUAAAACCAAGAUUUAAGAUCUUUAGCUGCUUCAAACUCCCAAAGCUAUCGUAAGCUGCAAAUGCAUAUGAAGUGUUAUUUUUAAUUAGUCACUGACAAAAUAUUUAUGGACGAGAAAUAAAUGUAUACAUAUAUACGGACCUCUAUUCUCACAGAAGCCUGUAAACCCAUUCCCAGGUAAGUCGAGCCUUUGCAAUUCUUUGAAAGGAUGAAACAAUGACAUAUUCAGAAGCGAAGCCGAAGUUCCAUCAUAAUAAUUCAAUCUCUUUGUAUAAUUGAGUGAGAGUUGCAUCACGCGUCGUGUGGUGGCGUUGCACAUAACUCCCUCCCAAUCAUCACAACAAUCAGACGGCAUUCCAUCAUCCUCACCAACCCAUGAAGGAAGAAUUUUGUCAUCAUAUCCAAUAUCACUGACUAAUGAUAUGAAGAAGCUCUUGAUUUCCAACAGAGCAGUCCUCUCUGUUUCCAAGCAUCCUUUGUAUCCAUGAAUUUCAUCCAUCGAUACAAUAAUCCAAAUUAGUGACAUUAAUGAGAACUUAAUACAGGAAGUACUUUCCAUUGUAGAGCAACUUUUCAUUUGGUUAAAAUUAAAUGUGCAAUGAGCAACUUUCCAUUGCAGAGCAAUUUAUACUAAAAGUUUAUCGUAGGUCUUGCAAUUUGAUUGGCUGAAGACUUUUUUAAGACUUUCCAAUACAUUGCCAUCUUUGAAGACUUGUAAGCACUUCAUUAAUACCCCGUGGAAAAUAUAGAUAAAGUGAUUGUAAACUAUAAAUUUUUGUAAUAGUUUGAUGGAGAUAAUCAUAACUAAUAAAAAAAAAGUUGACCGAGAGAAUUUAAAUAAUUCAACCAUAUGUUUGGAUUUCCAUUGCAUUAUCAGUCAAUCUAUUAAAUAAUGUGUUUUGAGAAGAAUUUGAUUGGAUGUUUGAUAAGUUUAAAUUAAUUUAUUAGAAAAUCAAUAAUUAAUCAACAUAAAUCUUCGUAUAUGUUUAGUUAGUGUGGCGUUGUCUGAAAUGACAAAAAACAUAAAUGUUAUUUGAAGCUCUUGUGACCCUUUGUGUUCAUGCAUUUGAAUCAAAGCUGUACUAAAAUCAAAGAUAUUGGGCAUCCUUAAUAAGGAAAGUUUCCAUUGCUCUCAGUCUGCACUCUUCAUUACUAUUGCAAUCACUUGAAAUGACUAAAACAGAAAUUUCGUAUGAACUUGGGACAGCUGCACGGGUCCAAUUUAAAUGACAACUACGUGGAAAAUAAAAAUUUUGCAUAUAUUAUUACAACUACGUGGAAAAUUAAAGUUGACUGACUUUCAAAUUAAGCCAACAAACAAGUGGCCAUCAACUCUUUUUCCACUAACAAUUAGUGGCGACGGUCAAUACUAUAAAAUAAAAGUUGACUAAGAAUUUAUGUAAUUUAAGAGUAUGAUUGGCCUUUUAUUGAAUAUUAUGAUUGGGUUUGCACUGAAUUAUCAAAAAAUCUAUUCAACGAUUUAUAUUCUAAAAUAUUUAGUGAGUUUAGAAAAUUAUUUUAUUAGAUUUUUGUUAAUUUUUUUUAUUAUUAUUAGAUGGCCAACAAUUAAUCAAGUAAUUUUCCAUAUAUAUUUGAUAAUUUACUCAUAAAAGCGUGGACUACAUUCAAAUGGCAUUUUAUAUGAUGUGUGAUAUAUGUAGAGGUGAAAUUUAAAUAGGCUUAAUUUUAUAAAUAAAUACAUAUGUAUUGCAGCAUUCAAUCAUUGUGUUAAAGCGCCAAUCACGGUGACCACCAAAACCUAUGAAUGAUUAGUCCAUCGAAACCCAAUGUAUGCUCAAUUAAUAUUUCCUAUCAAGAUCAAAUUUUUCGCUCUAUUGCUUCAACAAUCAUGAGCAUAAAAGCUCGAUUUAUACAAAAAUUACGAAUUUAUGAAAAAAAAAAGUCACAUUUAUUAUAAUAUGAAGUUUGAUUGAUUUUUAAAGAUUGAUUCAAUCAAUCUUAAUGUUACUGGACAAUCGAUCUUAAUGUUAAUUCAAAAUCAAUCUUUAUUUCGAUGGGCACAGAUAAAGAUAAUUAGUUUUGGUCUCUAUAAUGACUGACGAAGACUUGUAGGACCUGGACCAAUGAGGAAAAACACUUUCAAAUUAAGCCAACAUACAAAUGGUCGUCAAUUCUAUUUUUUACAAAAAUUGAUGGAGAUAGUCAACUAAUAAAAUAAAAGUUGAUUGAGAUAAUUUAAAGAAUGUAGGCAUAAGUUUGGCUUUUAAAUUGUCAAAUAAUUUAUUCCACUAUUGAUACUUAAAAAAGUGCUUUGGAAUUAAUAAUUCAAUAGGGUGUUUGAUAUAUUGGAAUUCGUGAAAAUCAAUAAUCAACUAUUUUUUAUACAUGUUUAGAAAUUUAUCCGGUGUGUAUAGGGGCUUGUAUAUUUCACAAUAAACAUGAAUUAGUACAUCCAUUGAUUGACGUAUAAUUAUAAUCAUAUAAUCAAACACGCACACUACAAGGCGACCUUCGAUUGACGUAUUCUGUGAACUAACCCGUGGGAGAUGGAGGAUGUCUUAACGUUAUAAAAAAAAAUUGAUGAAUAAUAUAGUUCCAGGCAGUGCUAAAACCAUAAUGUACGCCAGUAUGAGUUUAUCCAAAGUCACCGGCUACACCAAUAUCAUUGUGACAUAGUAACAUUCUUGUCCCAUUGAGUGAGAGUUGCAUCACCCGUCGUGUGGUGGCGUUGCACUCAACUCCCUCCCAGUCAUCACAACAAUCAGACGGCAUUCCAUCAUCAACCCAUGAAGUAAGAAUAACGUCUUCAUAUUCCCUAUCACUGAUUGAUAUAAAGAAGCUCUUGAGUUCCAACAGAGCAGUCCUCUCUGUUUGCAAGCAUGCUUUGUCUCCAUGCAUUUCAUUCAUCAAAAUAAUAAUCCAUAUUAGUGAAAUUAAUGAGAACUUGACAAAGGAAGUACUUUCCAUUGCAAAGCAACUUUUCAAUUGGUUAAUAUAAAAUUUGCAACGAGGAAACUUCGAUAUUUAUACUAAACAUUUAUCAUCAUGGACCUUGCAAUUUGAUUGGCUGAAGAUUUCCAACCACCCAACCUAACGAAAAUGAAACAUCUUAGAGAUAUCAAGUAAUAAAAAUACUUGAUUAUCUUAUUUUUGUUUUAGAGGGUUAUUAAAGACAAAACAUUGUCAAUACAUUAUAACAUCGCUAUCUUGAAGUCUUUGUCUUUUAGUGAAGACUUGUAAGCUUGAAAUUACAUAUAUAUUGCAACAUCGACCCAGGAGAAAAAGAACUUCACUAAUACUCCGUGAAAAAUAAAAUUAAAGUUCACUGACUCUCGAAUUACGCCAACAAACAAGCGAGUGCAAACUAUAUUUUCUCCAACAGUUUGAUGGAGAUAGUCGUAACUAAUAAAAUAAAAGUUGUGUGAAAGAGUUUAAAUAAUUUAUCCGUAUAUUUGGGAUUACAUUGGAUUAUCAGUUAAUCUAUUAAAUAAUAUGUUUUGUAAAGAAUUUGAUUGGAUGUUUGAUAAGUUUAAUUUAGUAGUUUAAUUACUCAUAAAAGUGUGAUGUACUCUAAAAUGACAAACACAUAAAUGUUAUUUGAAGCUUUUGUGACCCUUCAUGUUCAUGCAUUUGAAUCAAAGCUAUUAAAAUCAAAUAUAUUGAUAAACCUUAAUAAGGAAAUUAAGUUUCGAUUGCUCUCAAUCUGCAACUCGACUACUAUUACAAUCACUUGAAAUGACAAAAACAGAAAUUUCAUAUGAACUUGGGACAGAUGUACACGGGUUCAAUUUAGCUAAUUUCCCAUAUAUUUACAACUACGUACGGGGAAAAUUAAAGCUGAUUGACUUUCAAAUUAAGCAACAAACAAGUGGCUGUCUACUAUUUUUCCUCUACCAAUUGAUGGAGACCGCCGAUGCUAUAAAACAAAAAUUGAUUAAGAAUUUAGAUAAGGAAAAUUAUCAACUGUCCGUCUUAAGUUUAUCAUUUAUUCAUUUUUCGCCUUAAGUUUACAAUUCGUAUUAGUCAUCUACUAAAAAGAUAGAAUUACACUUAUGAAAUGACAAUACAUAAAUAAAUACAAAUGGCAAUAGUGGUAAUUUUGUAUGAAUUUUUCUAUUCUUUUGGCGGUUGGUUGAUACAAAUUAAAAACAUAAGAAGAAAAAUAAAUAAAUUCAAUCUUUUUAGUAUUUCUGAUAGUAGGUUAAACCAAAGGAGGAGGGCUUUAUAAUUUCCCUUUAAAUAAUUUAAGGGUGUGAUUGCGUUUCUAUUGAAUUGUACGCUUGGAUUUGCAUUGAAUUAUCAAAAAAUCUAUGCAAGCAUCGAAUUGUAAUGACUGACGAAGACUUAUAAGGCUUGGACCAAUGAAGAAAAAUGCUUCAUUAAUGCUCCGUGGAAAACAAGCCAGCUUGGAAGCAGUUGAUCGGAUGGUCAACAGUUGAUUGAGAUAGUCAACUAAUAAAAUAAAAGUUAGUUGAGAUAAUUUUAAUAAUUUAAGCGUCGUUUGGGUUUCAAAUAUCAAAUAAUUUAUUCCAGUAUUGAGAAGAGUUGAAUUCCGUUAUUUUAUUGAGAAGAGAUCCAUCGCUCCCUCCCAAUUAUCACAGCAAUCAGACGACAUUCCUUCAUCACCGUCAAACCAUGAACUAAGAGCUUCGUCAUCGUAUCCAAUAUCACUGCUGCUGAUAUGAAGAAGCUUUUGAUUUCUAACAGAGCAGUCCUCUCAGUUUCCAAGCAAGCUUUGCAUCCAUGCAUUUCAUCCAAAACGACAAUCCAAAGUAGUGAGGUUAAUGAGAACUUAAUGAAGGAAGUACUUCCAUUGCAAAACAGCUUUUUAUUUGGCUAAAGUUAAAUGUGAAUUAAAUAUCUUUGACUGGUGAUAUACAUAUAUUCAGAGAUUUGAAGUGCUCAAACCAAAAACAAAUAAAAAUAUAAAAAUAUUAUUAUAAAAAAAUUGAUGAAUAAUAUAGUUCCAGGAAGUGCUAAUAUGGCUCUUUGAACUCUCUUUACAGUAUUGGUAGAAAUUUAUCCGAUGUGUACAAGGGCUUGUAUAUUUUGCAAUAAAAUAUACGAGCCAAUAUGAAUUUCUUUCUUUCUUUCUCUCUCUUUUUUUUUUUAAGUUUCUCUCUCUUUUUUUUUUUAAGAAACAUGAAUUGGUUCGUCCAUCAAUUAAUAAUAAAACCAUAAUGUACACCGGUAUGAGUUUAUCUAAAAUCACCGGCCACACCAAUAUCAUUGUGACAUAGGAAGCGAUGAGGAAAUUUACGAAAUAUUUAUUAAACCAUAGUCUACGCCAGUAAGAUGGAAUUAGCAUUCAAUGAUCAUAGACUUUCUGCAAUUUCAUUGACUUGUGAUCAGGGAGUCCUUAUUCUACAAUAAUUAUAAUCAAACACGCACACUGCAAGGCAACCUUCAAUUGACGUAUUCUGUCAACUAACUGGGGACAGGGGUCAUAAAAGGGUACGUGAGAGAAAGCACGAGUCUAUGCACAGUUCCGGUUUUGCUAGUUGAUGGAACAUGGAGGAUGUGUGUUAACGUUAACCAAUAGUCAAGUUUAUGAACACAACCAAGUAAUCGUAUCAUCAAUCAGAACCACAUUCGACGCACGACUAGUAAAUAUCAUAAUUGAGUUUGAGGACCACAACCGCACAGUGAAAGAAUUUGAAUGAAGGAAAAGUAAAAGAAAAGGAAAAGGAAAAGAGGGGAAUGCUAAAGAAAAAUAAGUUGAUUCAUCAGUUAUUCAAUAUGACAAUUGCACACAAAUUUUGGAUGUUUUUAGCCUCCAUGUGAAUCAAAAUAAUUAAUAGAGACUAUCCCGCGUGUCACAUGUAACUAACUUUGGCGCCAUCUUGAGCUACUUCUGUUAAGGUCUUCACUCCAUAGUCUUAAGAACACAAUGCACAAUCAAUUCUUCAGAUUCAUAUGGCAAAUGAAUUACUCAUAAAAGAAAGAUAAAGUAAACUAUGGCCUGGUACUGUCGUUUUAUGCGUUCUAGUGGUGUUGUAGUAUAAACAGUACUCGUUUUUCUAUCUUGGUGGUUUCUUGAUUGUGUUCAAAUAUCAAUACUCGGAGACAGAUAGAGGAAAGCUAAAGAAAAAUAAGCUAAUUCAUCACUAACAUAAUAUGACAAUUGCACGCAACUUUUGGAUGUUUUUAGUCACUGAAAUUUUUAACAUUAAUGAUUAAUUACAAGUAUGUGAAUGAAAACUUAUAAACAAAUUUUGUUUACAGGAAAAAUGUAACUGUGAAAGAAAGUAAAAGAGAGCAGAGAGACUAAAACCAGAGGAUUUCAUUCGUCAUUUCAUAACUAUAUUCCUAGUGCAACUGCGCAAGGUUGAGCAUUCAAAGUCCAUAAUUCUAAAUCAAAAUCACCAACAGACACCUGUACAUGAAAUACUCAGGCCUUUACUCUGGACUUAAGACCGCAUGUCUGAGAAAUUCGUCAGAUUCAUGUAGCAAAUGAAUUGCACAAGGAGGCAUAAAAAUUAGUAUAUUUUUCAAGGACCCAGCUUGAAAGCAAUGAACUAAAAAUUAAUACAUAAAAGUUCAAUUACACGUAAAGAAGGAUAAUAGUAAACUAUGGCCUAGCAAGAUGACGGAUGAAAGAAAACCAUGGCCAGCGCCAAUACGAAUUCAACCAAAGGAUUCAUCUUAAUUGCAGAUUCAUCUUCGUCUUCUCCUCGAUUGGAUGUUAUUGCUGGAUUUUCCUAUGUUCUGGUGCAAGUCUUAUUAAUUGUUGGACCACAAAGACCGAGAUUAUAACUCUUUUCAUCAAACCUGCCAAAUUGUUUUUUGUCUGGGAUCAGACCGGACAAGUUCUUAUAUGACUCGUUAAAGUUGGAUAAAUAGUUGAUUAUUGAUCAGAAGAUCACUAAUCAGAAAAUUUUUCAUUUAUGUUUGUGUAAAUUAUUCAUAAAAGUAUGGUCUACUCUGAAAUUACAAAAAUAAACAUAAUAAAUUUGAAUAAAGGAAAGGAAAAUGAGAAGCAAAACAGAGGAAUGCUAAGGAUAAAUAAGCUGAUUCAUCAGUAACUCAAUAUGGCGAUUGCACACAACUUUUGGAUGUUUUUAGCCUCUGAAAUUUCAAUAUGAAUGAUACAUUACAAAUAUGUGAAGCAAAACUUAGAAACCAAUUUUUGCUUACAGAGAAAAUGUUAAAAAACAAAUAAUGAUAAAAGAGUGCAGAGAAACUAAAAACAGAGGAUUUCACGGAUCAUAAUUUAUAAGUGAUAUUCCUAGUGCAAGGCUGAACAUAAAUCUUAGGUGUGCGAAUCAAGAUCAUUAACGAAGAGAUCACGCGUGUCCCAUGUAACUAACUUUGGCGUGAUGUAGGAUGGUUGCAUAGAAUGAGUAGGGUAUCUUUCAAAUGUCAUAACUUGGGCUACAAGUGUAACUAACAACGACGAUGCUCAAGUUUGGUUAUCGUCGAUGACUGCGGAUUGAUGUUCGUAGCUCCUCCUAUAUCAAGGAAAUGUCAUAAUUACUUUCCAAACAUAAGAAAUACAACUAUUUUAUGUGAUAUGAUUCACAAUAAAUAUUUAUCCCAUAGCUUAUAACUCUCGAAUCCAUUAUUUGUAAAUAAAAAUUACCCUAAUACUCUCAAAACCAUCAAUUGCACCUUAUGCUCAAAAUUUCAUAUUCCAGCUCAAUAAUUAAAUUUCCAUAUCCUAUAAUACUAAUAAAUCAGCCACAUUAUCGCCAAUCUCAUUAUUAGCCAUGAACUACCCAAACAUAAUAUAUAACAAUAAGCUAUUUACAUACCGAAUUGAGGAAAUAGUGAGCGCUACACAUUUUGGCUCUAAUGCCUUGGUGCCCUUGUGCACCUAAAAUGAUCCACCAAUUACUAAAAUUAGCUUGGGACUGACUACACCCAUUUGUUGGGAACCCUAACUAUAAAUAAAGUACACUAAUCUUUGAAUUAUUUUCAUUUUCAUGUAAAUGCAAUUUCAGGUAAAGAUAAAAUGAUAGAAAUCUUACUUCAUUUGGUAAGAAAUUCAACUUGAAAGCUUGAAUCCCUUCCCUCUCACUGAAAUCCUUUCUCUACACUUCCUACAUUUAAAUUCCUCUCCAAUGAAUUUCCAAAUGAACUUAGGGAUAAAAAUACUCUAGAAUGACUCUCGAAUCCAAGUUGUGCAAGACCAAACUCAAUUUUGGAAAAAUCCUAAAUCAUGAAAAUUUUCCCAUUGUCUUCCUCUCAUGCCCGUGAGCUUUUGCAAAGCAAUGGUAAGUGCUUUCUUUUUUAAUUCGCUUUAUAUAUAAAACUUAUUUUAUUUUUUUGUUUAUGGGCUUUUGAAAUAUCCAUUUAGGCCCAAUUAAAGAAAAUUAAUUUAUAUACAUUCGUAUUCAUAAGUUAUUAUUAAUAACUUGUAUAUACAAGUCAGGGCAGUACGCAAAUUUACUGAAUACAGAGUAAAGUUGUACUUUAAUUGGUGAACUCUGAAGGCACCAAUUAUAACAUCCAUUUCUAGCAUAUAUAUAUAUAUAUAUAUAUAUAUAUCAUGGAAAUCUGACAUGCUUAUACAGAUCACAUACAGGAUUCAGAGAUGAAGGGCAGCAAAGAUUGAUAAUUUUUGUUUUCCCCAAUCACCUUGAACAGAGUGAGAAGAAACCAUUAUUUCUAUAUGUGCAGUUCUUCCAUCCUAUUGUUAUUUAAUGGUUGUUAAAUAUAUAUUUGCAACCAACAGAAACUGCAGAAGAAACAGUAAGUCUAAUUUUAACGAAACCGCUCGAAGGAACUUCAAAACAUGAGCAUAGUUUUAGAACCAAAUUAAGAAUUUUAGCAAACACAUACACUGAUACAUAGCAGUUUGCAGAAAAGCUAACGGAAUACGUAACACAGCAUGACAAGUUAUACUCGCAGACCCGUAGGAACUUACUACAAUGGCCUAGCACAAUCACCGAUAGAAUGCAUAUUUGAAGAGCCAAUAGUAGCAUGUGUCAAUACAUUCAUCAAUGAAAUAGAACCACCGUCUACGCCAAUAGGAGUUUAUCCAAAGGACUGCAAACAAACCCAAAAUAACUGUCACAAAGGACGCGCCAAAACUCCAUUUUAAUGCCACCAUAUCAAUCAUCGAAUCGUCUUCUUCUUCUUCUGCUCCUUCUGUUGGUGUUGCUGGUGGUUUUAAUGCACUGCUGCAUUUCUUCCUUAUCAAGGAACCACAAAGCUCUGCUUCUACUGUUUGAUUUAUUGAGGCAUGUGGUUCAGUGGGCGGUUGAAGAUUAAGAGUAGAAUUGUAGAAAGUAGUAGCAAUAGAAUCGAUGUAGAAACCCUGAUACGCUGUGUAUUCAUCAAGCAAACCAUAGUCAUACAAAUAAUAAUUAGUUCAUUCUCUCCAGAAUGACACGUUACCCAAGCAUGAAGGUAUUGACCCACUAAAUAUGUUAUUUGAAAGAUCCAUGAUACGUAAUUUUGCUAACUGGCACAAUUCAUUAGGAAUAUGUCCUUGUAGAGAAUUCCCUCUUAAAAGAAGAACAUGCAAAUUCGAAAGCUCAUUGAUCUGAUAAGGAAUCCUACCAAAGAAUUUAUUAUCCCUCAAAUCUAGAGUGAUUAAUUUAGAGCUUCUAAACAAUGCAUUAGGAAUUUACCCAGUAAUAGCAUUCUUCUGCAAAUAAAGGUGUUUCACUGAUGAAAGAUUAAAGGAAGAUACCAUGGUCCCAGACAAACUAUUUUCAAAGAUGUCUAUAAGCUCAAGACUUUUAAGGUGGUUGAGUUGGACUGGAAUAUUAGCUUCCAAAUAAUUUUUUGACAUUAAAAGAACCCUAAGAGUUGAGAUGUUACCAAUCCAAUUAGGAAUAUUACCGGAUAUAUCUAACCCCUCUAAUGAAGUGGAGCUCCUCAAACCAUCAUCCAUCUUCCCACUGAAAUGAUUGUUGUCAAAAAUAAAUAAUUCAAAUGGGUCAAGUUCAUAUAUUUGGGAAAAAUUCGGCCAUAGAAAUUGUUAUUUGAUAGGUCUAACAAAUCUAGAGCGACGCAACCAGAGACUAUCGGUCAGGGUAAUUCUCCCAAAAAAUUAUUUCUAGAAAAAUCCAGCAUAUAUAACUCUUUCAUCUCACCUGUUGAAUAAGGAAUAUCACCUUCAAAAAUAUUUUUUGACAUAUCCAAAUAAAUCAAUUUCUGAAGGACAAUACCCAUAUUCCGUGGUAGCUUACCAGCGAAAUUGUUAUUGGAAAUAUCUAGAUGACGAAGCAUAUCGUGUUUGGCAUUGGGAUGUAGAUGAAGAAUUCCUGAGAGUGAGUUGUUCGCCAAAGACAAAUAGUUUUAUCUUGUGUUGUUUUGGAACAACCAAAUUGGGAAAUUGCCAACCAACUUAUUAUGAGAGAGGUCAAGGAAUUUUAAGUGGUCCUGUUGUAAAAGAAAACUUGGAAUGACAUGUAACUGGCAGUCGGAUAAUUUGAGAACCUUCAAUUGAGAUGUCGGGUGCCAGCUUUCGGUUUUCACUUGUAACAUAUUGCUUCCUGAUGAGAGUAACAAGACCUCGAGCUUUGAAUGAUUAGCCAAUGAAUUUAUUGAGAAUGUUCCUCGGAAAUUAAUGGAAGAGAGAUCCAAAUAUUCAAGUGAUGUGAAGUUGGUCAAGGUAGAAGGAAAGUUUCCACUUAAUUGAUUAUUAGAAAUAUCAAGAACUUUGAGAUGGGUCAAGUUAUUGAGACACUGAGGAAGGUGACCCUCAAAGUUAUUUGAGCUCAGAUCCUACUCAAAAAGAUUCCUCAAAUUACAUAUUUCUGAACCUGAAAAUAAAAGAUCAAAAUUUUAUAGAAUGGAAACUAAUCAUAGCGAAUUCGGUCAUAAUCCAAUACAAGACUUAAAAAACAGACAAAAAUCAAAUUGCCUAAUUAUUUUGGUCAGCACAAAUAAUAAUAGAGUAAUGUGAACUUAUUUCUCAUAUAAUAUGAUGUUGAUUGCAAAUGCGUUUCAAUAAUCUGAAAAAAGGGAAAAAAAAUGCCCUCAGCACUUUUUGCUUAUCAUAACCCUAAGUCCUUGUUUAUAAUUAUAAUUUUCUGAGGAAGAAUUUGUUCACGUGAUGUUGUUCAUUGGACAAUGGUUCUGUAACCUCUAUAAUGUAAAGAGAAACUCAUAAUAUUUUAGUUGUCUUCUUAAAUAAUAAAUUGUCUUAAAAUACAAUUAAUUUGUCUUAAAUUUAAUUUAUUCCUCAGCAUUCAAGGAAAAACAAAAACAAAAAAAAAAGAAAAAGAAAAAAGAAAUGGUCUUCAUAUAUAAUUCUGUCCAAGUACUUUGAUACACAAAUCAAUCGGAAGGUGGUGUAUCAGUAAUGCAAAUAUUUAAUUAUCAUGUUUCAACAUAACAAUUCUGUGUAAAUUGUUCGCUUUAGGUUUCUAGAGAACUGUUUAUAUUAUUAUUACUACUCAAAUUCAAUGCUUCCAAGUAUUUGAAUUUAAUUAGCUAAUCCUGUAUCAAGAAUUAAUGAACAUAAGAUAAAUGUCAUAUUAAUUAGAUUUAGAUUUUUUUUUUCCAGUUUUGACGUAUAGAUAUAAAUAAUACUUCAAAAGCAUUGAAAUGUAAGAGCUAUUAAAAAAUCGUUUUUCAUUCAAAGCUAUAAUUAAUGAAAUGAAGAUAGAUAUCAUUGUUCAUUUAAAAAAAAUUAAAUUCAGAAAAAAGAAAGAGCGAAAGAAAUGAGCAGGUUAUGUUAAUAAAUAGUGAGAGAGUAUGUCAAGGACUAAAAUUUAUUAAAGAAAGCAGUGGUUCUAAUUCAAAUUUGAUCAAGUUAGAAGUAGUCAAUUAUGCAUCGAGAAUCAAAAGAAUGAAGAAUGGGAAUUCAAAAUUAGCUUAAAAAUUAUAAUAAAGUGAUUAGUUAAGAUUCAAUUAAGCUGAUUUACUAAAAAAUAUUGAAAAAUAAAAGACCACAACAUUGCCAAAAAGACUAGGAAAUUAAGUAGGAAGGGGUGAUUGUUGCGGAAUACCUUGUAGUUAUUCCACAACCACGAAGACCAAUUGCUUUCAAGUAUUGCAAAUAUGCCAAUCCUACAUCAAUAAAAAGCAAAAUGUUACUUUAAAAUUAUUGUAGAAGACUGUGAUCAUUGUGAUAGAUCGGUAAUUUCAGUAGCUUACCUAGGCUUCUUAAAGAGCCGCUUGUUAGAUUGAGGUUCCAGGUUAGAUCCAACACUUGCAAGUUUCUCAAAUCUGCUAAUCCUGCUCAGUAAACAUUAAUUUUGAUAAAAACAAUAUGCAUAAAUAUUUUAAGAGAUUAACUUGCCUGGCAUGCAUUUCUGCCUCAAACAUAUUUACCGUGCUUGAUUCUGGAACCUUCAAUGUUAUUGGAACGAAGAUUCAGAGUGGUAAGUGAAGUUAGUGUAUUCAAAUAUGGUAAUAUGUUGUCGUUGAAGAAAUUACCACCAAGAUUUAAGAUCUUCAGCUGUUUCAAACUCCCAAAGCUGUCGUAAGCUGCAAAUGCAUAUGAAUUAUUAUCAUUAAUUAGUCACUGACAAAAUAAUUAUGAAUGAGUAAGAGAUACAUAUGCUUGUACCUUUAUUCUUAUAGAAGCCUUUAAACCAAUUUAUCAGAUAAGUCAAGGCGCUGCAGUUCUUCAAAAGGGUGAAAUAAUAAUGACAUAUUCAGAAAAGAAACUCCAUAAGAAUAAGAGUUAUAAUCAGAGUAGUUGAUUUUUGUUUUCUGAUUGAGUGAGAGUUGCGUCACCCGUAGGGUGGUGGCGUUGCACUUAACUCCCUCCCAGUCGUUGCAACAAUCAGACGACAUUCCAUCAUCAUCAAACCAUGAAGAAAGAAUUUCGUCAUCAAAUCCAACAUCACUGGCUGAUAUGAAGAAGCUCUUGAUUUCCAACAGAGCAAUCCUCUUCGUUUCCACGCAUGCUUUGUAUCCAUGUAACUGAAUCAAAGCCAUGCCAAUCCACAAUGACAACUUCAUCAAAAGCAUUUUCAUUUUUAAUAUUAACUGCUAGAGAAACACUCACAAGAUUGACCUGUCAAUUGUUGCUCUCUUGAAUUUUUUCUGGUUCCAUAGCAAAUAUAUGACUUAUAUAUAUACAAUGGAAAUUUUGCGCAGAAUGAAAAUUUUGCACAUUUUCACGUGCCAUGUCAAUGAGAAAACAUGCAUGGAUAGAAAAAAGUAGGUGAGAGAAUGUUACCUGUUGAUACAUGUUAUCUGCUUGUGACUUUAGUACCGUCCAAAGAAAUUGAAAUGUGAAAUAAUUGAAGAUGCAAAUUGGUUGAUUUCACGGGCCUGGCCUCUGGCAAAGUGAAAUGUUGGCCACGCACUAUACCAGUAAAGUGUCAACAUUGUAGCAUAAGGAAAUUGCGGCAUCUCAGCUGGAUUUUGAGAGUCACUAUUUCGUAUAAUCAGUCCCAUUUGUUCGUGGGGACUCACAUUCUGUCCUAUUGUGGACUCACAAAUAUUUAACAUGAUUUUGAUAUUUUGAUAACUACUUAAACCGCAUUUCCUUGAUAAUUAAAGAAAAAGAGAAGUGAAUGAAGCAAAAGAUACUGAUGACCAUAAUUAUGUAAAUAAAUACAAGACUUUACAAUAGAUUAGACCACCAAUUUGUGCUUUUUCGUCCAAAAAUAAUGCAUCUGCUUUAACAAGAUACGAGUGAAUUGGGGCAUAUCUUUCUUUCAUAAUGUAAACUUGCCAAAAUACAUGUAAUCUGCUGGUGAAAUAAUUUUAUAAAACAAAGGCUUAAAGUUAAAGCUGACUAAAAAUAUUGGUGUACGUCAAGAACGCUACGGGGAAAAUUUAACCGCGAGCUGCAGUCUGCAGUCCCCAGCAAUCCGGGAAAAGGCUGAGGUGGUGCGGGCCUGCCCACUAAUUUGGCAGGUCUGAUGGGAUUUAUAAAUAAAAAUAAUGUAAUUUUAUAUAUUUUUUAAAUAAAAAAUUUGUUGAUGCCGUUGUGAGAUCCAUUGGAUCCAAGGUCUUGAAGAGGAAAGAUCACUAUGGCUGCAAGGUCUGGAAGAGGCAAGUCCAAUAAAGCCAAGGCUGACAAGAAGAAGAAAGAAGAGAAAGGUUUCAAUUGUUAAGCCUUAUUAUUCACUUCUUUCAUUGGAAAGUGCUUUUUGUAAAGUGCUUUUGCAGUCUAGCUUCCGUAUGUUCAUUGAUUUCUUUUGUUGUGCAGUAGUACCCAGUGUUCUUGAUAUCACAAUCAUCACCCCAUAUGAAUCACAAGUUGUUCUCAAGGUAUACAUAUAUACUUAUCAUUAAUACUUUCUCGUUUUGCCCUCACCAGCUAUUAUUAGGAUAUUAUUUUGUAAAACUUUAUAAAUAUAAAUGAAUUAUUAAUUAAUCAUCUUUUUCUUGUUUGAUUGAAAUUUGCUCGAAGGGCAUCUCCACUGACAAGAUACUUGAUGUGAAAAAAUUGUUGGCUUCCAAUGUAGAAACUUGCCACCUCACAAAUUAUUCUCUCUCUCACGAGGUAUAUAUAUAUAUAUUUUAUUAUCUCUCUUUUUUUUAAUUAUAUAAGAUUAUGAAUAAUGAUAUUAAGCACUAGAUACUAUUUUUUUCCACCUUAUUUUUAUUUGUUUAUUUCUUUAUGAUAUUAAUGCAUUAUUAGUUGUUUUUUUUUAUCAGGUCAAGGGGUAGAAAUUGAAUGAUAGAGUAGAGGUUGUUACUCUGAAGCCCUGUUUGCUCAGAAUGGUUGAAGGUAGGUGAAGCUCUCUCGUGUCAAAAUUUCUGAAUUAAAAAGUCUCAUGCAUGUGGAUGUGGGUCUCAUCUUAUUUGUUAUUUUUAAGAGUUCUGCUAUUUACCUCGGGUUAAACCCCGAAAGCUAAAACAAAACGACGUCGUUUCCUCUUCUUCAUGAAACGCUACCGUUUCACCCUAGCAAAAGCAAACGUUCCUCUCCUCUUCAUUUUCGUCUUCCUCUCCUGACUCCUCUUCGUUUCACCAGGGAACGACAUUCGUUUUGUUCGUUUUGUUUAAGAUCCAAAUCAAAGAAAUUUCCUUUUAAACAAAUCUGCCAUUUGUUUUCUCCUUUGAAAUUUCCUCUUAAAAAAUCUGCCAUUCGCGCAGGCAUGGUCACCGUCAACGUGGCAGGCAUCACGCGCAUCUCUCAUUGAACUCAUGAAGCGUCACAGUUAUCACAGCCGCAGGUAAUGCUUUGAUCUUUAGCUUUUCUAGGUUACGGUAAAAUGGGGGCAAUUUUGAUAGCUAUCAUCAUUUCCGUUUUAUUUAAUUUUCAGUUGAAAUAGAAUGUUAAGGAAAUAAGUGUGUUAAAUUGCAAUUGGUUUGUAAUUUAUGCUAAAUUGGUCUGCAAUUUGUGCUUGAGUUGGUCUGCAAUUUGUGCUUGAAUUGGUUUGCAUUUGUGCUGAAUUGGUCAGGAAUUUGUGCUGAAUUGGUCUGCAAUUUGUGCUGAAUUGGUCUGUAAUUUGUGCAGAAUUGGUCUGUAAUUUGUGCUUGAAUUGGUCUGCAAUUUGUGCUUAAAUUGGUCUGGAAUCACCAAAUAGUCCAGAAUUGUUGAUGUAACUUUUACAACUCUUAUAAAUAAUAGAAAGCAAGUUAAUUAGAAGCACCAAAAUAGUUCAGAAUCACCAAAAUAGAAGCACUAAAAUAGUCCAAAAUUGUUGAUUUUGUGGACACACACAGACACACACACAGGGAGAGAGAGACACGCACAGAGAGAGAGAGAGAGAGAGAGAGAGAGACACACACACACACACACACACACUGACACACACACACAGACACACACACAAAGAGACACACAAACACAGACACAGACACACACAUACACACAGCUUUGUUCAGCCCACUUUAGUAGCAAAUUCAAAUACCAAGAAACUGAGUUGGCCUUAUAAAACAUUGUUCUGGUUUUCUUUUCAUUAUUAACUGUAAUUGUAUCCCUUUUUGAGCUGUUUCUUUCCAACGGUCUAUGGCUUUACAAAUAAUGUCAUCCAACACAACCGAGAAUUGAAUCUCAUUGCAAAUGUGUAAUGGAUGUGGUGAUCAGAUGGAGCUGUUAACGUCACGCACAACAAAAAAUCCAAAUUGCAAAUUUUGGAUUUGUAGAGGAUGUAACAACUUUCAAUGGGCAGAAGAUCGUAAAUCUAGCGAAGAGAAAAUAGACUUGUUAGCGGAUGAGGUUAGGAAGUUGGCCUUGGAGAUUGAGUGUUUGUCCGUUAAAUUUCAACUAUUGCAUAAAGAACUUGAGCAUAUGUGAGAUCGUGAAGUGCAGAGGCGAUUGUUGGACGAUGAACUUCGAAAGAGAGAGGCACUACGAUAUGAUUUUAUUAAAUUAAUCAUGAUUGUUGUAUUAUGUUUUCUAUUCAAGUAUUGUUUUUAAGUUGUUUCAAUUUGUACUAUGUUACUGGAAAAGACUUGUAUUGUAGAAUUUGACCACUAUAUGUAAUAGCAUUUUCAUGUUAAAUAUAAGUUUUCGAUUGUUUGAAUUAAUUCAAAGUAUUCUGAAUUUAGAAUUUGACCCCCAGAAUACUUCUCAAAAUUAUACUAUGUCCCAACUCAUUCCAAUAUGUUCCAAAUAGAUCCAUUUUCAGAAUUUACAAAGUCUAAAAUUUAAAAAAUAUCGAAAUACACAUACACCAAGUUACAUUAGCUUUACAAUAAUACAUAAAACAUAAGCUAACUUUGUUGAUUCGUCAAGCCAAUUCCAAUGAACUUCGAUCAUGUGCUUGGUUCAUUAGUUGAAAACUCCCCUCGAUUGGCCUCCUCGAAAUUUUGUUGCGGAAAAUAUUGCAAGUUUGCGUGAUGGACUCCGCUGUAAUUCAUCCAAGACUGAUAAUAAGGGAGGAAAAAUGCAUGUUCUAGGGGUGCUUGCUGUGCUAGCUGUUAUACAAAAAAAAAAAAUUAUAUACAAAUUAUCAAACAUAUGACAAUGAAUGUAAAUAGCAAAAAAAAAAAAAUAUUACCAUAGCCAUAUGGCUCUCUUGUGUUGGGAUUGUAGUAGCCACUUGAGAAGAAAAAUCAUGUAUCUCCGAGUCCUAGAAAUAUGGUUAACACACAUUUAAAGUAUAUAUUAAAUUUAUUUAAAAUGAAUGUAUUAAAUAUAAAUGCAAUCAACAUACAUUUAAAGUAUACAUUAAAUUAAUUUAAAAUGAAUGUAUUAAAGUAAUUACCUCUACAGUUGUGCUUGUCGAAGCAUUAUUCGACUUCUGUUUUGGCCUCUUAAAUUGCUUUUGCUUUCUUUGACUAGGUGGACGAUCUUUACGCCGAGUUACUACUGGAUCAUAUAUAAUUUUGAUACAGCUUCCUGAUCCACUAUAAAUGGUUGUAUCGUGACCGUCACUUCGAACAUUCAGAGAUACAUCCUCCAUUGCUUUCUCGAUCCAACCCAUAAUAUUUUUAUGGCUUUCUUCAUUUUUUGAAGUUACCUCAGCAACAUCAUAAAAAUCAGUGCACUCCUCUUUAUAUCGCUGAUGUUCAAUGCUCGAACUUCGUGCAUCAUAAUUGACUUUGACUUUACUAUAGAAUCUCCGCACAUCUUUCCUCUAUCUUCGUAGAAUAUACUUUUCAGGCAGUAAUUGUAUACGGUUACGUGACAACACUGCGAUGGCGUGUCUGCAAAGAAUGCCCUUAUAUUCAAACAUUGAACACACACAAUGAACUUCACCCUCAUCUUUUGCAAAAAUGACUUGAAAAGUAUUUUCUCUACUAUUUUCAUCGUUUUCAAUAACUUCAUAUUCUAAUCCACCACAACUGAAAACCUCACAAUAUAUCUUAUUCACCAGCUCUUGCUGAAAUUCUUGAAACUUGGAAAUAGUGUACACUUCUUCAACUUGCUUCUCCAUUGCAAAACUGGUACGACAUGGCAUCCGUUGGCUAAAACACCUAACAUCCGCUUGCCAUUCUUUCUCAAUUUUACUUUCCAUUGCUUUCUCAUAUUUCUCCACAAAUUGCUUCAAAGUUGUUUUCGAGUUAACAUACCCAUCAAAGAAAGCAUUCAUACUUUCACUACGCUGAGUGGUUGGCAUUCCAGCCCAAAAAGAAGUUUUUACGAAACAUGGAACCCAACGAUUUCUUUCCUCAUAUAAACCAUUUAACCACUGAUUACUAAGAUCAUAUUUAUCUAACAUGUCAUGCCAAGCUUUCUCGAAUUCAACAGGAGUAUAUGAAUCAUAAACAAUAGAAUGUAAUGAAACUCUAAUGGCAUGAUAUUCAACAUACCUUCCUAACUUCUCAGGCACCUUUUUCAGUAUAUGCCAUAAACACCAUCGGUGCCUAGUGUUUGGAAAAACAAUCUCAAUCGCAUUUUUCAUCUCUUUGUCUUGAUCUGUAAUGAUUCCAAGGGGAGGAGAGCCAGACAUGCAUGAUAGCCAUGUGUCAAAUAUCCACGAAAAUGUCUCCGUGUCCUCAUGCGAAAUCAACCCACAUCCUAACAAAAUUGAUUGACCAUGAUGAUUAAUUCCUACAAAAGGAGCAAAUGACAUGUCAUACUUGUUUGUAAGGUAUGUGGUAUCAAAUGUGACCAUAUCUCCAAAGUUUUUAUAGGCUGCCUUACUCCUUGGAUCGGCCCAAUAUACAUUUUUUAACCGGCCCUCCUUAUUUAGGUCAAGACUGAAGAAAAACCCAUCAUUUUCUGUUUGCAUUUUCUUAAAAUGUCUCUGAAUUGCAACAACAUCCCCUUCUCCGAGCCUUAAUCGCCUCACCUUGUCAAUAUGAUUUCUAGCAUCUUUUUCUAAGAAUGAGACAUUUUCAAAGCCACCAGCCUCAACAACAAUCGACUUAAAACUUUGAGCCAUUUUAAUUCCAGCUUCAUCAUUUAUUUCAAGCUGCUUUUUAACAAAAGGACUAAUGGUACGGUUGCAUCGAUAAUACCUACUCUUGCUCGGACUCACGGCACGGUUGUGUUCAAGGAUCAUAUUUCCAAUUACCCAUUUUCUACUAACAAAAUCCAAACGUCCUCCAAGUUUAGCAUUGCAUUCAAUUUUUUGGUUUGGUUGAAGCCGCAAAACAUUAGUGCUUUUGGCUUUUGAAUUGCCAUUUCGCCCACAAGUAAAUGUCACAUAUCUCAAACUCCCAUCAUCCCCUUUUCUACAAGAUCUCCACAUCACUGGAAACCCCUCUUAUAGGCCAUAAGCCUUAUAAUAUUCAAACAUUUCAUCAGAACUAUUAAAAGACAUCCCAACUGCUGGCUCAACAACUUUUUCCACCACCAAUUCCUCAUUAUUUUCUUCCAAAUCAGCCCCCUGCAAAUCCUGCAAUUCUUUAACUUCAUCAACCUCCUCCACUUACUUCAAAUUAUCCAUUAACUGCUGCAAAUUAAAACAAUUCAAUAUAUUAUUAUUUAUUUUUCGUGAAUUCAUUAAAUUUAGAAUAAAAAAAUUAAAAACAAAAUGAAACAACUACUGAAGAUUCAAAUUUAAACAAUUCAAGCUUGUUGUAAAAGCAUCGCAAUUGGAAACUGAAAAUGUCAAAUAACGGCAAGCCGCAAAACAUUAACUAAUAGAAGUCCGUAGGCAUAAUUAAUACUCAAAUAACUUCAAAGUGUGGUUGAGCCAGACUAAGUUUAACUUAUAGCUAGCUCAAGCGAAAAUAUUGUAGGUCUUACAUGCGCAUGAGCGAAUUCCAACAAAAACAAGUUCAUGACUUACCACAAACUCAAACGUUAAUUCAUGUUGAUGCUAUCUCCAACUUAUCUAUUUAGGUUACGAACUAUAUUCUCAGCAGGGGUUAAAUUAUCUUCUCGAUUGAAUAUAAAGAAGAGAACAUUUGUAUACUCAAAUAUCUUCGUAAUCGAAAAUGAGAUAGAAAUUCGAAAACAAAGUUUAAUACAAACAUGACAACAAAAAUGAGUCAAAAAUUCGUAGUCGAAACUGAAACUUCGAAAAUUUGAAGAUUCGAAAACAAAAUGCUGCCAAAAGAAAACAGUACCUUAGCUUGUGCAAAGCCACGUAUAAUCGAAACUGGAAUCUGUAAAUGCCGAAACUUAGUCUUAUGUCAGAAAAAUUUAACAGCUGCUGUUAAUGCCGAUGAGGUUAGGAAUCAUGGACAAUGUCGAGACUCUAUCUUGUUCAAGCUUCUGCUUUUGCCUUGUUUGAGCCAAAUCUUAUCACCUUCGAGGAAUAUAAGAGCUUAAAGAUUUUGCAUUUCACUCGGGUGUGGUGAAUCGAAGAGGAAGAGCUUAAAGAUUUUGCGUUUUUCUCAGUUCAUAAAGUAGCUGUUUCUUUGCGUUUUUUCUGCUUUAGUUGGUUUUGUUUUUACUAGGCUGAAACGACUACGUUUCAUGGAAGCAAAAAGGAAAAAAAAAAGAAAGAAACCAAAACGGCAUCGUUUUGGUUUAAUUCGGGGUUUGACGCGGGGAAAGUAGCAUUUUCCUAUUUUUAAUUGUUAACAUUUAGAUCUUUUUAGUUCUACAUCCAUAGCCAAACUAUUUUAAGUAAACUAUAUUCAUUUUAUUGUAUGUUUUUUAAGAAUUUUUUAAUUCGAAAUAAUUUUUUUAAUAUUGUUGAAAAAGACAGGUUAAAGUAAAAAAAUUAUUGACUAAAUAAAUAAAUAAAUGACAUUAUUUUAUUUUUUAACAUUAAAAAAAACCAAUUUGAUGCAGUCCACUUAGUCCUGCACACUUGGAACGUUACCAUGCUUUUUAGUGCUGUACAUUUUGGACUCAAUUGUCCUUGUCAUUUCAAGUAAAAGUUGAAGCCGUCUCAAAAGUAAAAUAAUAGGGUCCGCCUAAGUUACAUUUAACGUAACUUACGGCUGACCCGCAAAAUAUCAUUAAUCCCCCUAUACUCUAUGUUAUUUACAAUAUAUUUAUAAGUAUUAUAAAAUUUUCUGUAUUGUAAAAUUUCGUUGAACCUCUUGUACUCUGUUUUAUUUUAAUGAAACUCUUGGAGUACGAAUUUGCCCCCUAUAAUUUUAAAUUCCCAAAAUACCCUACAGUUAAUUAAAAAUAUAAUAAUAAUUAAAUAAAUUAUAAUUAUAAUAAUUAUUUUAUUAUAAUUAUAAUAAUUAUUUUAUUAUAAUUAUAAUAAUUAUUUUAUUAUAAUUAUAAUAAUUAUUUUAUUAUUUUAUUAUAAUUAUAAUAAUUAUUUUAUUAUAAUUAUAAUAAUUAUUUUAUUAUAAUUAUAAUUUUUUAAUGGAUUAUUAUUAUUAUUAUUAACAAGAAUAAAAAGUAUUAUAACUAAUUAAUUUUUAGUUAAAAUGUUAAUAAUAACAUUAACAAUAACUAUUAUUGAUAAUUAAUUUUUGAAUAAUAAUAACAGUAACAAUAACAAUAAUUAAAAUACAAAAGAAUAAUUAUGAUAAAAAUUAAUGAAGGAUUUUAUAAUAAUUUGUUACAAUUUAAUUUAUUCUGAUUUUGAUUUUAAGACAAAGUAAACAAAUAAAUGGUAAUACAGCUCAUUCUAAUUAUGAUUCAUGCCGUUCAAAUAAAUAAAUUAUUAUGAUUCCAAUUCUUUAUUUGGAUUCUAGAUAUGUCGAUUCUAACUUAUUAUGUUUUCAGUAAAUUUUGAUUUAUGUUUAGUGAAUGCACUAUAAAAUUCAUAAUACUUAUAAAAAAUUGUAAAUAAUAUAGAGUGGUCUAAUUGAAUAUAAAGUGAUUUACAAUUUUAUAGUGCAUUCACUAAAAAUGAAUCGAAAUUAGUUGGAAACAUAAUGAGUUAAAAUUGGAUUAGCUAGAAUUAAAAUGAAAAAUUGAAAUCAGAAUAAUUUAUUUACUUGAACUGCAUGAAUCCUAAUUAGAAUAAACUGUAUUACCAUUUAUGUGUUUACUUUGUCUUAGAAUCAAUAUCGAAAUGAGUUAAAUUGUAACAAAUUACUAUAAAAUUCUUAAUUAAUUUAUUAUAAUUAUUACUUUGUAUUUUAAUUAUUGUUAUUGUUAUUAUUCGUCAAAAAUUAAUUAUUAAUAGUAAUUAUUGUUAAUUAUUAUUAUUGAUAUUUUAACUAAAAAUUAUUGUUAAUUAUUGUUAAUAGAUUAAUUAAUUAUAAUACUUUUUAUUGUUGUUGUUAAUAAUAAUAAUAAUCCAUUUAAAAAUUAUAAUUUUAUUUAUAAUUAUAAUAAAAUAAUUAUUAUAAUUAUAAUUUAUUUAAUAAGUAUUAUAUUUUUAAUUAAAUGUAGGGUAUUUUGAGAACUUAAAAUUAUAGGGGGCAAAUUCAUACUCCAAGAGUUUCAUUAAAAUAAAACAGAGUACAAGAGGUUCAACGAAAUUUUACAAUACAGAAAAUUUUAUAAUAUUUAUAAAUAAAUUGUAAAUAAUAUAGAGUAUAGAGGGAUUAAUGAUAUUUUGCGAGUGUUGGGUUAAAUGUAACUGAUCCAAAAUAAUAAUGUGCAAUUAAGUAACUGGCCUAAACUUUAGAAAUUUCAGAAGUUACAGUAUACGCAGGUCACAUCUAGGACCAUUAUUAGUUUAAUCAUUAAAUGACAAAAUUUUGCCAAUCUUGAGGGGGCUACUUAAAAAUGCAAGCAUCUCGUCCCUUGCCUGCUUCAUAGAUGCUCUUACUCACCCCCCCCGUCAUCUCACUUGUGCAAACCAAAGAAAAAAGAAAGAUUAUUAUUUUCCAUUUAUUACACAAAAAACAAUAAUUCCUUUUUAUUGCUCCAUGUUUAUUAUUUUAUUCUAUUUCUCCAGAAUCUCUCUUUAUCAAUUAAAUUUAUGAUAUAGAUAUUGAAGAUUUGCUUAAAUCAGAAAACUUGUUCAUAUUUCUGGUCAAUAUAAUACAUCCCUUAAAAGGUAAAAAUAGGGAAAAAAAAAAACAAGAAUGAUGAUUUUUUUUUUUUUUUUGGUUUUGACUGUUCUAGACAAUAAAGAAAUAUUUUGAAAGGGUCGGAGAUUACAAUGAAUCUAUACACUUGUGGAAAUAUUUUUAAGGCAUAAAUAAGUGCAACUUGAGAGCAUUUUGUUUUUUGUUCCACUAUAUAUUUUUAUACAACUGCCGCCUUAGAUUGGGUGCAUCACUUCAUUAUAUAAUCAGUAAAAAUUAAUUAUAUAAAUGGAAUCAUUCUCUAUUACAAUUAUUCGACUUCAUGAAGUAACAACUGAUGUUUUUUACCACAUUGUCAAAAGAGUUCAACUUUUAUUUGAGAAUACACCAUAUAAAAGAAAAAGAAAAAAAUAAAAACAAGAGUACACCAUAGAAAAGAAAAAAAUAAAACAAGUUUUAGAAUUAGUAGAUUAGAAUUGUUAUAAGAAAGAGUUGUCCCUAUAACUUCAAUAAGCUAGCCAUGUUUCUGAAGUUUGUUUUACUACCCUUACCAAACUUUUUCUAGUUGAUAUUAAUAACUUUAGUUUAGUAAACAGAAGCAAGAAGGUUAGAAUUAAUAACUUUAUCGUGAAUAAUUAAUAUGAUUACAGUUUAAUAAAAUUAUAUGUAAAGGCUUAUUUAAAGAGCGAAAAUUUUAUUUUUUUAUCAUUCUUUAGUGCUUAUAAUUAUAAUUUAAUCUAGAAGUAUUUUAAUUGUAAAAAUUAUUUAAAAAAAUAAGUUUGACGAAUAGUUUAGAGCUUAUAAUUAUUUUCUACUUAUAAUUAAGUUAAUAUUUAAUAGAAAGAACUAAAAUAAUAAAAGCAAAAACCUUUUCCGGCAAUUCCUUGUUAUUUACAUUUUUGGCACUGUCCUUGACAGAGGACUACACCGAGGAAUCUCAGGCCGUGGCACACGUGCGGCGGCUUCUCGACAUCGUCGCGUGCACCACACGGUUCUCCAAGUCCAGAAACUCCCGAUUGCCGCCAUCGUCAGAGUCAUGUGCCAAAAAGAACGACAGUAGGCCCCACCAACCUUCACCAAACUCUGCCGCUCUGUCUGAUGGAGCAGCAACAGCAGCAGCAGAUAACCGAAGCGGGCCCCGCGCCACGUCAUCGCCAAUUUCAUCGGCGGUUUCUCCGAGUCUGGACAUGGCAGCCAUUCACCCGACGCCGAAACUCUCCGAGUUUUACGACUUCUUCUCUUUCUCUCACCUCACUCCCCCCGUCUUAAGUAAGCCUAAUGUUCAUUUAUAUAUUUGUCUUCGUUUCUUACAUGGUUGAUCAAAAAAAAAAAAAAAAGAAAAGAAAGAGGAAAAUGAUAUAAAUAUAUGUGAUUUAUUUGAAUAUGAAAUUUGUUUAUUGAUUUUAAUUUUUAAUAAUUUUGAUUUUGAAGAUUUGAGAAAAUGUGAACGCAAAGAAGGAGACAAGCGCGACAGUGAUUAUUUUGAAAUUCAGGUGCCAUUUAAUAUAAAGUUCUGAUUAUUGUUGUUUGUUGUUUAUGGACUAAUUAAUUGUAGAGUUAUUCAACUCGUUAUUUUUGCUGAUGAAUUGGCCAAUGAGUGUUAAAGAUUUAAUAAUCAUUGUCCGCUAAUUAAUAAGAAUGCAUGGAUUAUUUUCAUGUCUUUGUAAGUAAUGUGAGUAUUUGAAAGUGCGGGAAACUGUAUUUUGUGCUUACAGAUAAAAAUCUGCAAUGGAAAGCUUAUACAAGUAGUUGCAUCAGUAAAAGGGUUCUAUACUUUGGGAAAGCAGUUUUUCCAAAGCAACUCCCUGGUGGAUCUUCUGCAAAAUCUCAGUCGAGCUUUUGCCAAUGUGGGUACUCAAUAGUUGAAUCUACAGAUUAUUUUUUUCUUUUUUAUCUGAAUGCAUCUUUUUUUCCUUUGUAAAUUCAAUUAGCUUACCCUUCAAUUGUUUUGUUAAUAAUUAUGGUCAUUAUGCGUGAUGCAGGCAUAUGAAUCCUUAAUGAAAGCUUUUGUUGAACAUAAUAAGGUUACAAUUUCUGUGCUGACAUAGUUUAUUACCAAUUCAAAUGUGAUUUUAACUUGAUUUUACUGAUAUAGUAUAUUCAUUAUCCUUCUUCAGUUUGGUAAUCUUCCCUAUGGAUUUCGAGCUAAUACAUGGCUUGUACCUCCAUCUGUUGCUGAGUCUCCAUCAAAUUUCCCUUGCCUACCGGCAGAAGAUGAGAAUUGGGGUGGCAAUGGCGGAGGCCAGGGAAGAGAUGGAGAACAUGAUUUACGACCAUGGGCGACGGAAUUUGCUAUACUGGCUAGGCUUCCUUGCAAAACUGAAGAGGAGAGGGUGGUUAGAGAUCGGAAGGCCUUUUUGCUUCAUAACCAAUUUGUUGAUGUCUCAAUUUUUAAAGCUGUUGGAGCAAUACGCCGUCUCAUUGAUUCAAAUUUACACACUCAAGAUACAAUAAAGGGGGCAAUCUUGCAUGAAGAUCGUGUGGGAGACUUGUCCAUUACAGUAAAACGUGAUACAGUAGAUGCAAACUUGAAGUCUGAGGUUACUAUUAAAGGAAAUCAGUUAUCUGGUAUGUCUACUGCAGAAGUUGCUCAAAGGAAUUUACUAAAAGGUGUUACUGCAGAUGAGAGUGUAGUUGUUCACGUAAGUCGAUUUCUCCUUUACUUCUUACGCUUACGUUCACAGACCACACACAUAAAAGACAUUCAUCAAAGCUGAAAUUACUUACGUGGGCGGAAUAAUAUAGCUCCGGAAUAAUAUAGCUCUACCUUUGUCAGGGAGUGAUUUUUCUGUCGGAUUAAGAUGUUUCACUCUUUAUCUGAUAUCUAGCAUUUGAUGAUGGCCUAAAAUACCCAUCCUCUUCAUUCUCUCUUUCUACACAUUUAUGAAUGCACAAGAAAGUCAAUUUUAGUUUCUUUCCUAAGAAUCACUACUUGUUACUAACCUUAUAUAUCUGGUUUAGCUUCAUGAAUCUUUUGUUGCCAUUCUGUUUGGUGACUCCCUAUUCUGUUGAAAUCACUUGAUAGCAGGUCUUUCUACCCAUUAUCCAUAUCCCUCUGAUUUUCUACUUGUAGUUUGCGCCAGCUUAAUGUCAUCAACCCUUUUUGGGGAAGCCUAUUAACCUUGGUUGGGCAUGCUUGUAUUAUAUCAACUAGUGAUACAAUUGCUAAAGUUUUCAGCAUGGUAGAUCUUGAAAUAAAAUUUUCUUGAAAUAUCUAGAUUUAUCUUCCUUUUCUUUUUCUCUUUCUUUUAUUUUAGUUUCAAAGAUUUUGUUAUAAAGAGAACUGAACAAUAUAGUUUUUGGCAGGAUACCUCCUCAUUGGGUACCGUCAUUGUAAGACACUGUGGAUACACCGCCGUAGUAAAGGUUGUUGGUGAUGUGACGGAGAAGUUUGGCACACAAGAUAUUGAAAUUGAAGAUCAACCUGAUGGAGGAGCUAAUUCUCUUAAUAUUAACAGGUCUGAAAUUGUAACACAAUGCUUCCUCUGUCGAUUCCUCUUAGCACACAAAGACUAGGAAAUCUACAGAUGGAGAAUGGCUGUAAGAUAUGAAAAAUUAUCUUUCAACCACUAACCGUUUUAAGCUAUUCUGCAAGAUAUCUUAGAAAUGCUAACUGGUAUGAGCUUCUUUGCUUAGUGUCUAUCACAGUUGAAUUCAUGAUGCAGAGCAUUGUUAUUCUCCUUAUUUUUACCAGAUAGAACAGGAUUGAAACGGUGGUGUUGGGGAUUCUUAAGAAAGGAUAGCACCUGCUCCUUUUUCUUUCUGUUUAGAUGGGAUCUAAUCAGUAGAUGUCUGAACUCUUAAGGGGAUUUGAUGUCAGAUUUCUAAACCAGGUUUUCUUCAAGUGUUAAGUUUAUGAAUAGGCCAAAGAAAAGAAAGCUGAUAUCUAGUUAGGGAUAUGUACUCCUCUUUCAGCAUCCUAUGGACCAGAAAAUGGCUUUUCCUCCAUUAAAAUAUGUGUGAGAUUCUUCACUGUAUGGGGAUGCUUCACCUCUGCAUAGUUGUAGACCACCUAAAAAAUAACGAGUGGUUGCAGGAAACAUUAAGUCAUGGCUUUCACAAUAAUGGUGGAGUGUUUAUAGUUAUGUGCCUUGACAUUGGUUUGUAAUUGUUAUAUUAACAAAAUAACCAACAGACAUCGUUGAUGAUGUUCAAAUAAAGGAUAAAGGAAAGUAUAAUUACAGUGGAUGCUCAGUUGCUGAAAUAGGUCAUCAGCUUUUUGGAUUGUGCUAUUUCAGAAAGUAUUUAGACCUUCUUUGGUGGAUUCUGCCUUUGUUUCAUAUACUCUUAUAUCUUUCUCCAUUUAAGUUGUUCUGACAGGGUAAACUAUUUAUUGCAGCUUAAGGCUUGUACUUCAGAAGUCUUUCAGUGCUGAAUCAGCUAGAGGAGACCAGUCACCUCUGUGCAAUUUGGAUAAUUCAGAAGCUCUUAGAAGUCUUGUACGAAGAGUUAUUAAACAGAGUUUAGCAAAGCUAGAGCUGGAGCCAACUGCGUCAGAAAGAUCUAUUAGAUGGGAACUUGGUUCUUGUUGGGUGCAACAUCUACAAAAGCAGGAAACCCCAACAGAUAUCAAGUCAACGACGUCUGGGGAUGAUAUUGAGACUGAACAUGCUGUCAAAGGUCUUGGGAAGCAAUUUAAAUUUUUGAAGAAGAGGGAGAACAGACCUAACCUUGUUGGUAGCAAUUAUGAGGCUAACGAAGAUGACAAUGGACCGUGCAGCAUGAAUGUGGGAACUAAUGGCAGACAGCAAAGCAAUGGCGAGCUCAAUUGUGAGAUGGAAUUGAAAAAACUAAUUUCUGAAGAAUCCUUCUUGCGAUUGAAAGAAACUGGCACUGGCCUUCAUUCAAAGGUUGCAAAAUCUCAAAUUUGUUUUGUAUUUCAACUGUAAAGUUUGCUACUUUUUGUGUUUUCAUUAUGGUAAAUUUGGUUUGUUUUAUUUUCAUAAGGAAUGACUGGUAAAAUCAAUUUCUUGUGCAGGCAGUGGAUGAGCUUAUGAAAAUGACAUACAAAUAUUAUGAUGACAUUGCUUUACCAAAGCUGGUACUAUUUAAUUUAUUUAGGGCCUUUGUUGCAGCCAAUUUAGACGUGUGGGGAUGGUUUAUGGACUAAUUUGCAUUCUUUAUUAGGUAACAGACUUUGGAUCACUUGAACUUUCUCCGGUUGAUGGCCGCACACUGACAGACUUUAUGCAUUUAAGGGGACUACAAAUGCGCUCUUUAGGUCGCGUGGUGAGGAAUUUCUCCCUCUCUUUCUCUCUCAGACAUGCAACCUAUUCACCCGUGGAAAUCGGAAUAAACAAAUGUUGUCUUUCUUUAUGUAAACAAAACCCCUAAGUUAUCUUUCUAUAUGUAAACAAUCUCCCCAAGUCUUCCUGGAUUGAAUUAUCAAUGUUCCUUUUUGAAAAUUGUACUACAUGAUAGAAUUUUUGACAUGGUGAACUUUUCCAAGAUAUUGAAUUAUUGUCGUCUUUAGAUAUUACUGUAUGUUGUGUGACAUACAAUAUUUUGAGAAAUUGACAUGCUAAUACUUGAAAGCCUGGUAUUCUUCUUCUGUUGGUUCUAAUCCCAUUUACAAAUUCAGGUUGAACUUGCAGAGAAGCUUCCUCACAUACAAUCACUUUGUAUUCAUGAGAUGGUUACUCGAGCGUUCAAGCAUGUACUUAAAGGAGUCAUCGCAUCCGUUGACUAUUUAUCAGACCUAUCUGCAGCUAUAGCUUCUUCCCUAAAUUUCUUAUUUGGCUGUUGUGAGAUGGAAGAUGACCAAAGCUUGAAUGAAGAUCAUAUCCUUAGAUUGCAGUGGCUACGAACAUUUCUUGGCAGAAGAUUUGGUUGGUCCCUGAAAGACGAGUUUCAGCAUUUGAGAAAGAUUUCAAUUCUACGUGGGCUUUGCCAUAAGGUAAGGUACUGUCUUUUCGGUUCCUUUGGCAGCGGAUUAUUUUCAAAGCUUGAAUUUUGCUUGUAAACUUUACCCAGGUUGGGUUGGAGUUGGUUCCAAGAGAUUAUGAUAUGGAAUGUCCAAACCCAUUCACGAGAGAUGAUAUUGUCAGCAUGGUUCCUGUGUGCAAGGUGAGACUAUUUUCUCUCUUAAUUGUGUUUUGAUUUAGUUUUUACAUUCUCAAUGAGUCACUCAUUUGUAAAUUGAAUGUAAUUGUGCUAUUUUUAUGGCAUUCUACAGCAUGUAGGUUGCACUUCAGCUGAUGGACGGACUUUAUUAGAGUCAUCCAAAAUUGCCCUUGAUAAAGGAAAACUAGAAGAUGCUGUAAAUUAUGGGACAAAGGUAAUAACCCACUCGAUCUAUACGUAAGAAUUACAUUAUUCUUUUCAUAAUAAGGCAUCUGUUGAUCUCAUAUGAUGUAUUACUUGCAUUGUAAGGCACUGGCAAGGAUGAUAGCUGUUUGUGGUCCCUACCAUCGGACUACUGCAAGUGCUUACAGUCUUCUAGCUGUAGUUCUCUACCAUACUGGAGACUUUAAUCAGGUACGACAAUCUUCAGUUGUAUUUCAGUGUUAACUUGGUGAUUCUAAGUCGAGUAUAAUUAUAACGUCCUUCUGUACGGAGAUUCUCAUUCAGUGGGACAUUUGAUUUGAAACUGUGUUAUGGCUAGUUUUUAUGGUCUUGUAUAAAGAUAUGCAUUAGAAAUUAUAAUUUUCUGGACUUAGGAAUUACAUGGACAGGCAUUAGCAUAAUUUUGAUAUCAGAUUAUAUAUUUUAACUAAAUCAAACACAUUCAUGGUUCUUAUGUUCUGGCAUUUGGUCUAAUGGCAUCUGCGUCUGAGUGUUAGAGUAGCGUUCGUAUGUACUCAAGAUAUCUUCUUCUUCAUUUUAGGCAACUAUAUAUCAGCAGAAGGCAUUGGAUAUUAAUGAGAGGGAACUUGGUCUUGACCAUCCAGAUACAAUGAAAAGCUAUGGGGAUCUUUCAGUUUUCUAUUAUCGCCUUCAACACAUUGAAUUGGCUCUUAAGUAAGUAGCACUGCUUGAUUUACCAGAGCAACUUUGUGAUUUUCAUUCUUUAACUGAUUAAGGUUUAUUUAUUCAUAAAUUAAAUUGGAAGUUUCGAAAAAUGUGACCUUUGUAUUGAAUGUGCUUCGAACGAAUGCAGUUUUUAUCUACCUACUUUAGCUUUUAUUUGUCUUUUAUUGGCUCUAGCUCCUGAUCAUACCGUACCAUUGGCAGAUAUGUAAAUCGUGCCUUAUUCCUUUUGCAUUUUACUUGUGGACUUUCACAUCCAAACACGGCUGCAACAUACAUAAAUGUGGCUAUGAUGGAAGAGGGCAUGGGAAAUGUUCAUCUUUCUCUUAGAUAUUUGCAUGAAGCCCUUAAAUGCAACCAAAGACUAUUAGGAGGUGACCAUAUACAGGUUUUUCUCUCUCUAUUUACGCAUGUAUACACACUCUUUAGAAUUAUAAAUCUUUCUGUUAACUCAGAAUUUUGUUUGAUUUCUUCACGUGACAGACAGCUGCAAGUUAUCAUGCCAUAGCCAUAGCUCUUUCUUUGAUGGAGGCAUAUUCACUAAGUGUGCAACAUGAGCAAACUACACUUAAGAUUCUCCAAGCAAAGCUUGGACUAGAAGAUCUGCGUACUCAGGUGACUACAUGUAGUCAUAUUUUAAUUGGUUCUGUUGUGCAAUUUGGCUAGUUGGCUUCUUUCUUGUCAAUCUUUUACAGGUGAUAUUAUGAUAUAAAACAAAUUGUAUUGGAGGCAUAUUUUUGGUGUCAAAUAUGGAUAUGACUCAUUCAUUAAUUGUAUCGAAAUAUCAAAAUACGGAUAUGACCCGUUUAUUAAUCGUGUUGACUUGUUUAAUAUUAAAUACAAACAAAUUAAAAAUUAAUUUUAAAAUAACAAAUGUGUCAAAAAAAUGAGUUAUAAAUAAGUUAAAAUGACAUAAGUAUGACAUGAAUAAGUUUAUAACAUAAUGUGAGUAUGACAUGAGUCAUAAAUUUAGUGUUUAGUAUAUAUUUUAGUUAUUUUUUCCAAUAAUAUUAACACAUAAUAAUUGAUAUUUGUGUUAUAAACGUAUAAUCAUAUUGAGAUGGUCCAAAACAGAUACGACAUGGUUAUUUAUCGUGUUGUGUCAACUCAUUUAUUAAUCGUGUCAAUAUUUGUCAACACGAAUAUGGGUCAUAUGUCAUAUUAUGUUGUGUAAUCGUGUCGUAAUCCAUUUUCCCACCUCUAAUCUUAACUGUCAUAAGAGAAUUUCUCAAGUUCCAUAUUAUUGAUGGGAAGAGAAUUUUGUUAUUUUGUUGUAUUUUUUUUCGUUUUACAGGAUGCUGCUGCAUGGCUGGAGUAUUUUGAAUCAAAAGCUCUAGAGCAGCAAGAAGCGGCACGGAAUGGAACUCCAAAGCCAGAUGCGUCCAUUGCGAGUAAAGGUCACCUUAGGUAUUAACAGGGUAUUCCCACAUUACUUGUUUCUAAAUUGUUGAUUAUUUCUUGUGGCACCAAGACCUAUAAUGAUCGCUUUUUGCAGUGUAUCAGAUCUCCUGGAUUACAUUAGUCCUGGUCAAGAUUCUAAAAGAAGCGAAGCACAUAGGAAACAACGACGUGCAAAGGUAGUAUAUACUUAGUGCCUGUUUAGUAUGACUUAUCUAAUAGUCAUAAAUUUUUAUUUAAUCCCAUAAGCUGUUAUCAAUUUUUUUUUGUUGUUUAAUUGUUUUUUCGUAGAGCUCUUGAAAAUUAAAUAAGUUAUUUUGCCUCUACUACCAAAAGCUCAAAUUUUGUGCUUUUAAGAGUAGAGGUUAAAAAGUUUUUUUUAAAUGUUAAAAUAUCUAAAAUAUUUUCUACUUAUUUGACAAUCUUAUUUUAUUCUUUUCAAAACAUAACUUUAAAAAAUUUGCUUAUUAAAGUAAUUUUAUAAUUUUCAAUAAAAGCUCUUAUUGACAACCAAACAACACAAAUUUUUUGGGUAAAAACUUUACUUAUAAAAUCUUUACUAACAAAAGCUCUACUCAGAUAAGAUCUAUUUGAAAAGCUAUGUCAAAUGAAGCAUUAAGCCUGCUGCUGUUCUCUGUUCCUUUUUUCUUGUGAUGUCAUCUGAAUGGAUUCUUAAACUAAUUGUAGUUAGGAUUUGGUAUUUUAGAGUACACUCUGCUGGCUGCAUAUAGUUUUGGAUUUGCUGAUGACACGAGUAAACUUGUUGGCCAUGCAAAAUGCAACUAUAUAUCUGCAGGAUAAUAGUUCUACUUUUCUGAGUGAACUCUGAAGGCACCAAUUAUAACAUCCAUUUCCAGCAUAGAAUCCCCUGCCCAACAAAAAGAAAUCUAACAUGCUUAUACAGAUCGCAGACAUGAUUGAAACUUCAGAAGUUUCUGAUCUAUUGAUGGCCAUAGAUUGGGCCAGCUGAUAGUUAGUAGGCAAUGAUGGAGGGUUGCUUGGUCAAGCUGCUAGUUCUUUGGAAAUUCAGAGAUGAUGAGCAGAACGAGUGAUAAUUUUUGUUUUCCCCCAUAAUCUUGAACAGAGUGGGAAGAAACCAUUAAUUUGAAGUGCAAUGGAUGGAUAUGACAGAUCUAUCAUUUUGGCUAGUAGAUGGAGUUCUUCCAUUCUACUGUUAUUUACUGGUUGUUUUUAUUGAUUCUAGAAAAACAUUUUUUGAUUUGGCAGUUGGAGUUUUUCCCUUUUUUUUUUCUCCCCAUUUUGUAGGCCUUAGAGAACCAAAUAAUACUACAUAUUAGAUAGACAGGAUUAUUAUGUGCUAAUUUGAAGUAUUACCUGGUUGACAAUUUAAGACACUAGUAAAGUAUUUCGCUAUGAUUAUUUUUUUUUGAGAAUUCCAUGAUUCAAAAGGCCGAAGAAUUUCAUUAGUUUAACAUAGUAUAUAUUAACAUAAUUUCUCACUGAGUGUUUUUUUCAACAUUUCAGGCAUGUACAUAUCAAAUUCCCAUUAUGUUCCACUGAAUUCUGCCUCAUGUUAUGUCCGGAUUUGUUGUAAUAAAUUUUGCUACUGUAAAAUUACAAGAUGAUUGUAACUUAAAAUGAACUAUUUCUAUUUGCUCAAUUUUUGACAUUUUAUAUGCAUACAAGUUAAAAAGGUUUUGUUUAUUUUUAUUUUUUUAUUUUUUCAGGUAAUGCAGAUUAGGGAAAAGAUUCAUGGAGCACAUCAUGAUAUGAUGGUGGAAGAUGCACUGCCCCAUGAUGGAUUGAAAAAGAGGAUGACUAUAGUGGAAAGCAAGACCGAGGAAGUAAUAGAAGACAGUGUUCAACCUGAAGAGCCAGAAGAGAAUGAUGAUAUUACUAGAUAUGGACCGGCAAUUUCAGGUGAGUUUGUGGAAGAAACAAAUUCAGAUGAGGGGUGGCAAGAAGCCAAUCCAAAAGGUAGGUCAGGAAAUGCUGCUGUUCGGAAGCUCAGCCGGAGGCGACCUGUUCUUACAAAGCUAAAUGUCAAUGGUUGUGAACAUUCAAAUCUUAGAGAAAAAGGCAAUAGACGGGAAAUUGUAUCUCCAGCACGGGAAAAAGCUUCAAGGACCACCACCACUGAGUUAACAGGCACGAAGGAUUCAAUUAAAUUGCAGGGAAAAGCUUCUGUCUCCAAAGUUUAUGCAAGUCCACCAAACCUUACUGCCAUGGCUUCCAAGUCGCUGUCUUACAAAGAAGUAGCUGUGGCACCACCAGGUACGGUUCUAAAGCCAUUACCAGAGAAACCUGACGAAGAAAUUGAAGAAAAAACUGAAACACAGAUGUGCAGUAAUGCUCCUGAGACAUCAAAGGCGGAGUUGAAUAACCAUUUCUCUCCCGUUGAAGAUGCGCCAGUUGAUGGUCAGUCUCAAGAAACUCAUGGAAGUGUAACUCAAUCUGAAACUACUGCUGCAGAUACCGAGGAAGUUCCUACUUCUUCUAAUGAGGAAAAGCCCAUGGAAACAAAUGGGAGUAAGCUUUCUGCCACAGCUGAACCAUUCAACCCAGGAGCUGUCUCCAUGACUCAUCUGCUAAACUCUGUAGCAGCCACGAGUAUUUAUGAUGCGAGAACUAGUCAAGGUAUGCUUGCAGAACCUGCUGUACCUUCGGCUGCUGCUAGAGUUCCUUGUGGGCCAAGGUCGCCUCUCUAUUAUAGAAAUAAUUAUUCUUACAUGAUGAAACAUGGAUUUCCAAAAUACCACUCUUCCAUUAUGGAAAGAAACCUGUUGGGGCCUUCAAGAAUCAUGAACCCGCAUGCACCCGAGUUUGUGCCAAUGAGAGGUUGGCAAAUAAAUCCUGGAUAUGCAGAUUCAAAUGUUUCAAAUGAGUCGAACUCUUCAAACGACACAAGUGAGGCAGACGAUGAGAAACUUGACAAAAUGUCCAGUAUUCAAGGCGAGGAUAAUACCUCAAGAAAGAGCAGUACAGAGGCGGAGAAUUCAGAGCUGGCAAGACAGAUACUACUUAGCUUCAUUGUAAAGUCAGUCCAGCAUAAUAUGGAUGCUCCAAGUCAUUCUUCAGGCUACGAAAAGAAGAUUGGGUAUUCAGAAAAUUCUUCAGAUGCAAUUGCAAAUGAUAGUGCUAUCAUAAAGAUCCUUUAUGGAAAUGAAAAGGGCAAAACAAACUUGGCAUCUCAGUCCAAUGAUCAAGAACAGCAAAAACCCAAAGAUGAAAACCAAAAAAGUGGGGAUGGUGAAGGAUUUAUAGUUGUCAGAAAACGGAGAAGAAACCGACAGCAGAUCACAAAUGGGGUCACUGAGAUGUACAAUCAUCAAUCCAUCUGUGCUUCUGUUCGUUAAAAGAGAGCAAAGCAAUAAAAUGCAAAGGUGCCGUCCUGUUUCUCCCAAUUUUAUUCGAAAAAUUUGUUAGUGAAUGUUGCUGUUGUAGAGAUGGUUAAAGUUUGGAGCAAGUUUUAAUCAAUACUUGAUUGUAUCAUUUUAGAUAUCCUCUCUGGAUGUUCUAAUAAAAUAUUUGUACAAAUCGGUUUCUUGUUUUGUUAAGAGAUUUUGUUUUGAUCAAUAAAUGAUGAUAAAUUAAUUGGGCGAUUUUCCUCAUCAAGAGAUCUGUGAUGUUGUUCUAUAAUGGAUUUUAAUGUUUUAGACUGAGAUUUGUAGUUAUGCCUCAAAUUAUUUGGUAUUUGGUUGGUGCGUGUGAACAAUACGUUCGGAAUGGAGUUGAAUUGACCCACUGAUAGAUAGCUUACAUUUGCAGCUGAAGUUGCUGCAUUGAUGAUAUUACAACUAACAUAGUAGUUGGCAAAAUUCCUUAUUCAAUUUAAAUUUGCAAUCAACAGAAACUGAAGAAGAAGCCGUAAGUUUAAUCCUAAUGGAUGCAUAGCUGUUUGGAGAAAAGCCAACGGAGACAUAACACAGCACGAUAAGUUAUACACGGCAGAACCGUAUGUGCUAGUAAGCACAGUCACCGAUGGAAAACAUAUUUGAAAAGCCAAUAGUAGCAUGUGUCAAUACAUCUAUCAAUGAAAUAGAACCACAGUCUGCGCCAGUACGAGUUUAUCCAAAGUGCUGCAAAUAAACCCAAAAUUACUGACACAUAGGAUGCUCCAAAACUCCAUCUUAAUGCCACCAUAUCAAUCACAGAAUCGCCUUCAUCUUCUCCUCCUCCUGUAGGUGUCGCUGGUGGUGCCAACGCACUGCUGCAUUUCCUCUUUAUCAUUGAGCCACAAAGAGCCGAAUUACCUUUAUAACUGCUGUCAUCAAAGGUGGCAAACUGCUCUUUGUCUGGGAUUGGGCCGGACAAAUUGUUGUAUGACACGUUGAAGUUUGAUAAAAAGUUGAGAUCAGUUAGUUGAGGAGGAAUUCGGCCACUUAAUUUGUUGCGGGAAAGGUCCAGGCUCUCUAUCAUUUUCAGAUUGGAGAAGCUCUCUGGUAUAGCACCUGAUAGUAAAUUAUUCGACAGAUUAAGUGCACGAAUAUGUUGAAGAUGCCCAAUUUCCCAUGGAAUUUCUCCACUGAACUCAUUGCUCGACAAAUCCAGUCCAGCCAUGUCGACGAGACUGCGACCGAUGAAAAAUUCAUAUCUAUACUUUGUCACAAAUUCUACACCUACUUGUCUAGCAUGUCGUUCACCUUGCGGCGGCUGAUCAAGAGUGGAAUUGUAGAAAGUAAAACUGAGAUCACGAGUUGACACAGCAAAUCCGGGUAUAAUAUUUGGAUAUAUCACUUCAUAUCUGUUUACAUGUGGAUAAUCAUCAAUCGCUUCUCUCCAGAAUGACACGUUACCCAAGCAUGAAGGUAUCGGCCCAUUAAGUCUGUUAUGUGAAAGAUCCAUGAUACCUAAUUUUCUUAAUAGGCACAACUGAUUAGGAAUACGUCCUUGUAGAGAAUUCCCUCUCAAAAGAAGAAAAUGCAAAUUCGAAAGCUCGUUGAUCUGAUGAGGAAUCCUACCAAAAAGCUUAUUGUCCCUCAAAUCUAGAGUCAAUAAUGUAGAGCUUCUAAGCAAUGCAAUUGGAAUUAACCCAUUAAUUGCAUUGUUAUGCAGAUAAAUGUGCUCCACUGAUGAAAGAUUGGAGAGAGAUACCGUGGACCCAGACAAACUAUUUUCGGAGAUGUCUAUAAACUCAAGACCUUCAAGAUUGCCGAGCUGGACCGGAAUAGUACCUUGCAAAUAAUUUUUUGACAUUAAAAGAACCCGAAGGCCUGAGAAGUUGCCAAUCCAGUGGGGAAUAUCGCUGGAUAACUUGUUGUUGGAUACAUCUAAUACCCCCAGCAAAGGGGAGUUCAACAAACCAUCUGUCAUCUUCCCACUGAAAUGAUUGUUGUCCAAAAGUAAGGAACGCAAAUGAGUCAAGUUCAUAAAAUUGGGAAAAAGUUGGCCAUAGAAAUUGUUAUUUGAUAGGUCCAACAUUUCUAAGGAGAGGCAACUAGAGAAUAUAGAUCGAGGUAAUUCUCCUGAAAAAUUAUUUCUAGAAAAAUCCAAAGUAAUUAGCUCUUUCAUCUCACUGAUUGAAUAAGGAAUAUUACCUUCAAAACUAUUUUUUGACAUAUCCAAAUAUAUCAAUUUCUGAAAGAUAAUACCCAAAUUCUCUGGUAGCUUACCAGAAAAAUUGUUACUGGAAAUAUCUAGAUAACGAAGCUUAUCGUAUUUGGCGUUGGGAAGUCGCGGAAGAAUUCCUGAGAAUGAGUUAUUCCACAAAAUCAAAACUUCUAAUCCUGUGUUGUUUUGCAACAACCAAGUUGGGAAAUUGCCAACCAACUGAUUGUGAGAGAGAUCAAGGAAUUUUAAGUUGUAUUGGUGUAAAAGAAAACUGGGAUUGACAUUUAAGUGGCAGUGAGAUAAUUGGAGAACCUUGAGAGGAUAUGUGGGGAGCCAGUUUUCGGUUUUCACUUGCAACAUAUCGUUUCCUGACGAGAGUCGCAAGACCUCAAGCUUUGAAUGAUUAGCCAAUGAAUUUAUUGAGAAUGUUCCUUGGAAAUCGAUGAAAGAGAGAUCCAAAUAUUCAAGUGAUGUGAGGUUGGUCAAGGCAGAAGGAAAGUUUCCACUUAACUGAUUGUAAGAAAUAUCAAGAACUUUGAGAUGGGUCAAGUUGUUGAGGCACUGAGGAAGGUGAACCACAAAAUUAUUUGACUUUAAAUCCAACUCAAGAAGAUUCUUCAAAUUACAUAUUCCUGAAAGUGAAAAUAAAAAGCUCAGAUUUCAUAAAACGAAAACUAAUUAUAGCGCAUUCAAUCAUAAACCCAAUAUAAGACUUAUAAAACGGACAUGAAAUCAAAUUGUCUAAGUAUUUUGGUCAACAUAAAUAAUAAUAGAAUGAUAUGAAUUUAUUUCUCAUAUAAUAUGAUGUUGAUUGCAAAAGCGUUUCAAUUAAUCUAACAAAAUAAUAAUAAUAAUAAUAUAAAAGCAGUCAGCAAUUCUUGCUCAUCAUAAUCCAUUCAAAAAGCGUUUCAGCAAUUCUCGUUGUUUAAAAUAAUGAUUUUCCGAGGAAGAGUUUGUUGACUUCGUCUUUUUCGUUGGAUAUUCGUUCUCUAAUCUCUAAAUUUGUUGGAUAAUGUAAAGAGAAACUCAUAAUAUAUUAGUUGCUUUCUUAAACUUUAUUUAUUCCUCUCAUAGCAUUAAACAAAACUAUUUGCCCUAGCAGAAAAAAAAAAAAAAAACUGGUCUUUAUAUUUAAUUUGGUGAAAGUACUUUGACCAACAAGUCACUGGGAAGUAGGAAUUGUGCAUCAGUAAUGCAAAUAUUGGGUGCGUUGGCAUUGUUUUUAUAUGCUGUUUUUUAUUUUUUGAUUUUAGAAAAUAUUAGAUACGUGUUCGGUAGAUUGUUUCUGAAAAUAUUUUUAAAAAUAUAAAAUUCAUUCUACACAUUUUAACAAAAGAAAUGAGAAACAAUUUUUUCUUAUUUUCCUUAUUUCCCAAUACAAAAUUAAGUUCCAAAAUGAAGAAUUCUCUGUACCUCCUCCUGAAAUAAUAAUAAUAUCAACAUUAUUAUUAUUAUUAUCAUUAGGUCUAAUUAUCUCUGGGUGACAGAUGUUUUAAUAAAUUUCAAAAAGAUGACACAUGUUUUGAAAACACUCGAGUGGGUGACAUUCCAUUAACUUUUGUUGUUAAUUUUAACCAGUCGAGGGUAGAAUUGAAAAAAUAAUUUUUUUUUUCAUAAAGCCAAAGAGAUGAAAAUAUUGAAUUUAUACAAUACUUUAUAAUUCAUAAGAUUUUUGCUUCUUUAUAUUCACAAAUCAGUUUGAUCAACAAGAAUUUUUUUAAAAUUUAUUUGAUUUAACAAAAAAAACUUGUUAAUUAGACUUAUGUUUAAUUUUUUUUUAUAUUUUCUAUUUAAAAAAUUAAAAAUGAGUGAGUAUGGGCAGAAACAUCAUUUUGUGGGGUAGAAACGUCAUUUAAUUUACUAUUCCCAUUAAAAUUAAUGACAAAAGUUAAUAGAAUGUCACUCGCUCGAAUAUUUUUAAAAAAUGUCAUCUUCUUAAAAUUUGUUAAAACAUAUGUCACCUAUUUGUUAAACAUAUGUCACCUAGAGAUUAUUAUUCUUAUUGUUGUUGUUGUUGUUGUUGUUGUACCCAAAGACUCAAUUUCCUUCACAAAAAUCUUUUCUUUUUAUAUACAUUAUAAUAUUUAUGUUUUUAUAUAUUAACUAAAUCAAAUAUGUAGGGUUUCUCAUUUUUCUUUGAACAAAAAAAUAGAAGGAUCACCUAAUUUAUUCUUAAAAUUAAAAUAAUCAAUAUACAUUGCUUAAUCUUAAGUUUAUGGAAAUUAUUCCAAUAAUAAUUCUUUGAGAUAUUCUUACCAAACAUAUUUAUGUUUUUCUCAUUUUUCAGAUUAUUUUUGAAAAUGAUACUGAACACAUUUUUAAAUUUUAAAAAUAAAUUUCAAAAUAGCAUUUUCAUUUUUAUUUUGUAAAAACAACAAUUAGAAAACAAUAUUGGGCUAUUAUUUAUCAUGUUUCAACAUAAAAACACAGUGUAAAUUGUUUAAUAUGGGUUUCUAGAGAAUUUUUUAUGUUACUAUUACUCAAAUUCAAUGCUUCCAAGCUUUUGAAUUUAGCUAAUCUUGCAUCAAGAAUUAAUGAACAUAAGAAAAAAAAAUUUCAUUCAGAACUAUAAAUAUUGAAAUAAAGAUAGAUAUCAUUGUUGAUCUUUUUAUAAAAAUGAUUUAGAAUUAAGAGAGAGUGAAAGAAAUGAGCGGGUUAUGUCGGAAAUUGGUGAUAGAGUAUAUCAAGUACUACACUUUGUAUAGAAAGCAGUGCUUCUAAUUUAAAUUUGAUCUAGUUUAAAGCAAUUAAAAAAUGGAAAUAUAUUAUCAUCUUGAUUAACAUCUAAAACAAUUUUAUCAUUGGAGGAAGUGAAUUGUUAUAUACCUUGAAUUGUAGUUAUCCCACAAUAACCAAGACCCAAUGUUUUCAAGUUUGGCAAAUCUGCGAAUCCUACAUGCGUCGAUAAAAAAUGAAAAUAUUACAUUUAAAGGCAUUGUAUGUGAUCCGCGUGUUUGAUGAACGUUAACUCUACAUUUAAUUUGCUUCUUAUCUCAAAUUCAGUGGCCUACCUAGCGUUGUCAGAUUUUGAUUAUCGCUUAAAUACAACACUUGCAGGUUUGUCAAAUUUGCUAAUCCUGCUAAAAAAAACAUAAAUUUUGUCAAUAACAGAUAUGUCACUCUCGUCUAAAUUGUUUAGUUAAAAUAAUAUGGUAAAUAUUGAAUGAAAAUUAACUGUGCACAUUGUUAUUUUUUUGUUUCUAUGGAUAUUUUAAUAUAUACCGUCACUUUUAGCAUUACCAAGAUUUGGAGUGUUUGAAUCAUAAUUUGUAAAUUAGUUUGCACUUUGAGUAAACUUGAAAAUGUGAAAAAAGCAAUUAAAAAAAAUGCAAAUAUAUUAUCAUCUUGAUUAACAUCUAAAACAAUUUUUGUCAUUGGAGGAAGUGAAUUGUUAUAUACCUUGAAUUGUAGUUAUCCCACAAGAACCAAGAUCCAAUGUUUUCAAGUUUGGCAAAUCUGCUAAUCCUACAUGCACCGAUAAAAAAUGAAAAUAUUACAUUUAAAGGCAUUAUAUGUGAUCCAUGCGUUUGAUGAACAUUAAUUCUACAUUUAAUUUGCUUCUUAUCUCAGAUUCAGUGGCCUACCUAGCGUUGUCAGAUUUUGAUUACCGCUUAAAUACAACACUUGCAGGUUUGUCAAAUUUGCUAAUCCUGUUAAAAAAAGGUAAAUUUUGUCAAUAACAGUUAUGUCACUCUCGUCCAAAUUGUUUAAUUAAAACAAUAUGGUAAAUAUUGAAUGAAAAUUAACUGUGCACAUUGUUAUUGUUUUUGUUUCUAUUGAUAUUUUAAUAUAUACAGUCACUUUUAGCAUUACCAAGAUUUGGAGUGUUUGAAUCAUAAUUUGUAAAUUAGUUUGCACUUGGAGUAAACUUGAAAAUGUGAAAAAAGCAAUUAAAAAAAUGCAAAUAUAUUAUCAUCUUGAUUAACAUCUAAAACAAUUUUUGUCAUUGGAGGAAGUGAAUUGUUAUAUACCUUGAAUUGUAGUUAUCCCAUAAGAACCAAGAUCCAAUGUUUUCAAGUUUGGCAAAUCUGCGAAUCCUACAUGCGCCGAUAAAAAAUGAAAAUAUUACAUUUAAAGGCAUUGUAUGUGAUCCGCGCGUUUGAUGAACAUUAAUUCUACAUUUAAUUUGCUUCUUAUCUCAGGUUCAGUGGCCUACCUAGUGUUGUCAGAUUUUGAUUACCGCUUAAAUACAACACUUGCAAGUUUGUCAAAUUUGCUAAUCCUGUUAAAAAAAGGUAAAUUUUGUCAAUAACAGUUAUGUCACUCUCGUCUAAAUUGUUUAAUUAAAAUAAUAUGGUAAAUAUUGAAUGAAAAUUAACCGUGCACAUUGUUAUUUUUUUGUUUCUAUGGAUAUUUUAAUAUAUACCGUCACUUUUAGCAUUACCAAGAUUUGGAGUGUUUGAAUCAUAAUUUGUAAAUUAGUUUGCACUUUGUGUAAACUUGAAAAUGUGAAAAAAGCAACUAAAAAAAAUGCAAAUAUAUUAUCAUCUUGAUUAACAUCUAAAACAAUUUUUGUCAUUGGAGGAAGUGAAUUGUUAUAUACCUUGAAUUGUAGUUAUCCCACAAGAACCAAGAUCCAAUGUUUUCAAGUUUGGCAAAUCUGCGAAUCCUACAUGCGUCGAUAAAAAAUGAAAAUAUUACAUUUAAAGGCAUUGUAUGUGAUCCGCGCAUUUGAUGAACAUUAAUUCUACAUUUAAUUUGCUUCUUAUCUCAGAUUCAGUGGCCUACCUAGCGUUGUCAGAUUUUGAUUAUCGCUUAAAUACAACACUUGCAGGUUUGUCAAAUUUGCUAAUCCUGUUAAAAAAAACAUAAAUUUUGUCAAUAACAGAUAUGUCACUCUUGUCUAAAUUGUUUAAUUAAAAUAAUAUGGUAAAUAUUGAAUGAAAAUUAAUUGUGCACAUUGUUUAAUUAAAAAAAUUAUUGUCUAAAGAACCGUGUAUAUAAUAAUUAGAACUCAAAUCCAACGCUUCCAAGUUUUUUAAUUUAGCUAAUCUUGCGCCAAGAAAGAAGAAAAAUCUUAGUAAUCGUCUUUGGGAAAAAAAUAAAGAAUUAAGAAAUUAGAUUAAAUAAUUGUAGUAAUAAAGCAUAUGACUCAGAUCUAAUUAAAUUGAUCAUAUACUCAAAAAUGAUUUUUUUUUAAAUUUUACUAAGAAAUUAGAAAGUAAUUUUUUGCCGUAUACCAAUUGUAGUCAAGUUUGUCAAGUUUUCCAGUCAAAAAUUGGUUUUAAUUUGACAUUAUACAUGUGUAAAAAUUAAGGGCAUAAUAAUAUCACAAGGAAUUUGGGUAGUGACUUGUUGCCGUGUGCUGACUUGGUAAUUAUCUCAGUAGCCUACCUAGCCUUGUUAAAGAGCCACUAGUUAUAUUGAAGUUCAAGCUUAGAUCCAACACUUGCAAGUAUCUCAAAUUUGCUAAUCCUGCUCAGAAAACAUUAAUUUUGAUCAAGACAAUAUAAAUAUACAUUUUAAUUAAGAAAUUAAUUAAGUUGCCUGAUAUGUAUAUCUGCUGGCCUGAAACGUAUAUGUAUACCUUGCUUGGUUCUGGAACCUUCAAUGGAAUUGGAAUUAAGAAUCAAAGUGGUAAGUGAAGUUAGUGUAUUCAAAUAUGGUAAUAUGCUGUCGUUGAAGAAAUUAAGACCAAGAUUUAACAUCUUCAGCUGCUUCAAACUCCCAAAGCUAUCGUAAGCUGCAAAUGCAUAUGAAGUGUUAUUAUUAAUUAGUCACUGACAAAAUAUUUAUGGACAAGAAAUAAAUGUAUACAUAUAUACGGACCUCUAUUCUCAUAGAUGCCUGCAAACCCAUUCCCAGAUAAGUCAAGACUUUGCAGUUCUUCAAAAGGAUGAAACAAUGACAUAUUCAGAACCAAAACUCCCUCCCAAUAAACAGAGUUAUUGAUCAGAAGCGAAGCCGAAGUACUAUCAAAAUAAUUCAAUCUGUGUGUAUGAUUGAGUGAGAGUUGCAUCACGCGUCGUGUGGUGGCGCUGCACUUAACUCCCUCCCAAUCAUCACAACAAUCAGACGGCAUUCCAUCAUCCUCACCAACCCAUGAAGGAAGAAUUUUGUCAUCAUAUCCAAUAUCACUGACUGAUGAUAUGAAGAAGCUCUUGAUUUCCAACAGAGCAGUCCUCUCUGUUUCCAAGCAUCCUUUGUAUCCAUGCAUUUCAUUCAUCAAUACAAUAAUCCAAAUUAGUGACAUUAAUGAGAACUUAAUACAGGAAGUACUUUCCAUUGCAGAGCAACUUUUCAUUUGGUUAAAAUUAAAUGUGCAAUGAGCAACUUUCCAUUGCAGAGCAAUUUAUACUAAAAGUUUAUCGCAGGUCUUGCAAUUUGAUUGGCUGAAGACUUUUUUAAGACUUUGAAGACUUGUAAGCAUUCCAUGUUUGGCAGCAUUCGACCAACGGGAAAAAGCACUUCAUUAAUACCCCGGGGAAAAUAUAGAUAAAGUGAUUAUAAACUAUAAAUUUUUCCAAUAGUUUGAUGGAGAUAAUCAUAACUAAUAAAAUAAAAGUUGACUGAGAGAAUUUAAAUAAUUUAACCGCAUGUUUGGAUUUCCAUUGCAUUAUCAGUCAAUCUAUUAAAUAAUGUGUUUUGAGAAGAAUUUGAUUGGAUGUUUGAUGAGUUUAAAUUAAUUUAUUAGAAAAUCAAUAAUUAAUCAACGUAAAUCUUCGUGUAUGUUUAGUUAGUGUGGCGUAGUCUGAAAUGACAAAACACAUAAAUGUUAUUUGAAGCUCUUGUGACCCUUUGUGUUCCUGCAUUCGGAUAAGGAAAGUUUCCAUUGCUCCAGUCUACACUCUUCACUACUAUUACAAUCACUUGAAAUGACAAAAACAGAAACUUCGUAUGAACAUGGGACCGAUGUACGGGUCCAAUUUAAAUGACCCUAGCUAAUUUUGCAUAUAUUAUUGCAACUACGUGGAAAAUUAAAGUUGACUGACUUUCAAAUUAAGCCAACAAACAAGUGGCCAUCAACUCUUUUCCCUCUAUGAUUGGUUUUUUUUUUUUUUUUAAAUUGAAUUGUAAGAUUGGGUUUGCAUUGAAUUAUCCAACAAUCUAUUCAAGCAUUGAUAUUUGAUAUUAUCAAAUAUUUAAUGGGUUUUGAAAAUUAUUUACUAGAUUUUUGAUAAAUUGAUUUUUAUUAUUUCAUGAUCAAUAAUUAAUCAAGUAAUUUUAUAUAUAUAUAUAUUUGGUAUUUGGUAAUUUACUCAUAAAAAGUGUGGAUCACAUUGAAAUGUUAUUUUAUAUGAUGCAUGACAUACGGAGAGGUGCAGUUUAAAUGCGCAAAUAAUUUAUUUAUUAUAACAUGCAAUCAUUGAGUUAAAGCGCAAGCGUGAGUUUGGAUUUGAAAUAUUCAAAUAAUUUAUUUCAUUAUUGAUUCUUAAAUAACAUGCUUUGGAAUUAAUAGUUCGAUAGGAUGUUUGAUAUAUUGAAAUUUGUGAUAAUCAAUAAUCAACUAAUUUUCAUUCAUAUUUAAAGAUUUUAAUAAAUUACUCAUAAAAUUGUGGCGUAUAUUGAAAUGACAAUCAAUCUUGAUAUUGACUGACAAUCAAUUUUUAUAGUGAUUGGCACUUAAGACAAUCAGUUUUGGUCUCCGUAAUGACUAAUGAAGAAUUGUAAGCCUGAAAUUCCACAUGUUGCAAUGUUGGACCAAUGAGGGAAAUGCUUCAUUAACAUUACAUGGAAAAUAAAUGUUGACUGACUUUCAAAUUAGGCCAACAUACAAGUAGUCGUCAAUUCUAUUUUUUCCAACAGUUGAUAAAGAUGGCAAGUUAAGAAAAAAAAAAGUUGAUUGAGAUAAUUUAAAGAAUUUAAGCGUAAGUUUGGGUUUGAAAUUAUCAAAUAAUUUAUUCCAGCAUUGAUUCUUAAAUAAUGUACUUUGGAAUUAAUAACUCAAUAGGAUGUUUGACAUAUUGAAAUUUGUGAAAAUCAAUAAUCAAUUAUUUUUCAUACAUGUUUAGACAUUUUAAUAAAUUACUCAUAAAUUUGUGGUGUACACCGAAAUAAUAAGUUAAUAAAUUGAAAUGAUAUCUAAAACUCUUGAGUCCCUUUGUAUCCUUGCAUUAAUUUGAAUUGAAGCUCGAAUUAAAAUCGAAGACCCAUAUUGAGAAUUUAUAUAAGUAACUUAAGAGUAUGAUUGGGUUUACAUUGACUUAUAUAUAUCAAACAAUAUAUUCAAGCGCUGAUAUUCUCAAAAAAAGAAAAAAAAAGACAAUCAAUCUUUGCGUCAACUGAUAUUAUUGAUUGGUAAUAAAUCUUAGUAGUGAUUGACAAAGCUUGGGAAAAUCACUCUCGGUGAUUAAUAGUCUUCGUCCUCAUCUUUGUUUUGAUCGUUGUGAUAGAGGAUGAGUGGUGCGUAAGAGAGGGUUCAUCGCUUGCGGAAUUUUCGCGGCCAUUCAAGAAUCAGGAUGGUUGUUGUAGAAUUCCACGAGAAUUGGCCUUGCAAUUAGGGAAAGUUCAAUAUUAAUUUAUACUAAAAGUUUAUCUUAGGCCAAUCACAAUGACCACCAAAACCUAUGAAUAAUUAGUCCAUCGAAACCCAAUGUAUGCUCAAUUAAUAUUUCCUAUCAAGAUCAAAUUUUUCGCUCUUCACCAAUCAUGAGCAUAAAAGCUCGAUUUAUACAAAAAUUAAGAAUUUAUGAAAAAAAGUCACAAUUAUUAUAAUUGGAAGUUUGAUUGAUUUUUAAAGAUUGAUUCAAUCAAUCUUAAUGUUACUGGACAAUCGAUCUUAAUAUUAAUUCAAAAUCAAUCUUUAUAGCAAUUGGCACAAAUAAAGAUAAUUAGUUUUGGUCUCUAUAAUGACUGACGAAGACUUGUAGGACCUGGACCAAUGAGGAAAAACGCUUCAUUAAUACUCCAUGGAAAAUAAAUGUUGACUGACUUUCAAAUUAAGCCAACAUACAAAUGGUCGUCAAUUCUAUUUUUUACAAAAAUUGAUGGAGAUAGUCAACUAAUAAAAUAAAAUUGAUUGAGAUAAUUUAAAGAAUUUAGGCAUAAGUUUGGGUUUUAAAUUAUCAAAUAAUUUAUUCCACUAUUGAUACUUAAAAAAAUGCUUUGGAAUUCAUAAUUCAAUAGGAUGUUUGAUAAAUUGGAAUUUGUGAAAAUCAAUAAUCAACUAUUUUCACAAUAAACUGAGAUUUUUUUUUUUUGAAAGCCAAUAGAAACAUGAAUUAUAGUACAUCCAUCGAUUGACGUAUAAUUAUAAUCAUAUAAUCAAACACGCACACUACAAGGCGACCUUCGAUUGACGUAUUCUGUCGACUAACCCAGGGACAUGGAGGAUGUUUUAACGUUAUAUAAAAAAAAAAUGAUGAAUAAUAUAGUUCCCGGCAGUGCUAAAAAAUGAUCAAUAAUCGGAUGAGGAAAUUUACGAAAGAUUUAUUAAAUGAUCAGAGACUUUCUGCAAUUUCAUUGACUUAUUCUACGAUAAUUAUAAUCAAACACGCACACUGCAAGGCGACCUUCGAUUGACGUACUCUGUCAACUAACCAAGGGACAGGGAGGAUGUGUGUUGACGUUAACCAAUAGCCAAGUUUAUAAACACAAUCAAGCAAUCAUAUGAUCAAUCAGAGCCACAUUCGACGCACGACUAGUAAAUAUCAUAAUUGAGUUUGAGGACCACAGCCUUACGGUGAAAGAAUUUGAAUGGAGAUCACUGCCAAAUCGUUUUUUGUCUGGGAUCAGACCAGACAAGUUCUUGUAUGACUCGUUAAAGUUGGAUAAAUAGUUGAUGAGUGAUCUGAAGAUCACUGAUAAGAAAUUUUGUCAUUUUUGUUUGGUAAAUUAUUCGUAAAAUUAUGGUCUACUCUGAAAUUACAAAAAUAAGCAUAAUUAAUUUGGAUAAAGGAAAAGCAAAGGAAAUUGAGAAGGAAACCAGAGGAAGGCUAAAGAAAAAUAAGCCGAUUCAUCAGUAACUCAAGAUCACAACUUUGGAUUUUUUUAGCAUCUGAAAUUUCAACAACUAUUCAAGUGAUGCGAGGUUGGUCAAGGUGGAAGGAAAGUUUCCACUUAAUUGAUUAUUAGAAAUAUCAAGAACUUUGAGAUUGGUCAAGUUGUUGAGACACUGAGGAAGGUGACCCUCAAAGUUAUUUGAGCUUAGAUCCAACUCAAAAAGAUUCUUAAAAUUACAUAGUCCUGAACUUGAAAAUAAAAGAUCAAAAUUUUAUAGAAUGAAAACUAAUUAUAGCAAAUUCGAUCAAAAUCCAGUACAAGACUUAAAAAACAGACAAAAAUCGAAUUGCCUAAUUAUUUUGGUCAGCACAAAUAAUAAUAGAGUAAUGUGAACUUAUUUCUCAUAUAAUAUGAUGUUGAUUGCAAAAGCGUUUCAAUAAUCUGGAAAAAGGGGAAAAAAAAAUAAGCCCUCAGCACUUUUUGUUUAUCAUAGCCCGGAGUCCUUCUUGUUUAACAUUAUGAUUUUCUGAGGAAGAAUUUGUUCACUUGAUGUUGUUCAUUGGACAAUGGUUCUGUAACCUCUAAACCUAUUGGAUAAUGUAAAGAGAAAUUCAUAAUAUUUUAGUUGUCUUCUUAAAUAAUAAAUUGUCUUAAAAUACAAUUAAUUUGUCUUAAAUUUAAUCUAUUUCUCAGUAUUUAAAGAAAAACAAAAAGAAAAAAAGAAAAAGAAAAACGAACUGGUCUUCAUAUAUAAUUUUGUCCAAGUACUUUGAUCAACAAAUCAUUAGGAAGGUGGUGUAUCAGUGAUGCAAAUAUUUAAUUAUCAUGUUUCAACAUAACAAUUCUGUGUAAAUUGUUCACUUUAUGUUUCUAGAGAACUGUUUAUAUUAUUAUUACUACUCAAAUUCAAUGCUUCCAAGUAUUUGAAUUUAAUUAGCUAAUCCUGUAUCAAGAAUUAAUUAAUGAACAUAAGAUAAAUGUCAUAUUAGUUAGAUUUAGAUUUUUUUUUCCAGUUUUGAUGUAUAGAUAAUGUUUUCAACUGGUUUUGGGGUAAGAAAAGCCAAACCAAUCUAGAACAAUAAAUUUGUUAUUUUGAGGGGAGAUGGGGUACCUCACUGGUUUAUUGUGUGUUGGGCGGUGUAUCUAAGAUUUUGGGGAGGUGAGAAAGGGAGAGAGAGUGGUAACAAUGGUGGAAGAUCAGAAACAAGAGAGGUAUCCUUCAAAAUGAGCUUCACGCCUGCAAAACAAUGAAAUAGAGGUUAGAGGUGAAGCCGGGGGUACCCCGGCGUUCACACUCCGACGCUCAAGUUAGCAAACUCAAGCUUUUAUUGCAAAGAGAGCUAGCUAGCCCUCUGUAAAUUAGGGUUUAAGGUUGAAGAAAACCUCUUUUUUGGAGUGUGAGUGUUUUUGGGCGAAUGAGAGCAUGAUGGAGAAUGAAACCUAGGCGCCUUUAUAUAUGGAGUACCUUAGCUGCCACGUGGCAUACCCUUUUUGGCUAACGUCCUUUUACCGCUUUUAUGAUUCUUGGGGCCGUUAUGUGCAUGUUCGCGGCGUAUCUCAUCUUUUGGAAACGUGGCGCGCGCUGGAGAGUGGUCCAGGGUACCUCUGCAGUAGCUGUCGGGUAGGCGGCUAGGGACCACUGUCCUUGGGACAGUGUCCUUCACUUUUGGCAGAGGUAGCAGACGGCUGUCCCUCCUUUUAGCACGUCGCUUUUGAUUCCUAAUUCUGACAAAAUCAAAUGAUAUCUUUUAGGAGGCGGAGACGUUUCUCAUGGCGGAUAUUUUCGGUGGAUUCUCUUGCAUCCGCUUUGCCGGGUACCUCGAAUUACAUGGGGUACCCCCUAUUACGCAGGGUACCCCUAUCUGUAUGGGAUACCUCUAUUUGUAUGGGGUACCUCUAUUUGUAUGGGGGUACCUCUAUUUGUGUGGGAUACCUCUAAUUGUGCAGGGUACCUCUAUUUAUACGGGGUACCUCAAGUCAUGUCGGGCACCUCGGAUUAUGUAGGGUACCUCCGAUUGUGCUGAUAUCAUUCCAUUGGCUGACACGUGGCGCUCUAUUACCUUUCCCAUCUUUCCCUCAAACAACAUCCCCCUAGUUUCUUUUUGGCGAGAAGUAUUGGAGGCAAAAGAAACUUAUUGUAUGAGUGACACGUGGCGAUGCGGCUGGAUCGGAGGGUACCUUGCUUAGCUUCUUCCCUUGACUAAACUUUGUGUACUUCAAACUAAAAAUCUUCUCUUUGUCUUUUCCUUUUCCCGCUUUUUUUUUUUUUUUUUUUACACGAUGAGAACGAACAGUUGUCUUCAUAUGUCUCUCUCCUUUUUCUUGGGAAGUGGCAGCCGUCUGACACGCAGUUUGAAUUUUGAAAAUACAAAUCUCACUCAAACAUCCUUGAACUCCUUUCUUGAGCAACGUGUUCUGUCAGGUUGAAUUUAAAACUCCUGACGUGUGUCAAAGUUUUGAAAAUCCCCAAACGAACUCCCAAAAAUUGAUUAUUUCCAGUAGCCUUUUUCUUCCAUAAUUUCGUCUCUUCUUCUAACUGGAUCAACAUUUCCAGUAGCCUUUUUUUUUUUUUUUUUUUUUUUUUUUUUUUUUUUUUUUAGCCUUGUUCAUCUUCCCUAGGCUUUACUCUCCCUUUACUCUUUUUCUUUUAUUUCUUUCCCAUUUUCUUUCUCCCUUUUCUUUCUCACGUUUCUCUUUCCUUUUUCUCUCUUUUCCUUCUUCCUUUUCUUUCUUUCUUCUUUCUCUUUCUCUCUCGGCCGGCGUUGAUCUGGUACGUUUUCCGGCGUGGAUCUCGGCUGCUGCAGUGGCGGUUUUGGGCUCCAGAUCUGGUCGGUUCAAGGCGAUUUCCGGCGGCUCACGGCGAGAUCUCAGUCCGGCGAUACACACGGUAACCCCUCCUUCAUCGUUUCUUUAUUUUUCCCUUGGUGCUUUCUCUCUUCCUUCCCUUUUCUUCUCUUUUUCGUUUCGGCUUGGUGUUUUUCUCUGUGAUUUCCGGCGUCGGUUUGGUGUGGUUGCAGCCGGCGUCGGUUCGGUGCUUGCAGCCACGACAGCCGGCGUCGGUUUGGUGGCUGCUGUCCCUUCUUCCGUGUUGUCUUCUCUGUUCUUCGUUUUCUUUUUUUUUUUUUUUUUUUUGGCUGGCGUCCUCCUUUGGCGGUUUCCGGCAUCCUUCUCGUGAUCUCCGGCGUCGGUUCUCGGUGGUUGCAGCCAUGACAUCUGACGCCGGUUGCUGCAGCUUCUUCGUUCUUCAUUUUAUUUAUUCAUUUAUUUAUAAAUAACUAUAUAUAUUUAAGCUUAUUUUUGUUUUUAUACUUGCAUAUUUUUACCCACUAUUUUUGGUUGCCUGCAGCUUCAUUUCGCCGCGAUUAUCAAUCCCGAUCUGUUGAAUUGGUGAAUCACAGGUAUCCCUCCUCGCUUCUCCUCCUUUGGCGCAUUCACAGUGGCGCUAUUUUGCAUACUCUGAGAAAAUUUUGUUUUUGGUUUUUGUUGUUUUUUUUUUUUUUGUUUUGUUGGUUGGUGUUUGCAUUUGGUGGUUGAUGUGUGGUGGAUGGUGCUUGGUAUGGAUAUAUUGCUGUUUGGAAAACAUGUGGCUUGUUGGAUGUGUUGUUGGGGGCUUGUGGAUAUGUUGUUGGGUGUAUCGUUGGGUGUAUUGUUGGGGAACUUGUGGAUGUGCUGUUAGGGGCUUGUGGAUGUGCUGUUGGGGAACUUGUGGGUGUGUUGUUGGGGAAAAGUAGAUGGGCAAAAAGCACACGGGACCCCCGAUGAAGCGACGUAAAGUUGGGGCUAGUAGGGUUGACAACCCUCCUGCGGGUUCCCCUUCCCACAUCUCCAUCAGCGAGGGGGAUCGGUCCCCUCCUAAUUCCUCUAUGAGUUGCAAUUCUCGUUCUGAGCCCCCUCCUCCUAGGAGUACCCCUCGUGUCAGCCCACGCUUUCCUAGUAGACGGCCUACCCCUCAUCCUCGAAAGAAGGGUAAGCCAACCAAGCCUAAGGUUCCAGCUCGUUCCUCGGACCAGCCGCCUAAAUCUCCCCCUGCCACACCUUCAAAAUCUAGCAACCCUUUUUCCCUAGGCAUUAGGAGGGCUACUUUGGGGGAGUUGGAGCAAAUUAGAGCCAAAUACAAUAUUCCUCCGUCUGUCCAGCUUAGGGUACCCCAUGUGAAUGAGCGACCCGAGUGUCCAAAGUCUGAUGGGAUUGCUCUCCAUAUCGAUCUCUUCGAUCUAGGACUCCGCCUGCCCCUCCAACCAUUCUUUAUGAAAAUGUUUAGUUACUUGGGGGUAGCUCCUGGGCAGCUGUCCCUUCCAGGGUGGAGGACACUGACGGGCUUACAUGUGUUAUGGUUGGAGGUCGUGAAGCGCGACAUUUCUGUUCGGGAGUUGAGGGGCCUUUACCAAUUCAAGAAGCCUAAGGGUCCCGGCAUUGCUUACUUCUCUCCCUGGGGUGAUCAUGGCCACAUCGUUGAGGGGAACCCCGCCUUGAAGAAGGGUUACCGAAAGGGAUGAUUUGUCGCUGAGGGUACCUCCCACAGCGGGUCAAAGGGUACCCCUCGCUCGAAGAAGAGAAAAUUCGGGCUGGUUUCUACUUUUCCCGAUGAGUUACGUGAGGGUGACUUAGACCCGGCUUCUAACAAGGAGGUUUCGCACUUGGCUCGCCACUUUUACUACUCUGCUGAAAAUGUUACCUCCGAGGUUGCUGAAGAGGUUGACAAGAUGAGCUUGAGCCAGCGUUAUGGUCAAGCACUUAGGGCUACCCAAGAGGUAGGCUUUCUUGGGGUACCCCGGGUGUACUCUUCAUCAUUUUCUUUUUACUUAUUUGAUCUUUUCGCCAUACACAUAUAUUUAACAUGUCUUGCAUGACCCGCAGGCAUCCUUUCUCCUUAGCCACUGCCUUCCGGAUCUCGACUCCCUUGUUGCCGCACAGUCAGAGGUCGACAAGUUAAGGAGUGAGCUUCAAAGCCGUCAAUCUCGUGAGGAUCAGCUCGCUCGAGAAGUUAAAACUCUGCAAGAACGCAUUGCUGGCCUAUCGGGAGAGAAAGCUAGGGUGGAGAAGGAUUGUGAGGAGUUGAGGGCCACCAACGGGGAUCUGCUAUCUCGGCAAAAGACGAUGGCGGAGGAUGCAUUCUCACUCAUCAUGACAGAGGUGUGGAGUGUGGAUCCGGCGUUGGAGGUACCCCGCGUGCAGAAAUUUGUCAACAAGGCUGCCAUUCUGAAGACAAUUGCAGAGCGGAAGAAGUCUUCCCAGGCACGGUCGGGUACCCCUUCUGGGUCGCCUGGGGUACCCCAUCAGCCUCAGUCGUUGCCCGCCUCGGAUGCCCCUAUUUCGGCGGCUCAUAUUCCGGGUACCUCGGAGUCUUCUGCCGAUCGCCCUCUAGAGACGGAUGUUGGGGAUCGCGUUCCCCCCUCGGUGUAGCCUUCUCACUGUGCUCUUGUUUAUCGGAUCUAUCCACAUUUUGCUAUUUGGACCUUGUUUAUUUCUUUUUGGUUUCUCGGGAUAUUUUGUUUUAUUGAGACUUCUCUUUUGUUAUGAUACCAUACCAUCUAGUCCUCUUGUACUUUGCAUUAUUCUGCAAAUGAAUGCUUGGCUAAACUGUUAUCUUACAAAUUCCUAGGGUACCUCUCAUUUCAUCAUUUUUUUUAAAAUGGGGUACCCCUGGUACCUUAACAAGUAUUCAACAUCAGGCGCCUGCUGGUUUACACUGAGCGGCGAAUUUGGUGCAUGCCCUCCUCGGCAACCAUGGCGGAUUUUCCACAAAUAGGUAAUCAAAACAUCGUCGCGACAUCUCGAUCAAAAAUUGAAAGUGCGCAAUUGGUCCAACCAAUCAAUUUCUUAUUCUUUCGAAGUGCUCUCCGAAUUUUUGAAUAGCUUACCCCAUACUUUGCAAAAGUACGAGGAUGGAGGUGUGGGUGUUCUCAUACCUAAGCCGAACUUCGUGCCGCUAGGGUAUGCCGGUUUUUCUUCACCCUCGGGUCCUCUUUGACCCUCCCUCUCUUUGUCUAGGUAGCUUUGUCAUGCUUCCGCAGAAAGGCUACCCCUGGGCUGUUCACUCCAUUGCCUAUCUUGGCUUUACACAGAUCGUCACGAUCUAGGCAUAUCAAGUACCUUGGCUGGUCCUGUGAUAGGUUAGUCAUAACUGACAAGCGUAUGGCGAGAAUUGCAUAUAACCAGAUGCGAGGGUAUAUUAAUGGCGAUAAAUGAAUGUAAUCUGCAUUCUAAGAUCGAAGUGGCGAAAAAUAAAGAAAGAACUCACAUCAUAUUUGUUGAGAAAGAAAAUGCAUUUAUAGAUAACGAAAGCGUUGAUCAAUACAUGACUUAGCUUUGUUACCCUGAGGAGAAUGGGAGACCGCAAGACCUCCUAUUCUUUUCAUUUGAAAAUUAAAGAAACUCUAAAGUUGUAACUGACCAACAUAGGGCAUUUGGGGUACCCUAUUUGGCAUACCACACAAAAACAUUAAAGAAAGCAAAUAACAGCAAAAGACUAAAGGUUGAGACACUGUCCUUUAGUAAUAUUUCCGUAGCAUUGCAGCGUUCCAGGGGUGCCUCACAAUUGUGCCAUCCAUGUGGAGUAGCCUGUAUGCACCUGUCCCAACGGGUUUGUCGAUGCGGUAAGGUCCUUCCCAAUUUGCCCCGAAAGCACCUUCGUAGGGUACCCUAGUGUUCUGAGUUACCAUUCUCAAGACUAAGUCUCCUUUCUUGAAGGAUCGAGGGCGUACCCUUUUUUCAUAUAGACCCGAAAUGCGAUGCUGAUAUAUGGAUGUCCUCAGUUCUGCUCUAGCCCUUUUUUCAGCUACCAAAUCAAGGUUUGAAGCAACCAAGGAGGUGUUCUCGGCCUCAUCGAAGUAUUCAACCCUGUGAGAGGGUACCCCGAUUUCUGCUGGAAUCACUGCGUCAACACCGAAUGCGAGGGAAAACGGGGUCUCCCUGGUGGAGGUGUUUUGAGUAGUCCGGUAUGCCCACAGUACGCCAGGUAGCUCGUCUACCCAUGCUCCAUUUCUUUCCUCUAGCUUCUUCUUCAGGAUACCUUUGAUAAUCUUGUUAACGGCUUCGACUUGCCCAUUAGAUUGGGGGUGGGCAGGUGUAGCAAAUCGGUUGGCUAUCCCCAACUCCGAACAAAAUCUUCAGAAUUUUUCAUUAUCGAAUUGCUUGCCGUUAUCACUGACAAUUGCAUAGGGGAUUCCAAAUCUGCAAAUGAGGUUCUUCCAAAUGAAUUCGGUGGUUUUCCUUUCUGUGAUGCUUGUUAGUGGCUCCACUUCCGCCCAUUUUGUAAAAUAAUCUACCGCCACGAUUGCAUGUUUUGCUUGCCCCUUUCCGGUAGGCAAUGGGCCAAUGAGGUCCACUCCCCACAUAGCGAAGGGCCAAGGGGAAGAUAUAACUGUUAGCUUCUCUGGGGGUAGAUGGGGUACCCUAGCGAACCUCUGGCAUUUGUCACAGCUUCGUACCAUAUUCUUGGCAUCCUCCCGCAUGGUUGGCCAAUAGUACCCCUGACGGAGAGCUUUUUGCGCCAGUGAUUGUGCUCCAUAGUGAUUGCCACAAAUCCCCUCAUGUAUCUCCCUCAUGACAUACUUGGCCUCGUCGCUUCCCAAGCAUCUAAGGUAAGGAAGAGUGAACCCUCUUCUAUAUAGGGUAUCCUGGAUCAAGCAAUACCGGGCAGCUUUAUACUUUAGUCUUCUCGCUUCACUUUUAUCUGAGGGGAGGUCUCCGUCCUUGAGGUGCCUUAUGAUAGGCUCCAUCCAAAGUACCUCGUUGGACAGUGAUCCUACUUCCAACGGCUCUAGGAGAUCAAUGCUGGGGGUGGGUAUGUGUUCUGUUGUGAUGGGGCCAGCUGACUGAGCUACACCAAGGGACGCCAUUUUUGCUAGGGUAUCGGCUUCGCUGUUCUCCAGUCGGGGUACCCUUUCCACUUUAACCUCGCAAAAUUGGGACAUUAAUUCUCUGGUUUUUUCGAGGUACCCCUUCAUGUUUUCCUCUUUCGCCUGAUAUUGUGCGGUAAUCUGGCUUACCACCAACUGUGAGUCACUCUUGACGUGUACCCUUUUUGCUCCCAAAGCCUUUGACAUCCUCAACCCCGCUAUGAUUGCCUCAUACUCGGCUUCGUUGUUUGAAGCCUUGAAUCCGAAUUGCAGGGCGUAGUAUAUUUUCACCUUGUUCGGGUUGAUGAUAAUAACUCCUGCGCCACUUCCGUGUGAGUUAGAGGAACCAUCCACAUAUAUUUCCCAGACCUGCUCCUCUUCAUUGGUGGGUAGGGUAUCUAACAGGUAUCUCAGAUCACAUUCACCACUUGAGUCAUUGGCGAAUUCCGCAAUGAAAUCAGCAAUGGCCUGAGCUUUAAUCGCCGAACGAAGCUUGAAGAUGAUGUCGAACUCGCUUAAUUCGAGGGACCAUCGGAGAAGCCUUCCGGACAUGUCUAACUUCUGAAGGAUUUGCCGGAGGGGAAGGUUGGUGACGACUGCAAUGGUGUGAGCCUGAAAAUAUGGUCUGAGCUUCCGUGCGGAGAUAACCAAUGCCAAAAUGAUCUUCUCAGAGGUGGGGUACCUUUUUUCGGCAUCAACCAUAGCCUUACUAGUGUAGUAAAUAGGUCGUUGUACCCCAUUAUCAUCCUCUCGGAGUAACACAGAGCUGGUGGCAUGCUCGGAUACGGCGAGAUAUAGCAGCAGCACCUCUCCCGGCUCAGGUUUGGCAAGUAGUGGAGCAUUCACGAGGUACCCCUUCAGUUCUUGGAAAGCCUCUUCGCAAUCGGGUGUCCAUUGGAGCUUUUUACCGGUCUUCAAAGCUUUGAAAAAGGGCUUACACCGAUCGGUAGCCUUGGAGAUAAAACGGCUCAGAGCAGCUACCCGACCUGUUGUACCAUGAACCCGAGAAACUUUCCCGAGGUUACCCCAAAUGCACAUUUUUCAGGGUUUAGCCGCAUCUGAUGUUUUCUCAAAACGGUAAAGGUAUCUCUGAGGUGCCCCAGGUGUUACCCCAAAUGCACAUUUUUCAGGGUUUAGCCGCAUCUGAUGUUUUCUCAAAACGGUAAAGGUAUCUCUGAGGUGCCCCAGGUGUUACCCCAAAUGCACAUUUUUCAGGGUUUAGCCGCAUCUGAUGUUUUCUCAAAACGGUAAAGGUAUCUCUGAGGUGCCCCAGGUGUUCCCCCGCAUGCACCGAUUUGGUGAUCAUGUCGUCUAUGUACACCUCCAUGGUGCGCCCGAUUUGUUCUUUGAAAAUUUUGUUCACUAGCCGCUGGUAGGUAGCCCCGGCAUUCUUCAAACCAAACGGCAGGCGUCCAUAAAACUAAGCAUUUCAUGCCUCGCUGUUGCAUCAACCAGCUGGUCCACCCGAGGAAGCGGGAAGCUAUCCUUGGGGCAGGACUUAUUCAAGUCGGUGAAGUCCACGCACAUGCGCCACUUUCCGUUUGAUUUCUUGACAAGAACAACGUUGGACACCCAAUCGGGGUACACUGCUUCCCGAAUAAACCGUGCUGCUGAUAGGCGGUCUACCUCUUGUUCAAUUGCAUCGUACCUCUCUUGAUUGAAGGCGCGAUGCUUCUGUUUGACCGGUUUAUUAUGCGGGCUGACAUUGAGUUUGUGACAUGAGAGAGAAUGUGGGAUACCCGGCAUAUCCGAGUAGGUCCAAGCAAAUACAUCGAGGUGCUCACAUAGGAAGGUGAUGAGUUUCUCCCUUUGUUCCUCCGAGAGGUUGGAGCCUACUUUCACUGUCUUUGUUGGGUCGGUGGCGCAAAUCGAGACUGAAAUAAGAUCUUCAACUGGGGUACCCCGCAUUUCAUCUUUCAAUAUCCGGGGAUCCAAAGGUGCCUCAACUUCACAUCUGGGCUCCUCCUGGUCCCCGUGGGGUACCCUCGAGCUAUCCCCCGUAACUGCUUCCAUCUCCCUUGGUGAAAACUCCAACUUUUCUCGUGGGUGGGCUACUUGAGGAGAUUUUUUCAGUACUGUUCUCCGCUGUCUAGCAAGUGCUCGCUUUGAGGGGGAAGGUGUGGGCUGGCUGCCACUAGGGUACCCCUUCAUUGGCGGAUCUGAAGCUAUUUGGUAAGUGACUUUGGAGGCCACGGAAUAACAUCCACGAGCCGAUUGCUGGUCCCCUUUAAUGGUGAUAACUUCUUGGGCGGCCGGGACUUUCAUGGCGAGAUAGUGCAUGGAUACCACCGCUUUAGUUGCUACUAAGAACGGCCUACCCAAUAUAAUAUUGUAGGCACCCGGGUGAUCUACAAUAAGAAAAUCAAUCAUAUGAACAACACGGUGAGGUACCUUACCAAGUGUAACGGGCAGCGUAAUGAUGCCUUUUGGUAUAACCAUAUCUCCGGCGAACCCAAUAAGAGGCGUAGCAUAUGGGGUGAUCUUUGGCGACUCAAUCAAUAGCUGAUCCAAGGCGCUUUUGAAAAUGAUGUCAACGGAGCUACCGGUAUCUACGAGAGUUUUUGCUACCUUACCAGUGGCAACCUUCAACGUAAUUACGAAGGCAUCAUCGUGGGGGUACGAGAUGCCCUCCGCAUCUUUUUCUGUAAAAAGGAUAGGCGGGGGAUGGUGGGGUACCUUCGGUGUACCCCAUUCAUUAAGGUUGACUUCUCUGCCCAUAUUGGUGGUUAUCGACAACGAUCUACCAUAGCCUUUGAUAGCCCUCCUAGAUUGGCCUGCUAAAGUCGGUCCGCCCAUGAUCAUUCGGACAUACACGCCUUUCUUGUGUCCAGGGGGUACCUCUCGUUCCGGACUGCCAUCAGCUACCCGCUUGCCUUUAUCCUGUUCCGCAGAUUUCCGAGCUUCUCUCAUGCCAGCAACAAAUUCUUUGAGGUACCCGCUAAGAAUCAAAGAUUCAAUUUCUUCUCGCAAGGUGAAGCACUCGGCUGUGCUGUGACCAAAGUCCUCAUGGAACUCGCAAUACUUCAGGCUACGCUUCAUGUUGGGGUACUUCUUCAUUGGCUUAGGAGGACGGAGGAGGCCGCUAUCCCGAAUAUGGUAGAAGAUCUGCUCUGGGGAUCGAUUCAGUGGGUGGUAAGAUUCAUACCGAGGCCUCGGCGGUGGCUCUCGUUGAUCCGGUGGUGGCGAUCUUGGAGGUUGGGGUACCCUUGAGGCACCCUGAGGGUUAUACCCUUGUCCCCGCAAGGCAGCCCGUGGAGGGCUCCGUGCUCGGGGUACCCGCGGUAUUGGGGCCUCCACCCUCUUGGGCUUCUCCUUGUUCUUUGUAACAUCGGCCUUAUCUUCUUGGCGCUUCAAUUGGCAUUUUUCGUCCAUCUCCAAUUGUUGCAACGCCCGAGAACGGGCUUCCCCAUAUGAAAGUGGACGCUUCUUUUGAAAAGAACGCCAUAACUUGCCCAACCGCAAAUUUUUCUCAAAAUGGGUCAAUGUGUAUUGGUUUCCAAAUGCUCCGGUUCGCAGCACCUCUUGGUGGAAACGACUUACAUACUCCGCCAAAGGCUCGGCUUCCCCUUGCUUGAUAAAGGCAAGUUUGGAGGCUACCCUAUCUUGAGUGGAAGCAUAGGAAAACUCUUUAGUAAAUUCAGAUAACAAUUGGUGUAAGGAAGAUAUGCUACCCGCUUUCAAAGAUCGAAACCAUGACUUCGCGGGGCCCGUGAGUGUGUGUGUAAACAUCCUACACAUGGCGCUCUCAUCUACACCCUUAAUGAGCAUUUGGUCACGGUAUAGCUCAGCAUGCUCCGAGGGAUCAGUGGUACCCGAGUAUUGGGGUAUCUGAGGCAUGGCGAACGCCUCGGGGAGAGCUGCUGUCCUAAUCUCCCUAGUGAAUGGUGAUUGGUAGGUCAUUGGCGUUGGUGCAGCUGUGAUGUUUUGCUUCUCGGAGAGGAGCUUCACUUGGGCUUCCAGGUUCUCCAUCUUUUCCACAAGUUCGAGGGGUACCCUCGGUGUACCUGAUGAUGUCGCCGCCAUUUGAGAAGCCCUUUUGGCGUUUAACUUCUCACGGAGAUCAUCGUGGGUACGCUUUGCACGCCUCGUACCCUGGCUACUGCGGGAAUUGCAAGAGGCAGUGGAACGCUCGUCGCGGGAGCCCAUGGUUUGAAACUUAGAACGGGUACCCGAUGGCCUAGGCUUUGGCUUGCUGGCCUCGGGUACCCCUCUUCUGACCAUAGCUUGGUCGUCCGUUUGAGGUGGUGGAGCUUCUAGCGUCACUGGUGGAAGUGAACUUUCGGGUGCCCGAGAUCCAACCGCCCUAAGUAUUGCGUGAGCAAGAUCCUCAAAACGCUUGUGCGAAAUAGGUUCUUCUUCUUGGCGAACACCCGUCGACUGCUUGACACCCUUGCCCUUACUGAUGCGGGCUACCCUUCUCGCGGGAUCACUGCCUUCACUGCUGCUGUCCUCUCUCAUCCUUGUAGGAUCCCCCAUUAAACCUUUAGGAGGUACGUCGGGUGCCAUGUAUUGGAGUACACACAACAACUAGUUUGGUAACCGUGGAGGAGGCUUUUUGUGCGUCUCCCCACAGACGGUGCCAAUUGUUUUCAACUGGUUUUGGGGUAAGAAAAGCCAAACCAAUCUAGAACAAUAAAUUUGUUAUUUUGAGGGGAGAUGGGGUACCUCACUGGUUUAUUGUGUGUUGGGCGGUGUAUCUAAGAUUUUGGGGAGGUGAGAAAGGGAGAGAGAGUGGUAACAAUGGUGGAAGAUCAGAAACAAGAGAGGUAUCCUUCAAAAUGAGCUUCACGCCUGCAAAACAAUGAAAUAGAGGUUAGAGGUGAAGCCGGGGGUACCCCGGCGUUCACACUCCGACGCUCAAGUUAGCAAACUCAAGCUUUUAUUGCAAAGAGAGCUAGCUAGCCCUCUGUAAAUUAGGGUUUAAGGUUGAAGAAAACCUCUUUUUUGGAGUGUGAGUGUUUUUGGGCGAAUGAGAGCAUGAUGGAGAAUGAAACCUAGGCGCCUUUAUAUAUGGAGUACCUUAGCUGCCACGUGGCAUACCCUUUUUGGCUAACGUCCUUUUACCGCUUUUAUGAUUCUUGGGGCCGUUAUGUGCAUGUUCGCGGCGUAUCUCAUCUUUUGGAAACGUGGCGCGCGCUGGAGAGUGGUCCAGGGUACCUCUGCAGUAGCUGUCGGGUAGGCGGCUAGGGACCACUGUCCUUGGGACAGUGUCCUUCACUUUUGGCAGAGGUAGCAGACGGCUGUCCCUCCUUUUAGCACGUCGCUUUUGAUUCCUAAUUCUGACAAAAUCAAAUGAUAUCUUUUAGGAGGCGGAGACGUUUCUCAUGGCGGAUAUUUUCGGUGGAUUCUCUUGCAUCCGCUUUGCCGGGUACCUCGAAUUACAUGGGGUACCCCCUAUUACGCAGGGUACCCCUAUCUGUAUGGGAUACCUCUAUUUGUAUGGGGUACCUCUAUUUGUAUGGGGGUACCUCUAUUUGUGUGGGAUACCUCUAAUUGUGCAGGGUACCUCUAUUUAUACGGGGUACCUCAAGUCAUGUCGGGCACCUCGGAUUAUGUAGGGUACCUCCGAUUGUGCUGAUAUCAUUCCAUUGGCUGACACAUGGCGCUCUAUUACCUUUCCCAUCUUUCCCUCAAACAGAUAAAAAUAAUACUUCAAAAGCAUUGAAAUGUAAGUGCUAUUAAAAAAACGUUUUUCAUUCAAAGCUAUAAGUAAUGAAAUGAAGAUAGAUAUCAUUGUUGAUUAAAAAAAAUUCAGAAAAAAAGAAAGAGUGAAAGAAAAGAGCUUGUUAUGUUAGAAAAUAGUGAUAGAGUAUGUUAAGGACUAAAAUUUAUUAAAGAAAGCAGUGGUUCUAUUUGAAAUUUGAUCAAGUUAGAAUUAGUCAAUUAUGCAUCGAGAAUGAAAAGAAUGAAGAAAGGGAAUUCAAAUUAGACUUACAAAAUUAUAAUAAAGUGAUUAGUUAAGAUCCAAUUAAGCUGAUUUACUAAAAAAAAAUAUUGAAAAAUAAAGGGCCAUAACAUUGCCAAAAGGACUAGGAAACUAAGUAGGAAGGGGUGAUUGUUGCGGAAUACCUUGAAGUGUAGUUAUUCCACAACCACGAAGACCAAUUGCUUUCGAGUUUUGUCAAAUAUAUAUGCCAAUCCUACAACAAUAUAAAGCAAAAUGUUACUAUCAAAUUAUUGUAGAAGACUGUGAUCGUUGUGAUAGAUCGGUAAUUUUAGUAGCUUACCUAGCCUUCUUAAAGAGCCACUUGUUAGAUUGAGGUUCCAGGUUAGAUCCAACACUUUCAAGUUUCUCAGUAAACAUUAAUUUUGAUCAAAACAAUAGACAUAAAUAGACAUAAAUGAAGUUAGUGUAUUAAAAAAUGUUGUCGUUGAAAUUACCACCAAGAUUCAAGAUCUUCAGCUGUUUCAAACUCCCAAAGCUGUCGUAAGCUGCAAGUGCAUAUAAAUUAUUAUCAUUAAUUAGUCACUGGCAAAAUAAUUAUGAAUGAGUAAUAUGAGUCAAGGCACUGCAAUUCUUCAAAAGGGUGAAACAAUGACAUACUCAGAAGGGAAACUCCAUAAGAAUAAGAGUUAUAAUCAGAGUAGUGGAUUUUUGUUUUCUGAUUGAGUGACAGUUGCGUCACCCGUCGGGUGGUGGCGUUGCACUUAACUCCCUCGCAAUUGUUACAACAAUCAGACGACAUUCCAUCAUCAUCAAACCAUGAAGAAAGAAUGUUGUCAUCAUAUCCAACAUCACUGGCUGAUAUGAAGAAGCUCUUGAUUUCCAACAGAGCAAUCCUCUCUGUUUCCAAUCAUGCUUUGUAUCCAUGUAACUGAAUCAGAGCUAUGCCAAUCCACAAUGACAACUUCAUCAAAAGCAUUUUCAUUAUUAAUAUUAACUGCAAGAGAAACACUCACAAGAUUGACCUGUCAAUUGUUGCUCUCUUGAAGUUUUUCUGGUUGUCUGGCAAAUAUAUGAUUUGUAUAUACACACAUGGAAAUGUUAGAAAACUAAGUCUUUGAUACAUGAUAUCUUCUUGUGACCCUAGUACCGUCCAAAGACAUUGAAACAAAGAGAAAUUAACAGCUGACUUACCUGCAUCAUGUGCAAAUCACGUGACAUCAAAAGUUACCAUGUAAUUUGUCUUUAUAAGUGUUUUCUGCUUCUGAAAAUGAAAAAUAACAAAAUGGAAAUGCUUUUAGCUUUUGGCUAGACAUUUUCAGGUCACUCUCUUAUCGUGGCCUGCGGCUUGCAGUCAUCAACAAUCCUCAUCUGGCCUCUUUAUAAUCCACUUUUAACAAAAUAUAGAUAGAAACAGAUAUAUUACUGAUAUUCAAAUUACACUUAAUAUUAAUAAAUCUUUGGACUGAGCUUUAAAUCUAUAAACUAAAACUUCCAGCAUACCACAAAUUAUUUUUAGAGCCCGCAUGUUGGAAUAUCUCCUUCAAGUUUCGCUUUGCUUUCUAGCACAUCAUUCAAAUGAGUUGCUAUACUAUAUCUAGCUAGUUUUGAACAAAGUAAGUGAGAAUAUUACAUCUGCUUUAGCAAGAUACGAGUGAAUUAAAACCUUUGACCAGAUUCAAGAGAGAAAAGAAUGUUGAAAUAUUGACUUGAAUAUUAUGGCAAAAUGAGUUUGACUUUAGUACCGACCAAAGAAAUAAUUGAAGAUGCAAAUUGGUUAGUUUGAGGUGCAUGGCUAUUGGCACAACAACAUUUGCUGCAUAACGAAAUUGCGGCGUCUCAGCCGGAUUGUGAGAGUUGUUUUCAAAUCCCAUUUCUCUUCUUUGUAUUUAUUCAUUGCCACAACAUUUGAUGCAUAUUUUGAUGACUACUCAAACGCGUUUCCACAAUAACUAACGAAAGGAAAAGUGAACGAAUAAGCAAAAGACACUGAUGACUAUAAUCAUGUAAAUGAAGUACAAGGCUUCACAAUAGAUUAGACCACCAAUUUGUGCCUUUUGAAUGCAUGUGCUUGAACAAGAUACGAGUGAAUUGAGGCAUAUCUUUCUUUCACAAUGUAAACUUCCCAAAAUACAUGUAAUCUGCUGGUGAAAUAAUUUUUAUAAAACAAAGGCUUAAAGUUAAAGCUGACUAAAAAUAUUGGCGUACGUCAAGAACGCUACGGGGAAAAUUCAACCGUGAGCUGCAGUCUGCAGUCCCCAACAAUCCGGGAAAAGGCUGAAGAGGUGCGCGCCUGCGCAUACUAAUUUGGCAGGUCUGAUAGGAUUUAUAAAUUAAAAUAAUGUAAUUUUAUAUAUUUUUUAAAUGAAAAAUUUGUUGAUGCCGCUGUGAGAUCCAUUGGAUCCUCGCGUGCCUGCCCCACAAAACAAUCUCCAUCAAAUCUCUUUACAAUCCAUUUUUGAUAAAAUAUGAAUAAGGAUACAUAUAUUUAUUCAAAUAUUAGUAAAAAUAGAUAUAUUGCUGAUUUUUUUUUGGUGUAAGCCAUUCGGUAUUUGGCGAACGCAAUUGGAUCCCGACUAAUCCGAAUUUGGGGUGUAGUCACAGUUAAAGCUCUUUACUCCUCCCACGUAAUUGGAUCCCGACUAAUCCGAAGCGAACGCAAUUAGAUCCCGACUAAUCCGAAUUUAGGGUGUAGUCACAGCUAAAGCUCUUUACCCCUCCCAAAUAACUUAUUUAGUGGGGAUUGAACCCAAGAGCUCUUCCCACAAACUCAGCCUGCGUUGCUAACUGAGCCACAACCAUUUGGUUAUAAUGCUCAUUUUUAAAUUAUACUUAAUGAACAUUUAGACCGAGCUGUAAGUCUAUGAAUUCAAACUUCCACAACACCACCAAUUAUUUUUAGCCUGCAUGUUGGAUUGUCUCCUUUAAGGCUGUGUUUACUAAACUGGAAUGAGAAUUGAAAUGGAGAAAUCCGAAUGAAUGACUUGUUUAGUCAUUAAAUUGAUGAUAGGAAUGGGAAUAAGGUGAGUAGGCUCCAAGUUCUUGAAGAGGAAAGAUCACUAUGGCACCAAUCUCCGGAAGAGGCAAGUCCAAUAAAGCCAAGGCUGACAAGAAGAAGAAAGAAGAGAAAGGCUUCAAUUGUUAAUCUUUUUUAUUCACUGCUUUCAUUGGAAAGUGCUUUUUGUAAAGUGCUUCCGCUUUCUAGCUUCCUUAUGUUCAUUGAUUUUUUUGUUGUGCAGUAGUGCCCAGUGUUCUUGAUAUCACAAUCAUCACCCCAUAUGAAUCACAAGUUGUUCUCAAGGUAUAAAUUUAUACUUAUCAUCAAUACUUUCUUGUUUUGCCCUCACCAGCUAUGAUUAGGAUAUUAUUUUGUAAAACUUUAUAAAUAUAAAUGAAUUAUUAAUUAAUCAUCUUUUUUUUUUUUUUUGGUUUGAUUGAAAUUUGCUCAAAGGGCAUCUCCACUGACAAGAUAUUUGAUGUGAAGAAAUUGUUGGCUUCCAAUGUAGAAACUUGCCACCUCACAAAUUAUUCUCUCUCUCACGAGGUGUCUAUAUUUUAUUAUCUCUUUUUUUUUUUCAUUAUAUAUGAUUAUGAAUUUUUUUCUGAUAAUAUUAAACACUAGAUACUAUUUUUUCCCACCUUAUUUUUAUGUGUUUAUUUCUUUAUUAUUAUUAUUAUUAUUAUUAUUAUUAUUAUCUGGUCAAGGGGCAGAGAUUGAAUGAUAGAGUAGAGGUUACUCUGAAACCAUGUUUGCUCAGAAUGGUUGAAGGCAGGUGAACCUCUCGCAUGUCCAAUUUUCUGAAUUAAAAAAUCUCAUUCAUGUGGAUGUGGGUCUCAUUUUAUUUGUUAUUUUUAAUUAUCAACAUUUAGAUCUUUUUAGUUGUUCAUCGCCAUACUAUUUUAGUAAACUAUAUUGAUUUGAUGGGGGAACCUUAGGUGCAACUGUGGCACCGUGCCACAAUUGCAUCUUAACCGUUGGAUGCCUGUGGACCUCAACACUCUAACUGCAUCCAACGGCUAGAUGCAACUGUGGCACGGUGCCACAGUUGCACCGUAGCCUGAUCCUGAUUUGAUUGUAUGUUUUUUAAGAAUUUUUUAAUAUUAUUGAAAAAAACAGAUUAAAGUGAAAAAAUUAUUGACUAUAUUAAUUGACUAAAUAAAUAAAUAAAUGACAAUAUUUUAUUUUUUAACAUUAAAAAAAACCAAUUUGAUGCAGUCCGCUUAGUCCUGCACACUUGGAACGUUACCAUGCUUUUUUGUGCUGUACAUUUUGGACUUAACUUUCCUUGUCAUUUCAAGUCAAAGUUUUUUUUUUUUUUUAAACUGAUUAAGUGUCAGGUUACUGUAUUACACAGAGAUAUUUACAAAUAAUAACAUAUCACUGAUAUUUACAAUCCGAUAUAUACUUAGGACUUACAUUAUUAUAUUUUUAUUCUAUAAAGUACGUGCCCAGCCAAAUAUCACUCAUAGGAGAGGGAUGUCUCUACUCCACUAGCAUUUCGCAAUGGAAAAAGACGUUAUAAAUAAUCUCUAAACAAUUAUAAUUAAUUGAGGGAGUUUGAGUCAGUAAAAAUUCGAACUAUUAAUAGUCAUUCUUAAUUUUAAGGGCAAUGAUUCACCUCUGGGCUACAAGCCCAAAUGGCAUUUCAAGUCAAAGUUGAAGCUGUUUCAAAAGUACAAUAAUAAGGUGCAUUUAAGUAACUGGCCUAAACUUUAGAAAUUUCAGAAGUUACAGAAUACGCAGUUCAUAUCUAGGAGCAUUAUUAGUUUAAUCAUUAAAUGACAAAAUUUUGCCAAUCUUUUUACGAGCCUUAACAAACUUUUUCUAGUUGAUAUUCAAAGUUUUAUUGAUUUUUUUUUAUAGUCAACUGUACUAAUUGAACAGUCAAUUUAAUAUAAAAACGACUUUAUCGCUUUGUGAUCCUAAUUUUCAACCAGGCGUUAAAAUCUAUUACCCUUAAAAGAAUAUUAGUUGGCAGAAAUGUAAACAGAAGUAAGAAGGUUUGUAGAAGUGUAUUAUUUCAGAAUUACUAAUUUUAUUGUGAAUAAUUAAUAUGAUUAGAAUUUAACAAAAUUUUAUUUAAAGACUUGUUUAAAGAGCAAAAAAUUUAUUUUUUAUUAUUUUUAAUACUUAUAAUUGUAAUUUAAUUUAGAAAUAUUUUAAUUAUAAAAAAUUAUUUUCAAAAAUAAAUUCGACGAAUAGUUUAGGGCUUUCAAAUAACUCUACUUAUAUUUAAAUUAAUAUUUAAAAGAAAGAAAUAAAAUAAUAAAAGUAAAAAACUUUGCCCGGCAAUUCCUUGUUAUUUACAUUUUUGGCACUGUCCUUGGCAGUGGACUACACAGAGGAAUCUCAGGCCGUGGCACACGUGCGGCGGCUUCUCGACAUCGUCGCGUGCACCACACGUUUCUCCAAGUCCAGAAACUCCCGAUCGCCGCCAUCAUCAGAGUCAUGUGCCAAAAAGAACGGCAGUAGGCCCCACCGACCUUCACUAAACCCUGCCACUCUGUCUGAUGGGGCAGCAACAGCAGCAGCAGAUAACCGAAGCGGGCCCCGCGCCACGUCAUCGCCAGUUUCGUCGGCGGUUUCUCCGAGUCUGGACAUGGCGGCCAUUCACCCGACGCCGAAACUCUCCGAGUUUUAUGACUUCUUCUCUUUCUCUCACCUCACUUCCCCCAUCUUAAGUAAGCCUAAUGUUCACUUAUUUAUUUGUCUUCGUUUUUUACAUGGUUGAUCCAAAAAAGGUUGACGUCUCUAUUUUUUAAGCUGUUGGAGCAAUACGCCGUCUCAUUGAUUCAAAUUUACACACUCAAGAUACAAUCAAUGUCCAAAAGGGGGCAAUCUUGCAUGAAGAUCGGGUGGGAGACUUGUCCAUUACAGUAAAAUGUGAUACAGUAGAUGCAAGCUUGAAAUAUGAGGUUACUGUUAAAGGAAAUCAGUCAUCUAGUGUGUCUGCUGCAGAAGUUGCUCAAAGGAAUUUACUAAACGGUGUUACUGCAGAUGAGAGUGUAGUUGUUCACGUAAGUCGAUUUUUCCUUUACUUUUUAUGCUUACUUUCACAGAACACACACAUAAAAGACAUUCAUCAAAGCUGAAAUUACUUACGUGGGCGGAAUAAUAUAGCUCUACCUUUGUCAGGGAGUGGUUUUUCAGUCGGAUUAAGAUGUUUCACUCUUUAUCUGAUAUCUGGCAUUUGAUGAUGGCCUAAAAUACCCAUCCUCUUCACUCUCUCUUUCUACACAUUUAUGAAUGCACAAGAAAGUCAAUUUUAGGUUCUUUCCUAAGAAUCACUACUCGUUACUAACCUUAUAUAUCUGGUUUAGCUUCAUGAAUCUUAUGUUGCCAUUCUGUUUGGUGACUCCCUAUUCUGUUGAAAUCACUGGAUAGCUGGUCUUUCUACUGAUUUUAUCCAUAUCCCUCUGAUUUUCUGCUUGUGGUUUGUUCCAACUUAAUGUCAUCAACCCUUUUUGGGGAAGCCUAUUAACCUUGGUUGGGCAUGCUUGUAUUAUAUCAACUAGUGAUACAAUUGCUAAAGUUUUCAGCAUGGUAGAUCUUGAAAUAAAAUUUUCUUGAAAUAUCUAGAUUUAUUUUUCUCAAAAUAUCUAGAUUUAUCUUCCUAUUCUUUUUCCCUUUCUUUUAUUUUAGUUUCAAAGAUUUGUGAUAAAGAGAACUGAAACAAUAUAGUUUUUGGCAGGAUACCUCCUCAUUGGGUACCGUCAUUGUAUGACAUUGUGGAUACACCGCUGUAGUAAAAGUUGUUGGUGAUGUGAAGGAGAAGUUUGGCACACAAGAUAUUGAAAUUGAAGAUCAACCUGGUGGAGGAGCUAAUUCUCUUAAUAUUAACAGGUCUGAAAUUGUAACACAAUGCUUCCUCUGUCGAUUCCUCUUAGCACACAAAGACUAGGAAAUCUACAGAUGGAGAAUGGCUGUAAGAUAUGAAAAAUUAUCUUUCAACCAAUAACAGUUUUAAGCUAUUCUGCAAGAUAUCUUAGAAAUGCUAACUGUUAUGAGCUUCUUUGCUUAGUGUCUAUCACAGUUGAAUUCAUGAUGCAGAGCAUUGUUAUUCUCUUUAGUUUUACCAGAUAGAACAGGAUUGAAAUGCUGGUGUUGGGGAUUCUUAAGAAAGGAUAGCACCUGUUCCUUUUUCUUCCUGUUUAGAUGGGAUCUAAUCAGUAGAUGUCUGAACUCUUAAGGGGAGUUGAUGUCAGAUUUCUAAACCAGGUUUUCUUCAAGUGUUAAGUUUAUGAAUAGGCCAAAGAAAAGAGAGCUGAUAUCUAGUUAUGGCUUUCACAAUAAUGGUUGAGUGUUUAUAGUUAUGUGCUCUGACAUUGGUUUGUAAUUGUUAUAUUAACAAAAUAACCAACAGACAUCGUUGACGAUGUUCAAAUAAAGGAUAAAGGAAAGUAUAAUUACAGUGGAUGCUCAGUUGCUGCAAUAGGUCAUCGGCUUUUUAGAUUGUGCUAUUUCAGAAAGUAUUUAGGCCUUCUUUGGUGGAUUCUGCCUUUGUUUCAUAUACUCUUAUGUCUUUCUCCAUUUAAGUUGUUCUGACAGGGUAAACUAUUUAUUGCAGCUUAAGGCUUGUACUUCAGAAGUCUUUCAGUGCUGAAUCAGCUAGAGGAGACCAAUUACCUCUGUGCAAUUUGGAUAAUUCGGAAGCUUUUAGAAAUCUUGUAAGAAGAGUUAUUAAACAGAGUUUAGCAAAGUUAGAGCUGGAGCCAACUGCUUCAGAAAGAUCUAUUAGAUGGGAACUUGGUUCUUGUUGGGUGCAGCAUCUACAAAAGCAGGAAACUCCAACAGAUACCAAGUCAACGAGGUCUGGGGAUGAUAUUAAGACUGAAAAUGACAAUGGACCGUGCAGCAUGAAUGUGGGAGGUAAUGGUAGACAGCAAAGCAAUGGCGAGCUCAAUUGUGAGAUGGAAUUGAAAAAACUAAUUUCGGAAGAAUCCUUCUUGCGAUUGAAAGAAACUGGCACUGGCCUUCAUUCAAAAGUUUCAGAAUCUCAAAUUUGUUUUGCAUUUCAACUGUAAAGUUUGCUACUUUUUGUGUUUUCAUUAUGCUAAAUUUGGUUUGUUUUAUUUUCAUAUGGAAUGGCUGGUAAAAUUAAUUUCUUGUGCAGGCAGUGGAUGAGCUUAUGAAAAUGGCAUACAAGUAUUAUGAUGACAUUGCUUUACCAAAGCUGGUACUAUUUAAUUUAUUUAGGGCCUUUGUUGCAGCCAAUUAAGACGUGUGGGGAUGGUUUAUGGACUAAUUUCCAUUCUUUAUUAGGUAACAGACUUUGGAUCACUUGAACUUUCUCCAGUUGAUGGCCGCACACUGACAGACUUUAUGCAUUUAAGGGGACUACAAAUGCGCUCUUUAGGUUGUGUGGUGAGGAAUUUCUCCCUCUCUUUCUCUCUCAGACAUGCAACCUAUUCACCCAUGGAAAUCGGAAUAAACAAAUGUUGUCUUUCUUUAUGUAAACAAAGCCCCCAACUUAUCUUUCUAUAUGUAAACAAUCCCCCAAGUCUUCCUGGAUUGAAUUAUCAAUGUUCCUUUUUGAAAAUUGUACUACAUGAUAGAAUUUUUGACAAUGUUGACCUUUUCCAAGACAUUGAAUUAUUGUCGUCUUUAGAUAUUACUGUAUGUUGUAUGACAUACAAUAUUUUGAGAAAUUGACAUGCUAAUACUUGGAAGCCUGGUAUUCUUCUUCUGUUGGUUCUAAUCCCAUUUACAAAUUCAGGUUGAACUUGCAGAGAAGCUUCCUCACAUACAAUCACUUUGUAUUCAUGAGAUGGUUACUCAAGCGUUCAAGCAUGUACUCAACGGAGUCAUCGCAUCUGUUGACUAUUUAUCAGACCUAUCUGCAGCUAUAGCUUCUUCCCUAAAUUUCUUAUUUGGCUGUUGUGAGAUGGAAGAUGAGCAAAGCUGGAAUGAAGAUCAUAUCCUCAGAUUGCAGUGGCUACGAACAUUUCUUGGCAGAAGAUUUGGUUGGUCCCUGAAAGAUGAAUUUCAGCAUUUGAGAAAGAUUUCAAUUCUACGAGGGCUUUGCCAUAAGGUAAGGUAUUGUCUUUUCGGUUCCUUUGGCAGCCGAUUAUUUUCAAAGCUUGAAUUUUGCUUGUAAACUUCACCCAGGUUGGGUUGGAGUUGGUUCCAAGAGAUUAUGAUAUGGAUUGCCCAAACCCAUUCACGAGAGAUGAUAUUGUCAGCAUGGUUCCUGUGUGCAAGGUGAGACUAUUUUCUCUCUUAAUUGUGUUUUGAUUUAGUUUUUACAUUCUCAGCGAGUCACUCAUUUGUAAAUUGAAUGUAAUUGUGCUAUUUUUAUGGCAUUCUACAGCAUGUAGGUUGCACUUCAGCCGAUGGACGGACCUUAUUAGAGUCAUCCAAAAUUGCCCUUGAUAAAGGAAAACUAGAAGAUGCUGUAAAUUAUGGGACAAAGGUAAUAACCCACUCGAUCUAUAUGUAAGAAUUACAUUAUUCUUUUCAAAAUAAGGCAUCUCUUGAUCUCAUAUGAUGUAUUACUUGCAUUGUAAGGCACUGGCAAGGAUGAUAGCUGUUUGUGGUCCCUACCAUCGGACUACUGCAAGUACUUACAGUCUUCUAGCUGUAGUUCUCUACCACACUGGAGACUUUAAUCAGGUACGACAAUCUUCAGUUGUAUUUCAGUGUCAACUUGGUGAUUCUAAGUCGAGUAUAAUUAUAACGUCCUUCUGUACGGAGGUUCUCAUUCAGCGGGACAUUUGAUUUGAAACUUUGUGUUAUGGUUACUUUUUAUGGUCUUGUAUAAAGAUAUGCAUUAGGAAUUAUAAUUUUCUGGAUUUGGGAAUUACAUGUACAGGCAUUAGCAUAAUUUUGAUAUCAGAUUAUAUAUUUUAACUAAAUCAAACACGUUCAUGGUUCUUAUGUUCAGGCAUUUCGUCUAAUGGCAUCUGCGUCUGAGUGUUAGAGUAGCGUUCGUAUGUGCUCAAGAUAUCUUCUUCUUCAUUUUAGGCAACUAUAUAUCAGCAGAAGGCAUUGGAUAUUAAUGAGAGGGAACUUGGUCUUGACCAUCCAGAUACAAUGAAAAGCUUUGGGGUGUCAAAGGAAUUAGCAGAUUCUAUGGCAAAUUCUAUGCCUGUACAGCUGUAACAAUUAUCUUUAUGAUUGUAAAUCUUUUAUGUUUUCCUUAUUUAGGAUAUACUAGCUGUAAGCUAAUUUAGAUAGUUUUGUAUAUGAUAGUUUAGCGAUGUUUAGGGCUAAACAUAAGCUUGUAUUCAUAGUAUAUAAUGGGAAUUCUCCUCCAAGAGAAAAACAACUUUUGCUCAAAAUUCUCUUAGUUUAUCAUGGUAUCAGAGUCUCAGUUCUGAAUUCUCUUCUUCCUAGUUCAUUCUCUUAUUCUUAGUUAUUUUUUAUCAAGUUAUCUCAGCCUCAUGUCUUCAGACAAGUAUGAUGCCUUUUUGAUCCGUUUUAAUGGCACAAACUACUCAGCCAGGGCAUUUCAUUUCGAGAUAUUUGUCAAAGGCAAAGAUCUAUAGGGACAUGUUGAUGGCAAGAAACCUGCCCCUGACAAAGACAUAGACCAGGAUGGGCACGCCAAGUGGGAAGUCAAGGAUGCUCAAAUCAUGGCAUGGAUUCUAGGAUAUGUGGAAUCCAACUUCAUCUUGAAUCUUCGACCCUUCAAGACCGUAGCAGGAAUGUGGAAUCAUCUGAAGAAACUCUAUAGUCAAACCAACACUGCUCGUCGAUUUCAACUUGAACAUGAGCUAGCCAAUCUCCAACAGGGCAGUCUCGCUAUUUCUGAUUUUUAUUCUAGCUUCAUGAAUCUUUGGGCUGAAUAUACUGAUAUAAUCUAUGCUACCUUACCUCCCAAAGGUCUUAGUUCUGUUCAAUCUGUACAUGAAACUACUAAGAGGGAUCAGUUUCUGAUGAAAUUGAGAUCUGAAUUUGAAAGCACUAGGUCUAAUCUUAUGAACCGAGAAUCUGUCCCUUCCUUGGAUACAUGCCUCAAUGACUUAUUUCGUGAGGAGCAACGACUUCUUACUCAAAACACCAUGGAACAACAAAAAUCCACUUCUGUUCUUAUAGCUUAUGCAGCUCAAGGCAAGCCAAAAGGUAGGGACAUAAGUACAGUUCAAUGUUUUUGUUGCAAAGGAUUUGGACAUUACGCUUCAAAUUGUUCAAAAAAAUUCUGCAACUAUUGUAAAAAGGAUGACCAUAUCAUCAAGGAAUGCCCUACUCGACCCCCCAAGAAAUCUGAAACAGCAUAUGCUACCGCAGUUGGUUCUUUUAGUGCUGGUAGUUCUGUCGAUACAGCACAUUUGACACAAAAUGCUCCUGCUCCUGUUCAGUCUGUGACCCCAGAAAUGAUUCAACAAAUGAUUAUUACUGCAUUCUCCUCAUUAGGACUCUCAGGUAAAUCACCCACUACAUCUCCUUGGUACUUUGAUUCUGGGGCUUCCCAUCACAUGACAAACAAUGAUAAAUUCCUCACCAAUGUAAGUAAAUACCCUGGAAAUCUAAAAAUUCAUACAGCUGAUGGCAACUCUUUACCUAUCACAGCCACUAGUGAUGUUUCUUCUUCUAUAACCAAUGUCUUUGUCUCUCCUGGUCUUACCACUAAUCUUGUUUCAGUCGGUCAGUUAGUUGACAAUAAUUGUAAAGUAGAAUUCUCUAAAUCUGGUUGUGUUGUGCAGGAUCAGCAGUCAGGGAAGAUGAUUGCCAGGGGGCCUAAAAUAGGACGUCUUUUCCCUCUCCAAUUUGCUGAGUCUCCAUGUUUCUCUUUGCCCAUCAUCACUUGUAAUUUUACUAAUGUUAAUUAUCGAGCAUGGCAUAAGCGUCUAGGACACCCAAACUCUAAUGUACUUCAUGCUUUGCUAAAUUCUGGUUUACUUGGGAAUAAAAGAUCACACACCAAAUGUUGUCCAGCCUUUUGAUUUGAUACAUAGUGAUGUGUGGGGUAUGACGCCCGUUACAUCUCAUGCUAAUUACAAGUACUUUGUCACUUUUAUUGAUGACUAUAGUUGCUUCACAUGGAUUUAUUUUCUACAUUCUAAAGAUGAAGGGUUCUCUGUUUUCAAGCUUUUUCAUGCGCAUAUUCAGACCCAAUUUUCAACUAAUAUCAAAAUUCUUCGCUCUGAUAAUGGGGGUGAGUAUAUGUCUCAUUUAUUUCAAGAAUUUUUGCACACCAAUGGUAUAAUUUCUCAAAGAUCUUGUCCUUCAACCCCCCAACAAAAUGGGGUGGCUGAAAGAAAGAACCGUCACCUUCUCGAUGUUGUUCGCACUCUUCUAUUAGAGUCAUUUGUACCCUCUCGUUUUUGGUGUGAAGCUCUCUCCAUUGCUGUCUAUCUCAUCAACAGAUUGCCCUCUCCUUCCUUGAACCAUGUCUCCGCUUUCUUUCGAUUAUUUGGCUAUACACCAAAUUACUCCCAUCUCCGUACCUUCGGUUGUGUGUGCUAUGUUCAUCUUCCUCCACAUGAACGCACAAAACUCACAACCCAAGCUGUGAAAUGUGCUUUUCUAGGAUAUUCUAUGCACCAAAAAGGUUUUCUUUGCUAUGAUCCAAAUUUGCGUCGUAUAAGGGUUUCUCGAAAUGUGAUUUUUUUUUUAAAUCAGUAUUUCUUUUUCGCACAUCAGGACGAUUUUUCCCCUUCAUUUUCUGUUUUGCCAAAGUUUACUAACCCUUCUGCAGAUUCUGUACCUUCUAAACCUCUCAUAGUCUAUCAGCGACGCAAGAAUUCAGUACCUCUCAGGCCCCCUCCAGCAACUUCCCUAAAUGCUGAUCCAGUUCCAGCAACUGCACCUGAACCUCUCAGACACAAUACUCGGGUUCAUAGACCACCGGAUAGGUAUGGUUUCACCUAUCCAUUAUCUUUGACAGCCACUUUGUCUUCUAUUCAUAUUCCUUCAUCAUAUAAACAGGCAAUGGAGCAUGAAUGUUGGCGAAAAGCUGUUGAAUCAGAACUUCUUGCACUUGAGGAAAACUAGACUUGGGAUAUUGUUUCAUGUCCUCCAUUUGUGAAACCCCUUAGUAGUAAAUUAGUGUUUUCUAUCAAGCUGCGUUCUAAUGGAUCCAUAGAUCGUUACAAGGCUCGGUUGGUGGUUCUUGGCAACAAGCAAGAAUAUGGCCUAGACUACGAUGAGACCUUCGCACCGGUAGCCAAAAUGACCACUGUUCGAACAAUAUUAGCUCUUGCUGCAUCACAAUCAUGGUCUUUACAUCAAAUGGAUGUAAAGAACGCUUUCCUACAUGGUGAUCUCAAGGAGGAAAUUUACAUGAAACUUCCCUACGUUAUGACUACUUCCUCACCUAAUGAUGUUUGCAAACUAAAAUGUUCUUUGUAUGGGUUGAAGCAGGCACCGCGAGUAUGGUUUGAGAAGUUUCGAUCAACUCUUUUCGGUUUUUCAUUCACUCAAAGUUAGUAUGACUCCUCCUUUUUUUUUCCAACAGACAUCUAAGGGCAUCGUUGUUCUCCUUGUUUAUGUGGACGACAUCGUUAUCACUGGUUCUGAUAUGGAGGCAAUUUCUAAACUUCAGAAUUUGUUGCACUCAACUUUUCACAUGAAAGACCUCGGUCAACUCACCUAUUUUUUGGGGUUAGAGGUGCAUCAUCGGACUCAAGGUAUCUUCUUGAAUCAGCACAAGUAUAUUCAGGGUUUAAUUCAAUUAGCUGGACUUAUGGACACAAAUUCUGUUGACACCCCAACGGAACUUAAUGUGAAAUAUCGACGAGACGAAGGGGAACUACUUCAAGAUCCUACUUUAUAUCGGAAGCUGGUUGGUAGUCUUAUCUAUCUAACUAUCACCGCCCAGACAUCUCUUAUGCUGUCCACACCGUCAGCAAGUUCAUGCAAGCCCCUCGACAUCUCCACCUAUCCGCAGUCCGCCGCAUCAUUAGAUAUAUUCUUGGCACUCCUAGCAGCGGUUUAUUCUUCCCUACUGGUUCUUCACCCCAACUACAAGCCUACAGUGAAGCAGAUUGGGCUGGCUGCCCGGACACGAGAAAAUCUACUAUGGGAUGGUGCAUGUUUCUUGGUGAUGCCCUUAUCUCUUGGAAAUGCAAAAAGCAAGACUCAAUCUCCAAAUCAUCCACUGAGGCAGAAUAUCGGGCCAUGUCUGCAGCCUGCUCCGAGAUCAUUUGGUUGCGUGGUCUCUUAACAGAGCUUGGUUUCUCAUAACAUCAACCUACUCCCCUACAUGCUGACAACACUAGCGCCAUCCAAAUUGCAGCCAACCCUGUCUACCACGAGCGCACGAAACACAUAGAGGUUGACUGCCACUCUAUUCGAGAGGCCUAUGACCGCCAAGUUAUCACCCUCCCGCAUAUCUCCACUACUCUACAUAUUGCGGAUAUCUUCACCAAAUCCAUGACACGUCAGCGACAUAACUUUCUUGUUAGCAAAUUGAUGCUUGUAGAUUUACCAGCAUCAAUUUGAGGGGGGAUGUCAAAGGAAUUAGCAGAUUCUAUGCCUGUACAGCUGUAACAAUUAUCUUUAUGAUUGUAAAUCUUUUAUGUUUUCCUUAUUUAGGAUAUACUAGCUGUAGGCUAAUUUAGAUAGUUCUGUAUAUGGUAGUUUAGCUAUGUUUAGGGCUAAACAUAAGCUUGUAUUCAUAGUAUAUAAUGGGAAUUCUCCUCCAAGAGAAAAACAACUUUUGCUCAAAAUUCUCUUAGUUUAUCAUGGGGAUCUUUCAGUUUUCUAUUAUCGCCUUCAACACAUUGAAUUGGCUCUUAAGUAAGUAGAUCUACUUGAUUUACCGGAGCAACUUUGUGAUUUUCAUUCUCUAACUGAUUAAGGUUUAUUUAUUCAUAUGUGACCUUUGUAUACCUUUGUAUUGAGUCUGCUUCGAACUAAUGCAGUUUUUAUCUACCUACUUUAGCUUUUAUUUGUCUUUUAUUGGCUCUAGCUCCUGAUCAUACCACACUAUUGGCAGAUAUGUAAAUCAUGCCUUAUUCCUUUUGCAUUUUACUUGUGGACUUUCACAUCCAAAAACAGCUGCAACAUACAUAAAUGUGGCUAUAAUGGAAGAGGGCAUGGGAAAUGUUCAUCUUUCUCUUAGAUAUUUGUAUGAGGCCCUUAAAUGCAACCAAAGACUAUUAGGAGAUGACCAUAUACAGGUUUUUCUCUCUCUAUUUACGCAUGUAUACACACUCUUUAGACUUAUAAAUCUUUCUGUAAACUCAGCAUUUUUUUGAUUUCUUCACGUGACAGACAGCUGCAAGUUAUCAUGCCAUAGCCAUAGCUCUUUCUUUGAUGGAGGCAUAUUCACUAAGUGUGCAACAUGAGCAAACUACACUGAAGAUUCUCCAAGCAAAGCUUGGACUAGAAGAUCUGCGUACUCAGGUGACUACAUGUAGUCAUAUUUUAAUUGGUUCUGUUGUGCAAUUUGGCUAGUUGGCUUUUCUCUUGUCAAUCUUUUACAGGUGAUAUUAUGAUAUAAAACAAAUUGUAUCGGCGGCCUAUUUUGGUGUCAAAUAUGGAUAUGACCCAUUCAUUAAUCGUAUCGAAAUAUCAAAAUACAGAUAUGACCUGUUUAUUAAUAGUGUUGACUUGUUUAGUAUUGAAUACAAACAAAUUAAAAAUUAAUUUAAAAAUAACAAAUGUGUCAAAAAAAUAAGUUAUAAAUAAGUUAAAAUGACAUAAGUAUGACAUGAAUAAGUUUAUAACAUAAUAUGAGUAUGACAUGAGUCGUUAAUUUAGUGUUUAGUAUAUAUUUUAGUUUUUUUUUCCAAUAAUAUUAACACAUAAUAAUUGAUAUUUGUGUUAUAAAUGUAUAAUCAUGUUGAGAUGGACCAAAACAUAUAUGACAUGGUUAUUUAUCAUGUCGUGUCAAUUCAUUUAUUGAUCGUGUCAAUAUUUGUCAACAAAAAUAGGGGUCAUAUGUCAUAUUAUGUUGUGUAAUCGUGUCAUAAUCCCUUUUGCCACCUCUAAUCUUAACUGUCAUGAGAGAAUUUCUCAAGUUCCAUAUUAUUGAUGGGAAGAGAUUUUUUUUAUUUUGUUGUUUUUUUUUUCGUUUUACAGGAUGCUGCUGCAUGGCUGGAGUAUUUUGAAUCAAAAGCUCUAGAGCAGCAAGAAGCGGCACGGAAUGGAACUCCAAAGCCAGAUGCGUCCAUUGUGAGUAAAGGUCACCUUAGGUAUUAAUAGGGUAUUCCCACAUUACUUGUUUCUAAAUUGUUGAUUAUUUCUUGUGGCACCAAGAUCUAUAAUGAUCGCUUUUUGCAGUGUAUCAGAUCUCCUGGAUUACAUAAGUCCUGGUCAAGAUUCUAAAAGAAGCGAAGCACAUAGGAAACAACGACGUGCAAAGAUAGUACAUAUUUAGUGCAUGUUUGGUAUGAUUUAUCUAAUGAUCAUAAAUUUUUAUUUAAUCCUAUAAGCUCUUAUCAAAAAUUUUUUUGUUGUUUAAUUUUUUUUUAGUAGAGCUCUUGAAAAUGAAAUAAGCUAUUUUGCCUCUACUACCAAAACCUCAAAUUUUGUGCUUUUGAGAGUAGAGGUUAAAAAGUUUUUUUUUAAUAUUAAAAUAUCUAAAAUAUUCUCUACUUAUUUGACAAUCUUAUUUUAUUCUUUUCAAAACAUAACUUUAAAAAUUUGCUUAUUAAAGUAAUUUUAUAAUUUUUAAUAAAAGCCCUUAUUGACAACCAAACAACACAAAUUUUUUGAGUAAAAACUUUACUUAUAAAAUCUUUACUAGCAAAACUCUACUCAAAUAAGAUCUAUUUGAAAAGCUAUGUGAAAUGAAGCAUUAAGCAUGCUGCUGUUCUCUGUUCCUUUUUCCUUGUGAUGUCAUCUGAAUGGAUUCUUAAACUAAUUGUAGUUAGGAUUUGGUAUUUUAGGGUACACUCUGCUGGCUGCAUAUAGUUUUGGAUUUGCUGAUUACACGAGUAAACUUGUUGUCCAUGCAAAUGCAACUAACUAUUGCAGGAUAAUAGUUCUACUUUUCUGAGUGAACUCUGAAGGCACCAAUUAUAAACAUCCAUUUCUGGCAUAGAAUCACACUUAUCUAACAUGCUUAUACAGAUCGCAGACAUGAUUGAAACUUUAGAAGGUUCUGAUCUAUUGAUGGCCAUAGAUUGGGCCAGCUGAUAGUUAGUAGCCAAUGAUGAAGGGUUGCUUGGUCAAGCAGCUAGUUCUUUGGAAAUUCAGAGAUGAUGAGCAGAACGAGUGAUGUUUUUGUUUUCCCCCGUAAUCUUGAACAGAGUGGGAAGAAACCGUUAAUUUGAAGUGCAAUGGAUGGAUAUGACAGAUCUAUCAUUUUGGCUAGUAGAUGGAGUUCUUCCAUUCUACUCUUAUUUAAUGGUUGUUAUUAUUGAUUCUAGAAAAACAUUUUUCGAUUUGGCAGUUGGAGUUUUUCCCUUUUUUUUCCCCCAUCUUGUAGGCCUUAGAGAACCAAAUAAUACUCCACAUUAGAUAGACAGGAUUAUUGUGUGCUAAUUUGAAGUAUUACAUGGUUGACAAUUUAAGACACUAAUAAAGUAUUUCGCUUUGAUUAUUUUUUUUGAGAAUUCCAUGAUUCAAAAGGCCGAAGAAUUUCGUUAGUUUAACAUAAUAUAUAUUAGCAUAAUUUCUCACUGAGUGUUUUUUUCAACAUUUCAGGCAUGUGCAUAUCAAAUUCCCAUUUAUGUUCCACUGAAUUCUGCCUCAUGUUAUGAUUGUAACUUAAAAUGAAAUAUUUCUAUGUGCUCAAUUUUUGACAUUUUAUAUGCAUACAAGUUAAAAAGCUUUUGUUUAUUUUUGUUUAUUUAUUUAUUUUAGGUAAUGCAGAUUAGGGAAAAGAUUCAUGGAGCACAUCAUGAUAUGAUGGUGGAAGAUGCACUGCCCCAUGAUGGAUUGAAAAAAAGUAUGACUAUAGUGGAAAGCAAGACCGAGGAAGUAAUGGAAGACAGUGUUCAACCUGAAGAGCCAGAAGAGAAUGAUAAUAUUACUAGAUAUGGACCGGCAAUUUCAGGUGAGUUUGUCUAUGAAACAAAUUCAGAUGAGGGGUGGCAAGAAGCCAAUCCAAAAGGUAGGUCAGGAAAUGCUGCUGUUCGGAAGCUCAGCCGGAGGCGACCUUUUCUUACAAAGCUAAAUGUCAAUGGUUGUGAACAUUCAAAUCUUAGAGAAAAGGGCAAUAGACGGGAAAUUUUAUCUCCAGCACGGGAAAAAGCUUCAAGGACCACCACCACUGAGUUAACAGGCAUGAAGGAUUCAAUUAAACUGCAGGCAAAAGCUUCCGUCUCCAAAGUUUAUGCAAGUCUACCAAACCUUACUGCCAUGACUUCCAAGUCGCUGUCUUACAAAGAAGUAGCUGUGGCACCACCAGGUACGGUUCUAAGGCCAUUACCAGAGAAACCUGAUGAAGAAAUUGAAUAAAAAACUGAAACACAGAUGUGCGGUAAUGCUCCUGAGACAUCAAAGGCGGAGUUGAAUAACCAUUUCUCUCCAGUUGAAGAUGUGCCAGUUGAUGGUCGUUCUCAAGAAACUCAUGGAAGUGCAACUCAAUCUGAAACUACUGCUGCAGAUACCGAGGAAGUUCCUUCUUCUUCUAAUGAGGAAAAGCCCAUGGAAACAAAUGGGAGUAAGCUUUCUGCUGCAGCUGAACCAUUCAACUCCAUGACUCAUCUGCUGAACUCUGUAGCAGCCACGAGUAUUUAUGAUGCGCGAACUAGUCAAGGUAUGCUUGCUGAACCUGCUGUACCUUCGGCUGCUGCUAGAGUUCCUUGUAGGCCAAGGUCGCCUCUCUAUUAUAGAAAUAAUUAUUCUUACAUGAUGAAAUAUGGAUUUCCAAAAUACCACUCUUCCAUUAUGGAAAGAAACCUGUUGGGGCCUUCAAGAAUCAUGAACCCGCAUGCACCUGAGUUUGUGCCAGUGAGAGGUUGGCAAAUAAAUCCUGGAUAUGCAGAUUCAAAUGUUUCAAAUGAGUCGAACUCUUCAAUGACACAAGUGAGGCAGAAGAUGAUAAACUUGACAAAAUGUCCAGUAUCCAAGGCGAAGAUAAUACCUCAAGAAAGAGCAGUACAGAGGCCGAGAAGUCAGAGCUGGCAAGACAGAUACUACUUAGCUUCAUUGUAAAGUCAAAUUGAGAAUUUGAACAAACACAAACAUGGAUACAUAGCUGUUUGGAGAAAAGCCAACGGAUACAUAAUACAGCACGAUAAGUUAUACACGGCCGAACCGUAUGUGCUAGUAAGCACAAACAUAUUUGAAAAGCCAAUAAUAGCAUGUGUCAAUACAUCUAUCAACGAAAUAGAACCACAGUUUGCGCCAGUACGAGUUUAUCCAAAGUGCUGCAAAUAAACCCAAACUCACCGAUGCAUAGGAUGCUCCAAAACUCCAUCUUAAUGCCACCAUGUCAAUCACAGAAUCGCUUUCAUCUUCUCCUCCUCCUGUAGGUGUCGCUGGUGGUGUCAAAGCACUGCUGCAUUUCCUCUUUAUCAUUGAGCCACAAAGAGCCGAAUUACCUUUAUAACUGCAGUCAUCAAAGGUGGCAAACUGCUCUUUGUCUGGGAUUGGGCCGGACAAAUUGUUGUAUGACACAUUGAAGUUUGAUAAAAAGUUGAGCUCAGUUAGUUGAGGAGGAAUUUGGCUACUUAAUUUGUUGCGGGAAAGGUCAAGGCUCUCUAUCAUUUUUAGAUUGGAGAAGCUCUCUGGUAUAGCACCUGAUAGUAAAUUAUUGGACAGAUUAAGUGCACGAAUAUUUUGAAGUUGCCCAAUUUUCCAUGGAAUUUCUCCACUGAACUCAUUGCCUGACAAAUCUAGUCCAGCCAUGUAGUUGAGGUUGCUACCGAUGAAAAAUUCAUAUCUAUUCUUUGUCACAAAUUUUGCACCUACUUGUUGAUCUUGUCUAAAAUGUAGUUCAACUGGCAGUUGCAGCUCAAGAGAGGAAUUGUAGUAGGCAACAGGGGAAUCAACAUUAUUUGCAUAAAAAAAUUCUGACGAAUCAUCAUCAGUCGCUUCUCUCCAGAAUGGCACGUUACCCAAACAUGAAGGUAUCGGCCCAUUAAGUCUGUUACGUGAAAGAUCCAUGAUACUUAAUUUCCUUAAUUGGCACAAUUGAUUAGGAAUACGUCCUUGUAGAUAGUUCCCUCUCAAAAGAAGAACAUGCAAAUUCGAACGCUCAUUGAUCUGAUGAGGAAUCCUACCAAAAAGUUUAUUGUCCCUCAAAUCGAGGGUCAAUAAUGUAGAGCUUCUAAGCAAUGCAAUUGGAAUUAACCCCUUAAUUGCAUUGUUUUGCAGAUAAAUGUGCUUCACGAAUGAAAGAUUGGAGAGAGAUAUCAAACUAUUUUCGGAGAGGUCUAUAAACUCAAGACUUUUAAGAUUGUUGAGCUGGACCGGAAUAUUACCUUGCAAAUAGUUUUCUGACAUUAAAAGAACCGAAAGGACUGAGAAGUUCCCAAUCCAGUGGGGAAUAUCGCCGGAUAACAUGUUGUUGGAUACAUUUAAUACUCUUAGCAAAGUGGAGCUCAACAAACCAUCUGUCAUCUUCCCACUGAAAUGAUUGUUGUCCAAAUAUAACGAACCCAAAUCAGUCAAGUUCAUAUAAUUGGGAAAAAGUUGGCCAUAGAAAUUGUUAUUUGAUAGGUCCAACCAAUCUAAGGAGAGGCAACUAGAGACUAUAGGUCGAGGUAAUUUUCCCGUAAAAUUAUUUCUAGACAAAUCCAAAAUAGUUAGCUCUUUCAUCUCACCAACUGAAUAAGGAAUAUUACCUUCAAAAUUAUUUUUUGACAUAUCCAAAUAUAUCAAUUUCUGAAAGAUAAUACCCAAAUUCUCUGGUAGCUUACCAGAGAAAUUGUUACUGGAAAUAUCUAGAUGACGAAGCUUAUCGUAUUUGGCAUUGGGAAGUCGUGGAAGAAUUCCUGAGAAUGAGUUAUUCCACAGAAACAGAACUUCUAAUCCUGUGUUGUUUUGCAACAACCAAGUUGGAAAAUUGCCAACCAAUUGAUUGUGAGAGAGAUCAAGGAAUUUUAAGUUGGAUUGGUGUAAAAGAAAACUGGGAUUGACAUUUAAGCGGCAGUGAGGUAAUUGGAGAACCUUGAGAGGAUAUGUGGGGAGCCAGUUUUCGGUUUUCACUUGCAACAUAUCGUUUUGUGGCGAGAGUAGCAAGACCUCAAGCUUUGAAUGAUUAGCCAAUGAAUUUAUUGAGAAUGUUCCUUGGAAAUCGAUGAAAGAGAGAUCCAAAUAUUCAAGUGAUGUGAGGUUGGCUACUAUAGAAGGUAAGUUUCCACUUAACCGAUUGGAAGAAAUAUCAAGAACUUUGAGAUGAGUCAAGUUGAUAAGACAUUGAGGGAGCUGACCCUCAAAGUUAUUUGAGCUUAGAUCCAACUCAAAAAGAUUCUUCAAAUUACAUAUUCCUAAACCUGAAAAUAAAAAGCUCAAAUUUCAUAAAACGAAAACCAAUUAUAGCGCAUUCAAUCAUAAAACCAAUAUAAGACUUAUAAAACCGACAUGAAAUUAAAUUGUCUAAGUAUUUUGGUCAACAUAAAUAAUAAUAGAAUGAUAUGAAUUUAUUUCUCAUAUAAUAUGAUGUUGAUUGCAAAAGCGUUUCAAUUAAUCUAACAAAAAUAAUAAUAAAAAUAAAAAAGCGCUCAAUAAUUCUUGCUCAUCAUAAUCAAUUCAAAAAGCGUUCCAGCAAUUCUUGUUGUUUAAAAUUAUGAUUUUCUGCGGAAGAGUUUGUUGACCUCAUCUUUUUGUUGGAUAUUGAUUCUCUAAUCUCUAAAUUUGUUGGAUAAUGUAGAGAGAAACUCGUAAUAUUUUAGUUGCCUGGCAUUCAACAAGAAUUUUUUUUUAAAAAAAAAAUUGUUUAAUUUAACCAAAAAAACCUUGUUAAUUAGACUUAGAUUUAAUUUUUUUUUAUAUAUUUUUCUAUUUAAAAAAUUAAAAAUGAGUGAGUAGGGGUAGAAACAUCAUUUUGUAACUAGUUGUGGGGGCAAAAAUGUUAUUUUGUAACUAAUUGUAGGAGUAAGAAUGGCGUUUUUUAUAGUUAAUUGUAGGGUAGAAACGUCAUUUUGUAACUAAUUUAUUAUUCUUAUUAAAAUUAACAACAAAAGUUAACAGAAUAUUGCACGCUCAAAUAUUUUUAAAAAAUAUGUCAUCUUCUUAAAAUUUGUUAAAAUACGUGUCAUCCAAAGGUAAUUGACCAUUUAUAUUAUUAUUAUUAUUAUUAUUAUUCCCAAAAAAUCAAUUUCCCUCACAAUAAUCUUUUCUUUUCGUAUACAUUAUACUAUUUAUGUUUUUAUAUAUUUACUAAAUCAAAUAUGUAGAAUUUAUCAUUUUCUUUGAACAAAAAAAUAGCAAGGUCACCUAAUUUAUUCUUAAAAUUAAAAUAAUCAAUAUCCAUUGCUUAAUCUUAAGUUUUAUGGAAAUUAUUCCAAUAAUAAUUCUUUAAAAUAUUCUUACCAAACACAUUUUUCUUUUUCUCAUUUUUGAGAUUAUUUUUGAAAAUGAUACCGAACACAUUUAUAAAUUUUAAAAAUAAAUUUAAAAAUAGCAUUUUUAUUUUCAUUUUUUGGGGUGAAAACAACGAUUAGAAAACAAUAAUGGGUUCUUGUUUAUCAUCCUUCAACAUAAAAACACAGUGUAAAUUGUUUAAUUUGGGUUUCUAGAGAAUUUUUUAUAUUACUAUUACUCAAAUUUUAUGCUUCCAAGCUUUUGAAUUUAUCUAAUCCUGCAGGCUGCAUCAAGAAUUAAUGAACAUAUGAUAAAAAAAUAUUUUUUUAUUCAGAACUAUAAAUAUUGAAAUAAAAAUAAAUAUCAUGUGAANNNNNNNNNNNNNNNNNNNNNNNNNNNNNNNNNNNNNNNNNNNNNNNNNNNNNNNNNNNNNNNNNNNNNNNNNNNNNNNNNNNNNNNNNNNNNNNNNNNNNNNNNNNNNNNNNNNNNNNNNNNNNNNNNNNNNNNNNNNNNNNNNNNNNNNNNNNNNNNNNNNNNNNNNNNNNNNNNNNNNNNNNNNNNNNNNNNNNNNNNNNNNNNNNNNNNNNNNNNNNNNNNNNNNNNNNNNNNNNNNNNNNNNNNNNNNNNNNNNNNNNNNNNNNNNNNNNNNNNNNNNNNNNNNNNNNNNNNNNNNNNNNNNNNNNNNNNNNNNNNNNNNNNNNNNNNNNNNNNNNNNNNNNNNNNNNNNNNNNNNNNNNNNNNNNNNNNNNNNNNNNNNNNNNNNNNNNNNNNNNNNNNNNNNNNNNNNNNNNNNNNNNNNNNNNNNNNNNNNNNNNNNNNNNNNNNNNNNNNNNNNNNNNNNNNNNNNNNNNNNNNNNNNNNNNNNNNNNNNNNNNNNNNNNNNNNNNNNNNNNNNNNNNNNNNNNNNNNNNNNNNNNNNNNNNNNNNNNNNNNNNNNNNNNNNNNNNNNNNNNNNNNNNNNNNNNNNNNNNNNNNNNNNNNNNNNNNNNNNNNNNNNNNNNNNNNNNNNNNNNNNNNNNNNNNNNNNNNNNNNNNNNNNNNNNNNNNNNNNNNNNNNNNNNNNNNNNNNNNNNNNNNNNNNNNNNNNNNNNNNNNNNNNNNNNNNNNNNNNNNNNNNNNNNNNNNNNNNNNNNNNNNNNNNNNNNNNNNNNNNNNNNNNNNNNNNNNNNNNNNNNNNNNNNNNNNNNNNNNNNNNNNNNNNNNNNNNNNNNNNNNNNNNNNNNNNNNNNNNNNNNNNNNNNNNNNNNNNNNNNNNNNNNNNNNNNNNNNNNNNNNNNNNNNNNNNNNNNNNNNNNNNNNNNNNNNNNNNNNNNNNNNNNNNNNNNNNNNNNNNNNNUAAUAAAUAUACUUCAAAAUUAUUAUAGAAAGGCCCGGAUCCAGUGGGGUUGUUUUGUAAAUUAUCCCAAUAAGAUUGCCUAGCCUUGUUAAAAAGCCACUUGUUAGAUUGAGGUUCCCGCCUAGAAACAACGCUUCCAUGUGUCUCAAAUUUGCUAAUCCUGCUCAGAAAACAUUAAAUUUUGAUCAAGACAAUUUACGUAUAUAUUUUAAGAGAUUAACGAGCCUAACAUGCAUUUCUGCUGGCAUGAAAUGUAUAUACCUUGCUUGAUUCUGGAACCUUCAAUGCAAUUGUAAUAAAGAUUCAAAGUGGUAAGUGAAGUUAGCGUAUUCAAAUAUGGUAAUAUGCUGUCGUCGAAGAAAUUGUCACAAAGAUUUAAGAUCUUCAGCUGCUUCAAGCUCCCAUUGCUAUCGUAAGCUGCAAAUGCAUAUGAAGUAUUAAUAUUAUAAUAUGCACGAGAAAUAUAUACAUAUACAUGUACCUUUGUUCUCAUAGAGGCCUUUAAGCCAAUUAUCAGAUAAGUCGAGGCUCUGCAAUUCUUUGAAAGAAUGAAACAGUGACAUAUUCAGAAGGGAAACUCCAUAAGAAUAAGAGUUAUAAUCAGAGAAGUUGAACAUUCUUGUCCCAUUGAGUGAGAGUUGCAUCACCCGGCGUGUGGUGGCGUUGCACUUAACUCCCUCCCAAUCAUCACAACAAUCAGACGACAUUCCAUCAUCAACCCAUGAAGUAAGAAUAGAGCCUUCAUAUUCCCUAUCACUGAUUGAUAUAAAGAAGCUCUUGAGUUCCAACAGAGUAGUCCUCUCUGUUUGCAAGCAUGCUUUGUAUCCAUGCAUUUCAUUCAUCAAAACAAUAAUCCAAAUUAGUGAAAUUAACGAGAACUUAACGAAGGAAGUACUUUCCAUUGCAAAGCAACUUUUCAAUUGGUCAAUAUAAAAUUUGCAAGGAGGAAACUUCAAUAUUUAUACUAAACAUUUAUCAUCGUGGACCUUGCAAUUUGAUUGGGUGAAGAUUACCAACCACCACCUAACGAAAAUGAAACAUCUCAGAGAUAUCAAGUAAUAAAAAUACUUGAUUAUCUUAUUUUUGUUUUAGAGGGUUAUUAAAGACAAAACGUUGUCAAUACAUUAUAACAUCGCUAUCUUGAAGUCUUUGUCUUUAGUGAAGACUUGUAAGCUUGAAAUUACAUAUAUAUUGCAGCAUCGACCCAGGAGAAAAAGAACUUCACUAAUACUCCGUGAAAAAUAAAAUUAAAGUUCACUGACUCUUGAAUUAAGCCAACAAACAAGCGAGUGCAAACUAUAUUUUCUCCAACAGUUUGAUGGAGAUAGUCGUAACUAAUAAAAUAAAAGUUGUGUGAAAGAGUGUAAAUAAUUUAUCCGUAUAUUUGGGUUUACAUUGGAUUAUCAGUUAAUCUAUUAAAUAAUAUGUUUUGUAAAGAAUUUGAUUGGAUGUUUGAUAAGUUUAAUUUAGUAGUUUAAUUACUCAUAAAAGUGUGAUGUACUCUAAAAUGACAAAUACAUAAAUGUUAUUUGAAGCUUUUGUGACCCUUCAUGUUCAUGCAUUUGAAUCAAAGCCAUUAAAAUCAAAUAUAUUGAUAAACCUUAAUAAGGAAAUUAAGUUUUGAUUGCUCUCAAUCUGCAACUCGACUACUAUUACAAUCACUUGAAAUGACAAAAACAGAAAUUUCAUAUGAACUUGGGACAGAUGUACACGGGUUCAAUUUAGCUAAUUUCCCAUAUAUUUACAACUACGGGGAAAAUUAAAGCUGAUUGACUUUCAAAUUAAGCAACAAACAAGCGGCUGUCCUACUAUUUUUCCUCUACCAAUUGACGGAGACCGCCGAUGCUAUAAAACAAAAAUUGAUUAAGAAUUCAGAUAAGGAAAAUUAUCAACUGUCCGUCCUAAGUUUAUCAUUUAUUCAUUUUUCGCCUUAAGUUUACAAUUCGUAUUAGUCAUCUACUAAAAAGAUAGAAUUACACUUAUGAAAUGACAAUACAUAAACAAAUAUAAAUGGCAAUAGUGGUAAUUUUGUAUGAAUUUUUCUGUUCUUUUGGUGGUUGGUUGAUACAAAUUAAAAACAUAAGAAGAAAAAUAAAUAAAUUCAAACUUUUAGUAUUUCUGAUAGCAGGUUAAACCAAAGGAGGAGGGCUUUACAAUUUCCCUUUAAAUAAUUUAAGGGUGUGAUUGCGUUUCUAUUGAACUGUAUGCUUGGAUUUGCAUUGAAUUAUCAAAAAAUCUAUGCAAGCAUCGAAUUGUAAUGACUGACGAAGACUUAUAAGGCUUGGACCAAUGAAGAAAAAUGCUUCAUUAAUGCUCCGUGGAAAACAAGCCAGUUUGGAAGCAGUUGAUCGGAUAGUCAACAGUUGAUUGAGAUAGUCAACUAAUAAAAUAAGCGUCGUUUGGGUUUGAAAUAAUCAAAUAAUUUAUUGAGAAGAGUUGAAUUCCGUUAUUUUAUUGAGAAGAGAUCCAUCACUCCCUCGCAAUUAUCACAGCAAUCAGACGACAUUCCUUCAUCAUCGUCAAACCAUGAACUAAGAGCUUCGUCAUCGUAUCCAAUAUCACUGGCUGAUAUGAAGAAGCUUUUGAUUUCUAACAGAGCAGUCCUCUCAGUUUCCAAGCAAGCUUUGCAUCCAUGCAUUUCAUCCAAAACGACAACCCAAAGUAGUGAGGUUAAUGAGAACUUAAUGAAGGAAGUACUUCCAUUGCAAAACAGCUUUUUAUUUGGCUAAAGUUAAAUGUGAAUUAAAUAUCUUUGACUGGUGAUAUACAUAUAUUCAGAGAUUUGAAGUGCUCAAACCAAAAAAAAAAUAAAAAAAUAAAAAAAUUAUUAUAAAAAAAUUGAUGAAUAAUAUAGUUCCAGGAAGUGCUAAUGUUUGAGGGAAGUACAUCGAGGAGACCAGACGUGAUGAGCAGGUGGUUGGUGGCAGGGUUCUGCGAGCAGGUGUAUCCUGCAAGAGCCAAAUAGCAGGGGAAUAGGAGCAGGAGUAUUCUGCUUGUCCACGAAUAUGCCAUUCGGGAGGCCGAACUCCUGUCAGAGGCAUAAGGUCACUCCUGCUAGGCAUGGAGGCGAGGAGACGCAAUCAACGACAGUUGGCAGGACGUGCAUUCGUAUCCGAGAGUUAAGGCACGAGGGUCAUCUCCAUUCGCCGACAAUGGCGGUAAUGGGGCGUCCACACCCGAGAGUGGGGAGAAUGACGGGCGUGGACUGCGGAAGAUCUGGAUUCAGAGGAAGCCUAUAAAAAGGUAACCAACGAAGGUAAAAGGGUUAGAAUUUUGGCUAUUUGAACUAAGAAAAGAGAACUCUAAGAACGGAGAUUACAGAAAAGCCAUAAGAUCUGUGGCAAGCGUUCCCAGAACCUUCACAUCUGACUUGAGCGUCGGAGGGUUUACGCCGGGAAAACAACCGGCGUGCUCUGACUCGUUUCUGUGAACGCAGGGAUACUUGGAGAAGAAAGCAUACGAGGAGAGAUCCUGAUCGAGGUGAGGUUGAUCGAGCAGAUAUCCUGGUCGUAGGACGAGCAUAACCAGAAUCUCGCAUCAACAUUUUGGCGCCGUCUGUGGGGAGCUGAGCAAAAAACUUCUGUUGAUAGCAAGAAGAGGAGUGAAGCAAGUGAAAAGUAAUGGAGACAGGAGGAAGUAGUGCACAAGGGGGUGAUAUGAGGCUGAACGAUUCCGUGACGCUGAGGGAGAUAGCCAGCGAAGCCAGGGAAAAAGCCAUGUUCGACCGGAUGGGACGGAUGGAAAAACAGAUGGAGACCCUGACAACCAUCCUGCAUGAGUUGCGGAGUGAACGAAGGGUAACCCAGAAGGAAAUGGUGAGAGGUGGUGGAGUGGCACCAGGUCCCGAUGGUACAAGGAGAAGUCAAACCGCCGAGAGACUUGGUGGUGAGAGAGGUAACAUACCUUUGCGGGGAGAAUUCCAUAGAGACGAAGAGCAAUCCCCGGCAAGACAGAUUUUUUACGAGGACGAUGGGGUGGCGAAUGCAGAAGAAACAGAGUUGAGGCAACACUUGCAUGAUGUAGAGCAAGAGAGGGAUCAAGUUGCAGCACGUGACCCUGGUCGUGCAGUGCAGCUGGAGGAGGAAGUGCGCAGACUAGCGCAGAUAAUUGACGAUAUGCAAGGAAGGAGCAGAGCUCCUGGUUGGAGGAUAAUGCUGGACGGAGAAUCACCGCUCGCAGCAGAUAUCAUGAGGGCAGUUAUUCCGAGAGAUUUUCCUCUCCCGGACCUUAGAUAUUCGGGACGAACUGAUCCGCUGGUGCACAUAGAUCGCUUCAAUGACAUAACGGGGGUACAAGGAUUAUCUCAGCCCCAAAGGUGCAGGGUGUUCCCACUAUCCCUGGAGGGACGUGCACGCGAGUGGUACAAGAAACUUCCUCGGGGCAGCAUUAAAACCUUCGAGCAGAUGUGCCAGGAAUUCGCAGAGCAGUUUAGUGGGGCAAUGGCACCAGAAGAUGACAUGAUGGAGCUGAAAAGCAUGAAACAGGGGGAGCAAGAAACCUUUCGGGAAUUCAUCAAGAGGUUUCAUCGUGCUGUCCUCGACUUGGGAGCCUUCAACCACCCUCAGGCAUUAAGGGGAUUGAAAGAAGGAGUGAAGAUAGGAAGGCUGUGGUACAACUUGAGAAGCCCAGCUAUCCAGACGUAUGCGGCCGCAUACGAGCAGGCUAAGAGAGAUAUUGAGAUUGAAGAGGAGAAGGCAGCACGAAUUAAGAUAGACCAGUUAGAAGGGUUGGGGAGGAAAGAGAAGAAAGCAUUACCGGGGAAUGGGCCGAUCAGGAGGAGGAACCACCAGGCCUCGGAUAGUGGAGCAGGAGGCCGGGUAAUUGCUUACCAGCCUCAUCAGAGGCCACCACAGUAUCAGCGCAGCAGGGCGCAGCCUCCUCGCUCCCCAGCUAGGGAGCCUUGGAGAGGGCAUGGUUCAUCAUAUGGUGGUCAUCAACACUCCCACGGUGGCAGAGGGAGCAGACCAGAGGUACUGCCACCGCACCCAACUCAGAACGGAGCAAACAGAGAAAGAGCAGUGAACCUGAUUGACCAGAACCGGGACUAUGGGCGGUACACUUCAUUGAAGAUGUCCCUGGCCGAGGUGUACGAGGCCAUAAAGGAUCGAGGGUUGCUAUACCUCCCGGCUCCAAUAACUAAGCUACCCAGCAGGAGGGACAGGGGACGCUAUUGUAAGUUCCAUGGCACUCAUGGCCACACCACAGCAGAUUGUAGAGAUCUUAAGACCCAGGUUGAAGAUUUGGUGAGAAAUCGGUAUCUGGACGAGUUUAUAGAUGGGACCAUCCCAAUGGUAGCCUCAACAAGUGAAGGGGAGCAGAGUGACAGGAACUUGAGACGCGAGCAGCCCGCAGUGAGGGUUAUAGCGGGGGGUCCGACAUUGGCCGGAGACUCCAAUAGGUCAAGGAAGAAUUAUGCUAGAUACGCCAUGACCAGCAAAGAGGUAUUCUUCAACACCCCAGCAGCCAAACAUGCAAGAGUCAGGCAAGUGCCAAUCAUGUGGACAGAUGAGGAUGAAGAAGGGAUCCUAUACCCCCACGAGGAUGCUUUGGUCAUCAAGGCCACUGUCGCUAGCAAGAAGUUUGACAGGAUACUGGCUGACACAGGGAGUUCAGUUGAUGUGUUGUUUAAGUCAACCCUGGAGGAGAUGGGAAUAGCAGACCUGAAGUUGGAUUACACCAAUACCUCCUUGAAGGGGUUUGGAGGAGGAAGGCUGGUCCCUCUGGGCGUGGUCGAGCUGCCUAUCACGAUUGGGAGCUCCCCGACAGAAAGGACAAUGAUACUGGACUUUGUGGUAGUGGAUGAGGAAGGUCCUUACCAGGUAAUCCUAGGUCGGCCAUUUCUGAGGAUGAGCAAAGCGGUGCUGUCCAACCAUUAUCUGGCUCUGAAGUACCGGGUGAAUGGGGUAGUUGGAGUGGUACGAGGAGACCAGAGGAUCGCAAGAAGCUGCUACUCCUCGGCGGCAAGGGAAACAAUGCAGAUAACAUCCCUCGAUACCCGAGUGGAAAACAAGAAUGGCAGACAAGAACCUGUAGAGGAUCUGGAAAUAGUAAGCCUGGGACCAGAGAAUCCAGGAAAGACGAUCAGAAUCAGGUCGAGACUUAAGGGAGAGCAAAAGCGGGAGUUGGUGAAAUGCUUACAGACUCAUGCAGAUGUGUUUGCUUGGACACAUGAAGACAUGCCAGGGAUUGACCCGGAGGUGGCAUGUCAUAAGCUGGCAGUAAAGAAAGGUGCUCAGGUAGUAAGGCAAAAGAGGAGGUGCUUCAACCAGGAGAGGUAUGAGGUUAUAAAUGGCGAGGUGGAGAAGCUCUUGAGAGCAGGGUUCAUUCGGGAAGUCAAUUACCCUGAAUGGAUAUCGAAUGUGGUGUUGGUAAGGAAGGCAAAUGGCAAAUGGAGGAUGUGUGUGGAUUUCACGGACCUUAAUAAGGCGUGCCCAAAAGACAGUUUCCCUUUACCGAAGAUCGAUCAGCUAGUAGAUUCAACGGCUGGACAUGGUCUGCUUAGCUUCAUGGACGCGUUCUCGGGAUACAACCAGAUUCCCAUGUACGAGCAGGAUGAGGAGAGUACGGCUUUCAUCACUAACCAGGGUUUGUUCUGUUACAGGGUAAUGCCAUUUGGUCUAAAAAAUGCUGGGGCCACCUAUCAGAGGCUGGUGAACAAAGUCUUUAAGCCGUUGAUUGGGAAAACUAUGGAGGUGUAAGUGGAUGACAUGAUCACCAAGUCCAAAAUCCCGAAGGAACACGUCAGACACCUCGAGGAGACAUUCGAGCUUUUGAGGUAGUAUAAGAUGAAGCUCAACCCGGAGAAGUGUGCCUUUGGGGUCGAGUCAGGGAAAUUCCUUGGAUUCAUGGUGAGCCAUAGGGGGAUUGAAGCAAAUCCCGAGAAAAUCCAGGCAAUUGUGCAGAUGAGGUCUCCCCGUAACCUGAAGGAGAUGCAGAGCCUCACGGGUAGGUUGGCGGCGUUGAGCAGAUUCAUAUGCAGGGCUACAGAUAAGUGUCAGCCAUUUUUUCAAGUGAUAAGGAGGGGAAAGAAAACAGAAUGGACACCAGAAUGCGAGGAAGCCUUUCAGAACUUGAAGCAAUACUUGCAGCAAGCUCCACUGCUGUCCACACCGAGGGAUGGGGACAAGUUAUAUCUGUAUUUGGCGGUAUCGGAUCGGACCGCCAGUUCCGUUCUAGUGAGGGAGGAAGAAGGAGUUCAGUAUCCGAUAUAUUACACCAGCAAGGCCCUGCUCGAUGCUGAGACCAGAUACCCACCGUUGGAGAAAUGGGCACUUGCCCUUGUGGUUGCUGCUCGGAAGUUGAGGCCAUAUUUUCAAGCAUUCCUAGUCUCGGUAAUAACAAACCAGCCGUUGCGUCAAACUCUGCACAAGCCAGAUGCUUCAGGUCGGCUCGUCAAGUGGGCUAUAGAGCUGAGCGAGUUCGACAUAGACUACAAACCCCGAGCAGCGAUAAAGGCUCAGGCAAUGGCCGAUUUCGUAGCAGAAUUUACAGAGCCUGAAGUAUGUUUAGACCAACGAGAUGUAGUUGCAGACAGUGGCGAAGCUCAAGUAUGGCAAAUGUCUGUAGAUGGGUCAUCAGGGGAGCAGGGAUCAGGAGCAGGGAUUGUAUUGGAAGGCCCGGAGGGGGAGGAGAUCUCUUAUGCUGUAAAGUUAGAGUUCGCAGCAACGAAUAACCAGGCAGAGUAUGAAGCCUUGAUAGCAGGGUUGGAACUGGCUAAGGCCGUGAGAGCAGAUAGAGUGAAAAUCAGAACUGAUUCCCAGCUGGUUGCGAAUCAUGUCAGUGAAAGAUUCCAACCGAGAGAGGAAAAGAUGGAGCAGUACCUGAAGAUAGUCAGGCAGAUGAUGGGAAAAUUCGAAGCGGUGGAGGUGGUACAAAUCCCUAGGGAGCAGAAUAGUCGAGCAGAUAUUUUGGCCAGGAUGGCAGCGGUAGCAGAUCCAAAGAUGCCAAAGUCGGUCCCUCUGGAGGUGAAGUCCAUCCCAAGCAUCGAGCAGAAUUUGGAGGUGCUGCGAAUAGAACAAAAAUGCUCGUGGAUGGAGCCGAUAGUUUCAUACCUUAGAGAUGGGGUACUACCACCAGAUAAGCUGCGAGCUCGGAAGAUUAGAGCCCAGGCCUCGAGAUACACGAUGAUUGAUGGGAUACUGUAUCGGCGAGGAUAUACACUGCCGUUCCUUCGAUGUUUGGACGAGGACGACGCGGAUUAUGUACUGAGAGAAGUACAUGAAGGAAUUUGCGGGAACCAUUCUGGUGGGAGAUCCCUGGCCCAUAAGGUUUGAAGGUAGGGAUAUUUCUGGCCGACAAUGCACCAGGAUGCACAGGAGAAGACCAGGAGCUGUGUAAGCUGCCAGAGUUUUGCAAAUUUCCCCAGCCAACCACCAGAGAAGCUCACUUCUAUGGUCUCCCCUUGGCCAUUUGCUCAAUGGGGAAUUGAUCUGAUUGGUCCACUGCCAAAGGGACGAGGAGCAGCAACGCAUGCCAUAAUUGCUAUAGAUUACUUCACAAAGUGGAUAGAGGUCGAAGCCCUUAGCAGAAUCAUAGAGAAGAAAACGACAGACUUUGUGUGGAGAAACCUGGUCUGUCGAUACGGGAUCCCAUAUGCCCUAAUAACGGAUAAUGGCAGGCAGUUCGAUAAUCACAGCUUCAGGGAUUUCUGCCAAAACCUCGGGAUAGAGCUGAAGUAUUGCUCGCCUGCUCACCCGCAAUCGAAUGGACAAGUAGAAGCAGCCAACAAGACCAUCAAGAGGCUUUUGAAAACCAGGCUUGGAGCAAAAAAGGGUGCAUGGGUUGAUGAGCUGUCAGGUGUGCUAUGGGCAUACAGAACAACCCACAAAACAGCAACUGGGGAGACACCGUUCGCCUUGGCUUUUGGACAUGAAGCGGUCGUGCCAGCUGAGAUAGGAACGACCACACAUCGGACAGACCAUUUUAAUGAGCAGGAGAACGACGAGCAGAUAUGUUUGAAUCUUGACCUGCUAACGGAAAAGAGGGAGCAAGCAGCCGAGCGAUCAGUCAUAUACCAGCAGAGGGUUGCCCGGUAUUAUAACCAGAAGGUGAACAUACGACAGUUCAAGGUCGGAGAUUGGGUGUUAAGGAGAGUGAAUCAUAACACCAAAGACUCGACUCAAGGAGUGCUCGGUCCGAAUUGGGAAGGGCCAUAUAGAGUCAAGCAGCUAGUUGGUCCGGGAGCUUACAAGCUGGUUCGCAUGGAUGGCCACGAGGUGAAGCGCCAAUGGAACGCAGCACAUCUCAGGAAAUAUUUCUAGUAAGAGUCAUUAAUAUUUUCAAGUUCUUUCUGUUCGUAUUUGCCGUUAUUUAUUUUAUGACCAAGCAAUUUCAUGUAAGUUGAAUAUUCCAAUUAAUGGAACGUCGAGGAAUUUCAGUCACUUGCAACCGACAAAAUUUCUAAGGCAUGCAAAGGCUCUUCAAGUCUCAAAGCCUGUUUAUGGCGAGACAGAAGCCAAGCGUGCCAGGGUCUGCUCGACCACGCGAAGGCGAGCAGAAUCCCCAAGCAUCGAAAAAAUUUCUAAGGCAUGUAAAGGCUCGUCAAGUCUCAAAGCCUGUUUAUGGCGAGACAGAAGCCAAGCGUGCCAGGGUCUGCUCGACCACGCAAAGGCGAGCAGAAUCCCCAAGCAUCGAAAAAAAAAAAUUUUUUUUAAGGCACGCAAAGGCUCGUAAAGUCUCAAAGUCUGUUUACGGCGAGACAGAAGCCAAGUGUACCAGGGUCUGCUCGACCGCGCGAAGGCGAGCAGAAUCUCAAGCAUCGAAGAAUUUUCCAAGGUAUGUGGCAAAACCACAUGCCAAGACGAGCAGAUUCUCAAACGGAAAAUAAGUCAUGAUUACAACACAAGAAAGUAAUCAAAAACAUCUUUGUUAAUUGUUAGUAAUUAAUAGAAGAGAUAAUCGUCACAAAAAUUGUUCAUUACAGUACAAGAUAUAUAUUAAGAAGAUGGUGGAUCAGUAAGCCGAGCAUCAUCGGUUGGCUGGACCUCCUCAGGUGCAGGGGGGGUAUCACCAGUAGCAUCCAGGGGGGUGCUCGCCUCGCCAACGGCAGCAGGGACUGCACGAGGAGGAGAGUUCUCCUCCUCAAUCACGAUCGGCUCUACCCCUUCAGCAUCUUCCUUGGCCGCUUCCUCAUCCAUAUGUUGAGCAACACCAGCUGCAAGGUCAUCCAUCUUCAGAUCAGGGUGUUGCUUCCCGAGGACGGCCAUGAUGCAACGAUAAGAAUGCCGAAGUCCCUGGUCGUACUGAUUGUCGGCCUCCUUCUCCAAGUUCUCGACCUGAGCUCGGUGGGAGUCGCGGAGAGAUUCGAGCUGGGCCUCAUACGUAGCCUUCUGCCUUUCCAGAUCCUCCUUGACCUUCGUAAGCUCCUCCUCGAGGGUAAUGGCCUUUGCUUGAGCAAGUGAUUCUUGCUCUAUCAGCUUCAGAUUCUCGAGAUUCAACUCCCUUGCUUUCUUCUCGGCCACGUCAGCUCUGGUCGUCGCCGAUUGAAUAUCUUCCUUCAUCUUCCGGUCGUAGCGGCUAACCUUAGCCUUGAAAUAGGUAGUCAUGCAACUGAGGUGGAAAGCGCUAUACUGCAUGGCCCCCACCAGCUCACCCAAGGUGCAGCCGUCAAAGUCCUCCAGGUCCUUUUUGCUCACGAGUUUAGAUAACUCAUUGAGGUAGGGGACCAAGUGUUCUGCUCGGCUGUCAGGUAAACGAGAUCGAGGCCCGACAGGAGGAGAAGAGGAAGCAGGAUCCGUGGCUGCUCCACUAGUCUCCCCAAUUUGGGCAGGAGCAGGAGGUAAAGUCUUCAAGGGAGAGACUUGCUGCACGAUGUUGGCCCGCUUUGCAGAAGGGGCGUCCUUGUUCUGGUCCUUCUUCGUGGUUUGAGGUCGAGAACGUUUCCUGUUCAGAGCCCCAAUCACAGCGUCCUCCAUCUUAUGGCCAGGUAGUAUCAAGCGAGACUCGAGCAAGUUGUAAGUAGUUAACAGCUCUCGGCUCGGGCAGGAAUUGACUAGCACAGCCUCAACCUGUUUGAGCUGACCAGGUUGGAGCGGGAAAUGAACACCCCAGGAAACUACAACACAAACGAGCAGAUUGGAAAUGGACACUUGGUUAGAGACAAGCCAAUAAAGCAAGAACAAUUAUGGAUACAAGACAUCUAAAGCGAGCAGGCAACCUGGGACCGUGAAACGGGGGGGGACCCGAUAAUCCUUCCCGUCCAUUUGUGCAACCUGACCCCAAGGACCCCCAGCAAAAAAGAACUUUCUCUUCCAAUUCCCUCCACCACCAGUAGGGAGGUCGGUUAUAGGUUUCCUAGUCUUGGUACUAGAUUAGAAAUAGUACCAGCCGGCAUCUUUGGGGCUGCUCUUUAGCUGGUACAGAUGCUUCACCUCAUCAAUUGUGGGCUCGCUUUGGCAACAUCUGUCCCACAAUAUGAACAGACCAGAGAGUACUCUCCAUCCGUUUGGGUUCAACUGACCAGGAGAUAGAUUCAGCCCGUUAAGUAUUCGGGCAAAGUAAGGUUGCAAGGGACACCUCAGCCCAUACUUAAAGCUAUCCAGAUACAGGGUAACGUAUCCCCUAGGAGGCCGGCUAGGAGCAUCCUUCUUUCCUGGGAUCUUAAGAGGUAUUUCACUAGGAAUACUAUACCUAAGCCGGAGGUCAUCGAGCUCAUCAAACGUGGUCGUGCACGUCAUAUAAUCAAUAGCGUAAUCCCGCGAUAGGGCUCUACCUCCUAUUGUACUCCUCUCUUCUGGUCGCGACGCUCCUGAUGGGGACACCUCACCAGAAUCAUCUCCUCGACCCUCACUCAAGGUGUUCUCCGACCUAGAAGAUCCCUCUUCAUCGCUAUUUCCGCUCGAGGAGGUUGUUUGGGGAGACAUCCUCCUAGCGCUAGGACCAACACUGGAUCUAAUGGGCUCUAAGGGGAUCCCGGGGUCAAAAGCAGGGUCGGUGAGCAAACUAGGCAGGAAGUCCAACUCAUCGUCGUCAACCUCAAUGACCUUCUCUUUACCUUUCGACAUUCCCUAAGCGCUAACCACAACACCACCACCAACUACUACCCGAACAAAAGAGAAGAGAAAUUAUCUACAACUAUCCGAAACCAAGGAGAUAGAAGAAGUACCUGAAGUAAUGUUUCAGUCGGUGAAAGACAGAGAUGGAGGCCUUUAUGCCGGAACUUCUUUGCCGGAGAGACAGAGACGGAGACGGAGUGGAUGAUGAGUUUUCUGUACGAAAGGAUUUGGGUUUCAUAAAAGGGAUGGACUUUUAGGUUGCCAGCAUUUAACAGUACCAAAUCCCAAGGGCCUCGUAACCGUUGGUUUAAAAUUCAAAUAAAGGGGCAGAUUUCUGCCACAUCACCUCGUCCGCAAUUAAAUGUGACAUGACUCCUGGCAGCCUUUUCCAGCCCCACGCGAACGAGAACCGUUGAGUUUCUACUGUUGGUCCAUUACAUUACCCAACACCUGAAACUGGGGGACCUGUGUUUGAGGGAAGUACAUCGAGGAGACCAGACGUGAUGAGCAGGUGGUUGGUGGCAGGGUUCUGCGAGCAGGUGUAUCCUGCAAGAGCCAAGUAGCAGGGGAAUAGGAGCAGGAGUAUUCUGCUUGUCCACGAAUAUGCCAUUCGGGAGGCCGAACUCCUGUCAGAGGCAUAAGGUCACUCCUGCUAGGCAUGGAGGCGAGGAGACGCAAUCAACGACAGUUGGCAGGACGUGCAUUCGUAUCCGAGAGUUAAGGCACGAGGGUCAUCUCCAUUCGCCGACAAUGGCGGUAAUGGGGCGUCCACACCCGAGAGUGGGGAGAAUGACGGGCGUGGACUGCGGAAGAUCUGGAUUCAGAGGAAGCCUAUAAAAAGGUAACCAACGAAGGUAAAAGGGUUAGAAUUUUGGCUAUUUGAACUAAGAAAAGAGAACUCUAAGAACGGAGAUUACAGAAAAGCCAUAAGAUCUGUGGCAAGCGUUCCCAGAACCUUCACAUCUGACUUGAGGGUCGGAGGGUUUACGCCGGGAAAACAACCGGCGUGCUCUGACUCGUUUCUGUGAACGCAGGGAUACUUGGAGAAGAAAGCAUACGAGGAGAGAUCCUGAUCGAGGUGAGGUUGAUCGAGCAGAUAUCCUGGUCGUAGGACGAGCAUAACCAGAAUCUCGCAUCAACAGCUAAUAUGGCUCUUUGAACUCUCUUUACAGUAUUGGUAGAAAUUUAUCCGAUGUGUACAAGGGCUUGUAUAUUUUGCAAUAAAAUAUACAAGCCAAUAUGAAUUUCUUUCUUUCUUUCUCUCUCUUUUUUUUUUUAAGAAACAUGAAUUGGUUCGUCCAUCAAUUAAUAAUAAAACCAUAAUGUACACCGGUAUGAGUUUAUCUAAAAUCACCGGCUACACCAAUAUCAUUGUGACAUAGGAAGCGAUGAGGAAAUUUACGAGAUAUUUAUUAAACCAUAGUCUACGCCAGUAAGAUGGAAUUAGCAUUCAAUGAUCAUAGACUUUCUGCAAUUUCAUUGACUUGUGAUCAGGGAGUCCUUAUUCUACGAUGAUUAUAAUCAAACACGCACACUGCAAGGCAACCUUCAAUUGACGUAUUCUGUCAACUAACUGGGGACAAGGGUCAUAAAAGGGUACGGGAGAGAAAGCAUGAGUCUAUGCACAGUUCCGGUUUUGCUAGUUGAUGGAACAUGGAGGAUGUGUGUUAAUGUUAACCAAUAGUCAAGUUUAUUGAAAAAAGUAAGUGAGAGAAUAUUACAUGUUGAUACAUGUUAUCUGAUUGUGACUUUAGUACCGUCCAAAGAAAUUGAAAUGUGAAAUAAUUGAAGAUGCAAAAUGGUUGAUUUCACGGGCCUGGCCUUUGGCAAAGUGAAAUGUUAGCCACACACUUUACCAGUCAAGUGUCAACAUUUGUAGCAUAAGGAAAUUGCGGCAUCUUAGCUGGAUUUUGAGGGUCGCUAUAGUGGGCUCACAAAUAUUUAACAUAAUUUUGAUAAUUACUUAAACCUCGUUUCCUUGAUAAUUAAAGAAAAAGAGAAGUGAAUGAAGUAAAAGAUAUUGAUGACCGUAAUUAUGCAAAUAAAUACAAGACUUUACAGUAGAUUAGACCACCAAUUGUGCUUUUUCGUCUAAUAAUAAUGCAUCUGCUUUAACAAGAUACGAGUGAACUCAGGCUUAUCUUUCUUUCGCAAUGUAAAUUCUUGCCAAAAAAUACAUGUUAUCUACUGGUGAAUUAGUUUGAUAAAAUAAAGGCUUAAAGUUUAGUUGAGUAAAAUGUUGACGUAAAGAAAUUAGCUACUGGAAAAUCACCAAAUGCUUGUUAAGGUAAUAUACAAUUGCAAUUGAACAUCAAGUGAUGGAAACAUCAAAAACCCCAUAAAAAAUUAAACAAAACCAGUUGCAAUGCGAAUAAACAAGUUUUCAGUUGAGAUGGCAGAACUAAUUCCUUCACAAUCAAGUGUGAUUUCUCAAUUUGUUCUAUUUGCCCAAAAAGACAUGGUCAAGUAUUUGAAAGCAUUUUUAUUUAGUUGACUAUUCGAGUUUGAAUUUAGAAUAAGAGGUUAAAAAAUAAGUUUUGUCUUUACUCACCCCCUUUAGAAAAAAAAUUUUAAUUUUUUAUCAAGCUGCCUUAAAUGCAUCAUGUGCAAAUCACGUGACAUCCUGAGUUACCAUAUAAUUUGGCUUUAUAAGUGUUUUCUGUUUCUGAAAACGAAAAAUAAUAAAAUGGAAAUGCCUUUAGCUUUUGGCUAGACAUUUUCAGAUACGUUUUUCGUGAUUAUUUCAAACUUCCAACAUACCACAAAUUAUUUUUAGAGCCCGCAUGUUGGAUUGUCUCAUUUAAGUUUCGCUUGGAUUUUUAGCACAUCAUUCAAAUAAGUUGCUAUCGUAUAUCUAGCUAGUUUUGAACAAAGUCAGUGAGAAUAUUACAUCUGCUUUAGCAAGAAAUGAGUGAAUUAAAACAUUUGACCAGAUUCAAGAGAGAAAAGAAUGUUGAAAUAUUGACUUGAAUAUUAUGGUAAAAUGAGUUUGACUUUAGUACCGACCAAAGAAAUAACUGAAGAUGCAAAUUAAUUGGUUAGUUUGAGGUGCAUGGCUAUUGGCAAAGUGAAAUGUUAGCUUCACACUUCACUUGUGAACGUACAACAACAUUUGCUGCAUAACGAAAUUGCAGCGUCUCAGCCGGAUUAUGAGAGUUGUUUUCAAAUCCCAUUUCUUUUCUUUGUAACCUUUUUUUUUUUUCCGCAGCUCACGUGAUCACCAUAAUUUUGAUAACUACUCAAACGCGUUUCCGCAAUAACUAACGAAAGGAAAAGCGAAUGAAUAAGCAAGAGAUACUGAUGACAGUAAUCAUGUAAAUGAAUACAAGGCUUUACAAUAGAUUAGACCGCCAAUUUGUGCCUUUUGAAUGCAUCUGCUUCAACAAGAUACCAGUGAAUUGAGGCAUAUCUUUCUUUCACAUGUAAUCUGCUGGUGAAAUAAUUUUUAUAAAACAUAGGCUUAAAGUUAAAGCUGAUUAAAAUAUUGGCGUACGUCAAGAACGCUACAGGGAACAUUCAACCGUGAGCUGCAGUCUGCAGUCCCCAACAAUCCGGGAAAAGGUUGAGGAGGCGCGCGCCUGCACAUUAAUUUGGGAGGUCUGAUGGGAUUUAUAAAUUAAAAUAAUGUAAUUUUAUAUAUUUUUUAAAUGAAAAAUUUGUUGAUGCCGCUGUGCGAUCCAUUGGAUCCUCGCGUGCUGGCCCCACAGAAGUUUCUCCCUAACAAUCUCCAUAAAAGCUCUUUAUAAUCCAUUUUUGAUAAAAGUAUACAUAUAUUUAUUCAAAUAUUAGUAAAAAUAUCUAUAAUGCUGAUUUUUAAAUUAUACUUAAUAGACAUUUAGACCGAGCUGUAAAUCUAUGAAUUCAAACUUCGACAAAUAAACCACAAAUUAUUUUGAUCCCGUAUGUUGGAUUGUCUCCUUUAAGGCUAUGUUUACUAAAGCGGAAUGAGAAUCGAAAUAGAGAAAUCAGAAUGAAUAACUUGUUUACUUAUUAAAUUGAUGAUAGGAAUGGGAAUAAGGUGAGUAGGCUCCAAGGUCUUGAAGAGGAAAGACCUUCCUUAUGUUCAAAAUUAACCCAAUUUGCUUUCUAACUUCCUUAUGUUCAUUGAUUCUUUUGUUGUGCAGUAGUGCCCAGUGUUCUUGAUAUCACAAUCAUCACCCCAUAUGAAUGACAAGUUGUUCUCAAGGUAUACAUUUAUACUUAUUAUUAAUACUUUCCUGUUUUGCCCUCACCAGCUAUGAUUAGCAUAUUGUUUUUUAAAACAUUAUAAAUAUAAAUGAAUUAUUAAUUAAUUAUCCUUUUUUUAUGUUUGAUUGAAAUUUGCUCAAAGGGCAUCUCCACUGACAAGAUACUUGAGUAAUCAAAGUCCUUGUUUAAUAAUAAUUAGCAUAGAAUUACUACUAACAGUGGGCACGAGUUGCAUUGGUUCAGAAUCAAAUUGAACCGAUAAUUUUUACAUAAAAUGUAAAAUUCAACGACUAAGUUUUAUUUUUUUCAAUUUUAAACCGUAAAUUCCUUUCUAUUUUGUGGGUUUUUUUUUUUUAGUUUUUGAUUGUUUUUAUACAAGCCAUUUGAUUAUUUUAAUUUUUUAAAACUGAAUCUAACCGCCGAUCCGAUUCAAAAUUUUCAAGAGUAACGGUUUUGCUCCAUCCAAAUUACCACGUACUUACUUACCAUCUGCCUCAGCGACGUGCUUGAGCGCCUGUGUCCGACACUUUUGAUAAUUCAUCUGUACCUUCAUCACAAUCUUCUGCUGCAAUAUUAUAUAUAAUUAUUAAAUCAGUUAAUAAUUAGUGCAUACAUGCAUUGACAUUACAUUAACUACAGCGAUCAAACAAUUAAAGAAAUUAAGAAGACGUACCUUCAUUUUCUUAAUUAAUUUCCGAUCGAUCAAGUAAGGAGCAAUUUUAUAAUCUGGAAUGAUGUUUACAAUUUGGAAAUUUGAAAAAAAAAAAAAAAACACUAACAGCAGAACUACACAUAUCAAAGACCAAUUGAGGACCGAGAUUGAAUGAUAGAGUAGAGGUUGUUACUCUAUCAUAGUAUAAGCAUUUUGGUAAUCCUUAACAUACGUGUUUUGCAGUAAUAAAAAGAAUAAUAUGUUAUCUAUUGCCGGUAUUGAUUUUAUGAUUGCAAAUUUGUCAUUUCCUGACGUCGGUGGCCGAAGUCUCAGCAUACAUCACUCGAGACAGAAGCUGAUUAUGAAGGAAUUAAAUGCCCAAGAUCUUGCGAUAUUGCAUCUUGUUCCUCCAACCCUGUGAUCAUCAUUCAUCAUAUGGCCGUAUUCAAGAUCUCAUUACUUUAGUACGAAAUUAAUAUAUUUCUCCAUGAUAGCAACUUCUUAAUUGUUAGCUGGACAGCUUCGGUAUUGUUUGUGCCACUGAUAAUUAGCAAAUUAAUCAAUACAUUAACAGUAACGUGGGAGUGUUCAUUGGCUUAUGUUUUACAAGAAAAAAGUAAUUAGAGCCUCGUUACAUCACAUCACCGAAAGAUGAUUUACUUAGCUUUGACUAACAAAAUGGAUUAACAAUGAUUCAUCUUCAGCCCCGUGUUUGCUCUACAAAUCGAUGUACGUAGUGACAGAUCUACUGUACGAAUUCAUCAAUAAUAUAUGAUUUCUUUUUGAUACCGACGUAUACCCAUAAGUGGUGUACUCUUAUUUAGAUGAAAAAUUUACUAAAAUAAAUCUGGGUUAAUGUAAUUUGGGUGACACAUUUUUCGAUAAAAUAUAAAAGAAGUGAUAAUUUUUUUUAAAAAAAAGGUAAUGGGAUGACAAAUUAUUAGUUUUAAUGAAAUUGGUUGUCUUAUGAUGAAAAUACGUUUUUGUCCCUGUAACCUUCUUUUAAUAUUACGAUAAUGUUCUUAAUUGCUUAUUUAUUUACAUCCCAUAUGAAAAAAAAAAAGAGAACAAAAUUCAACUCAUACAAAAAUAAUAUUAUUAAAAUAAAUUUAACAAUGUAUACAUUUUAAAAUAAUUUCCAUAUGCAUAUAUGCUUGGUGAUGUUACAAACAAUUAGUAUGAAGAAAUUCAAUUUGCAGCCGAAGUACACAGUUGGUUUGGAAUAGCCUGUCGGGGCUUAGUUGAUUGUUUUUCAAGUAAUUUUUUUUUUCGGUUGACCAUAGAAUUUAAAUCUAGGAGAGAGAGAAGACAAAAGUAUCAAUUUAGAUUUUACCUACUCACUCAUUUUAAAGAAAUAUUUGGGGAAAAAGAAAAUAAUGCAGUUGCUUCCACUAGAAAAAUUAGUAAAAUAAAUGGUGAUACAGAAUGUGCCAAAAUAAAAACAGAUGCAACAUGAUGCAUAUAUUUACACAUAUAAGCAAAAAUGCUCAUCAAGGCUAUCAUAACAUGAAGCAAUUUUGCCAAUUGACAUAUAAAAUAAAAACAGAUGCAACAUGAUACAUAUAUUUACAAUUUUGAGGCGAACAAACAAUAUAUGUAUUACAAAAUAUAUAUACUGAAACCAUGUUUGCUCAGAAUGGUUGAAGGUAGGUGAAGCUCUCUCGUGUCAAAUUUUCUGAAUUAGAAAAUCUCGGGGUUUUUAAUUAAAUACCCUUUAAUAGUUUCAAAAUUAUUUAAAUACCCCCUUCUUUUUUUAUUUUCAUGGAUACCCUAACAAAUGUGAGCAAAGUCGGAAAUACCCUUAAUGAAUGCAUCAAAUUCACUCAAUGAAUUGUCUUCAUAUUUCUUUCCUCAUUUCUUUUACCCAAAUCUAUUUUUGCUGCCGAUUCUUUCAAAAUCUCUUAAAAUCUCUCAAAAUCUCUCAUAACUUCUUACACAAAUACAAUUAUGUAUUCAUUUCUUUAACACCCACUCUUUCUUUAAAGGUGCAUUGCUUAUUAAACAACCCAAUAAGGUAUGUUAAUGUUGUUGGGUUUUAAAUUUUUUAUUUUUAGGAAAAUUUAAAAAUUUUCCUCACAUUACAAUGUUUUAUUUUCACCAUUUUUUCUUAUACGUAGAAAUAUAUGCAAUGUAGGUUGUUUAAUUAUUUUUUUCAGCAAUAUAACUUAUUUAUGGUGAAAAUGUUUCGAGUCAUGCAUUCUUUUGAUACCGUGUACGUCAUAUAGUUAGUCAUGUAGGUCGUGUAAGUAAUAUAGUCGUGUAAGUCGUGUAGGUCAUGUAAGAAAUAUAGUCGUGUAGGUCAUGUAAGAAAUAUAGUCGUGUAGGUCAUGUAAGAAAUAUAGUCGUGUAAGUAGUGUAAGUAAUAUAGUCGUGUAGGUCAUGUAGGUCAUGUAGUUACUUGUAUAUGAAAUUUAAUAUUAUUGUUUUUAUUGUAUCAUCAGAUAUGAUUUUGGUACGUGUGCCUAUUCUCUUCAAUGGUGAAUGGAUUGAGCAAAAUAACGAGUAUAAGUUCAAAGGUUCAAAGGCUAAAGGGAUAAUGAUACCACGAUCGACAACAUAUGCCGAAUUGGUGGAGAAGAUAGCUGAAGUUAUUGAUAUAGAUACUUCGGAAUUUGAAAUCACAAUGAAGUUCAAACUUAAGACAUCUGAUCCUAUGCCACCAGUUACAAUUCAAACCAAUGAUGAUGUGGAAUUUUUUUAUAUUCCAAUUUAAUUUCACUUCUUUUUUUUAAUAAUUUUCGUUGACAUUUUCUACAUAGCAGCAAAUAUAAAUUCUUAGCACAAAUUAAGUCUUUAAAGAACUAAAUUAAUCUAAUGAUUAAUGGAAAAAUUCGUGUAAUUUUAAAGUCGCAAUUAAACAUAUUACAGCCAUUUAAAAAGUUUUUUUUUUUUUUUAUCUUCAAAGUGCUUUCUUCCUUUGGCUAAGCAUACAAGCAUACAUGAGGAAUGCCUGCAUAUAAUUAAUCCAUGAAAUCAAUUAAGAAAAAAAAAAUAUCAACUAUAGGAAAUUAAUGUAAUGUUAUACACAUAAGAACACCAUUCGCAGUGAUAAAAUAUUUCCACUCAUAACUAGACAUAUCAUGACUUACCAUGGCUUAUAAUUGGAAAUUAAGAAUCUCUCUAACUAAUGACAUUUCACAAGGUAAAGGUAUAUGCACCAUUCCAAUUUAUUGUGAGCCUUAUUAAACUAAAUGUAAUGUGUAGAUUCUAUUGACAAGAAACAAAAUGUGGAAUUGAAGGUCGUGUAAUUGUGUAAUACAAGAAGAUCGUGUAAUUGUAUAAUACAUGAAGGUCGUAUAAAUGUGUAAUACAUGAAGGUCGUGUAAUCGUGCAAUACAUGAAUGUCGUGUAAUCGUGCAAUACAUGAAGGUCGUGUAAUACAUAACCUUACACGACCAAAUCUUGUGUUACAUAACAAAAUUAUAAUCAGCACAAUUCAUUAAUUUUUCACAAUUUGCAUGCAGCAAAACAACUAGAAAUUUGUUUUCGAACAUGUUAUGAGAGACCUACAACUAAUUAAUCUAUUUUUUCAAUAUAAAACCCUAACUUUUUAUUUUUUUCCCUUGAAUAUUAACUAGAAAACUAAUUACAUGGAAUUACUUGUCUCAACUAGUUAUAUUCUGACAAUUUUGUAGUAAAUGAUCAACUCUCUCCGGCGAUUAUGUAGUGACGAACUAUGCUUCACUUUCUCAGUUGUGGCAGCUUCCCCUUCUCAGGCUUAGUUUGCUCGUGUUGAAGUUCGAUUUACCAUGUAUGGAGAAUGAAUGUUUGUUUCAGUAGAGGUGAUGCCAGUGAGGGAAUUGCAGAGGUGAUGCCGGUGAGGGAAUUGCAGUGUUUGUUUGUUUGAGUUUGAUAAUGGAGGGAAUUGCAACAGAUGAGUGUUUGUUUGCUUCACUAGAGAAGGGAGAGGUGCUGUCCGUUGAGUUGAAAUGUUUUAAAAUGAGGAUAGCUUAGUAAUUUUCUAUCAGUUUUUAAAGGAUAUCGAUAAAAAUUUUGGCAAAAACAGAUUUUAGGGUAUUGAGAUAAUUUUUGAAGUAUGGAGGUGUACCGGGCGCAAUUGGCACGAAAAUCUCAUGCAUGUGGAUGUGGGUCUCAUUUUAUUUGUUAUUUUUAAAUAUUAACAUUUAGAUCUUUUUAGUUGUGCAUUCAUUGCCAUACUAUUUUAGUAAACUAUAUUCAUUUUAUUGUAUUUUUUUAAGAAUUUUUUAAUUCGAAAUAAUUUUUUUAAUAUUGUUGAAAAAGACAGGUUAAAGUAAAAAAAUUAUUGACUAAAUAAAUAAAUAAAUGACAUUAUUUUAUUUUUUAACAUUAAAAAAAAACCAAUUUGUUGUAGUCCACUUAGGAUGUGUUUGAGAAUGAGGUGUUAUAUUUUAAGCUGCUAAAGUAAAAAUUAUAGCUGUGGAGUAAAAAUUAAAAAAAAAAUCUGUUAAACUACCAAAAUCCAACUACAAAUAUUACCAAACACCGUAAAACCCAAUUAACUCACCACAUUACCAAACGUACCAAACGGCCUUAGUCCUGCAACACUUGGAACGUUACCAAGCUUUUUAGAGCUGUACAUUUUGGACUCAGCUGUCCUUGUCAUUUCAAGUAAAAGUUGAAGCUGUCUCAAAAGUAAAAUAAUAACGUGCAUUUAAGUAACUGGCCUAAACUUCAGAAAUUUCAGAAGUUACAGUAUACGCAGGUCACAUCUAGGGCCAUUAUUAUUUAUUAGUUUAAUCAUUAAAUGACAAAAUUUUGCCAAUCUUGAGGGGGCUACUUAAAAAUGCAAGCAUCUCGUCCCUUGCCUGCUUCAUAGAUGCUCUUACUCACCCCCCCCCCCCCGUCAUCUCACUUGUGCAAACCAAAGAAAAAAGAAAGAUUAUUAUUUUCCAUUUAUUACACAAAAAACAAUAAUUCCUUUUUAUUGCUCCAUGUUUAUUAUUUUAUUCUAUUUCUCCAGAAUCUCUCUUUAUCAAUUAAAUUUAUGAUAUAGAUAUUGAAGAUUUGCUUCAAUCAGAAAACUUGUUCAUAUUUCUGGUCAAUAUAAUACAUCCCUUAAAAGGUAAAAAUAGGGAAAAAAAAAAACAAGAAUGAUGAUUUUUUUUUUUUUGGUUUUGACUGUUCUAGACAAUAAAGAAAUAUUUUGAAAGGGUCGGAGAUUACAAUGAAUCUAUACACUUGUGGAAAUUUUUUUAAGGCAUAAAUAAGUGCAACUUGAGAGCAUUUUGUUUUUUGUUCCACUAUAUAUUUUUAUACAACUGCCGCCUUAGAUUGGGUGCAUCACUUCAUUAUAUAAUCAAUAAAAAUUAAUUAUAUAAAUGGAAUCAUUCUCUAUUAUAAUUAUUCGACUUCAUGAAGUAACAACUGAUGUUUUUUACCACAUUGUCAAAAGAGUUCAACUUUUAUUUGAGAAUACACCAUAUAAAAGAACAAAUAAAAAUAAAACAAGAGUACAACAUAGAAAAGAAAAAAAUAAAACAAGUUUUAGAAUUAGUAGAUUAGAAUUGUUAUAAGAAAGAGUUGUCCCUAUAACUUCAAUAAGCUAGCCAUGUUUCUUAAACUUGUUUUACUAGCCUUACCAAACUUUUUCUAGUUGAUAUUCAAUUUUUUUUAAUUUUUUUUUUCUAGUCAAGCAUACUUAAUUGAACAGUCAAUUCAACAUGAAAACGAUUUGUCGCUUUACGAUCCUAAUUUUUAACCAGCCGUAAAUUUUAAUCUAUUAAAAAAAAUUAGUUGGUGGAAAUGUAAACAGAAGCAAGAAGGUUAGAAUUAAUAACUUUAUCAUGAAUAAUUAAUAUAAUUAGAAUUUAAUAAAACUAUAUGUAAAAGCUUAUUUCAAGAGCGAAAAUUUUAUUUUUUAUCAUUUUUUAGUGCUUAUAAUUAUAAUUUAAUCUAGAAGUAUUUUAAUUAUAAAAAAUAUUUUUAAAAAUAAGUUUGACGAAUAGUUUAGUGCUUAUAAUUAUUUUCUACUUAUAAUUAAGUUAAUAUUUAAUAGAAAGAACUAAAAUAAUAAAAGCAAAAACCUUUGCCCGGCAAUUCCUUGUUAUUUACAUUUUUGGCGCUGUCCUUGACAGAGGACUACACCGAGGAAUCUCAGGCCGCGGCACACGUGCGGCGGCUUCUCGACAUCGUCGCGUGCACCACACGGUUCGCCAAGUCCAGAAACUCCCGAUUGCCGCCAUCGUCAGAGUCAUGUGCCAAAAAGAACGGCAGUAGGCCCCACCAGCCUUCACCAAACUCUGCCGCUCUGUCUGAUGGAGCAGCAACAGCAGCAGCAGAUAACCGAAGCGGGCCCCGCGCCACGUCAUCGCCAGUUUCAUCGGCGGUUUCUCCGAGUCUGGACAUGGCGGCCAUUCACCCGACGCCGAAACUCUCCGAGUUUUAUGACUUCUUCUCUUUCUCUCACCUCACUCCCCCCGUCUUAAGUAAGCGUAAUGUUCAUUUAUUUAUUUGUCUUCGUUUCUUACAUGGUUGAUCAAAAAAAAAGAAAAAAAAAGAAAGAGGAAAAUGAUAUAAAUAUAUGUGAUUUAUUUGAAUAUGAAAUUUGUUUAUUGAUUUUAAUUUUUAAUAAUUUUGAUUUUGAAGAUUUGAGAAAAUGUGAACGCAAAGAAGGAGACAAGUGCGACGGUGAUUAUUUUGAAAUUCAGGUGCCAUUUAAUAUAAAGUUCUGAUUAUUGUUGUUUGUUGUUUAUGGACUAAUUAAUUGUAGAGUUAUUCAACUUGUUAUUUUUGCUGAUGAAUUGGCCAAUGAGUGUUAAAGAUUUAAUAAUCAUUGUCUGCUAAUUAAUAAGAAUGCAUGGAUUAUUUUCAUGUCUUUGUAAGUAAUGUGAGUAUUUGAAAGUGCGGGAAACUGUAUUUUGUGCUUACAGAUAAAAAUCUGCAAUGGAAAGCUUAUACAAGUAGUUGCAUCAGUAAAAGGGUUCUAUACUUUGGGAAAGCAGUUUUUCCAAAGCAACUCCCUGGUGGAUCUUCUGCAAAAUCUCAGUCGAGCUUUUGCCAAUGUGGGUACUCAAUAGUUGAAUCUACAGAUUAUUUUUUUCUUUUUUAUCUGAAUGCAUCUUUUUUUCCUCCGUAAAUUCAAUUAGCUUACCCAUCAAUUGUUUUGUUAAUAAUUAUGGUCAUUAUGCGUGAUGCAGGCAUAUGAAUCCCUAAUGAAAGCUUUUGUUGAACAUAAUAAGGUAACAAUUUCUGUGCUGACAUAGUUUAUUACCAAUUCAAAUGUGAUUUUAACUUGAUUUUACUGAUAUAGUAUAUUCAAUAUCCUUCUUCAGUUUGGUAAUCUUCCCUAUGGAUUUCGAGCUAAUACAUGGCUUGUACCUCCAUCUGUUGCUGAGUCUCCAUCAAAUUUCCCUUGCCUACCGGCAGAAGAUGAGAAUUGGGGUGGCAAUGGCGGAGGCCAGGGAAGAGAUGGAGAACAUGAUUUACGACCAUGGGCGACGGAAUUUGCUAUACUGGCUAGGCUUCCUUGCAAAACUGAAGAGGAGAGGGUGGUUAGAGAUCGGAAGGCCUUUUUGCUUCAUAACCAAUUUGUUGAUGUCUCAAUUUUUAAAGCUGUUGGAGCAAUACGCCGUCUCAUUGGUUCAAAUUUACACACUCAAGAUACAAUCAAUGUCCAAAAGGGGGCAAUCUUGCAUGAAGAUCGUGUGGGAGACUUGUCCAUUACAGUAAAACGUGAUACAGUAGAUGCAAGCUUGAUGUCUGAGGUUACUAUUAAAGGAAAUCAGUCAUCUGGUAUGUCUGCUGCAGAAGUUGCUCAAAAGAAUUUACUAAAAGGUGUUACUGCAGAUGAGAGUGUAGUUGUUCACGUAAGUCGAUUUCUCCUUUACUUUUUAUGCUUAUGUUCACAGAACACACAUAAAAGACAUUCAUCAAAGCCGAAAUUACUUGCGUGGGCGGAAUAAUAUAGCUCUACCUUUGUCAGGGAGUGAUUUUUCAGUCGGAUUAGGAUGUUUCCCUCUUUAUCUGAUAUCUGGCAUUUGAUGAUGGCCUAAAAUACCCAUCCUCUUCACUCUCUCUUUCUACACAUUUAUGAAUGCACAAGAAAGUCAAUUUUAGGUUCUUUCGUGAGAAUCACUACUCAUUACUAACCUUAUAUAUCUGGUUUAGCUUCAUGAAUCUUAUGUUGCCUUUCUGUUUGGUGACUCCCUAUUCUGUUGAAAUCACUUGAUAGCAGGUCUUUCUACUGAUUUUAUCCAUAUCCCUCUGAUUUUCUGCUCGUAGUUUGAUCCAGCUUAAUGUCUUGGGGAAGCCUAUUAACCUUGGUUGGGCAUGCUUGUAUUAUAUCAACUAGUGGUGCAAUUGCUAAAGUUUUCAGCAUGGUAGAUCUUGAAAUAUCCAGAUUUAUUUUUGUCAAAAUAUCUAGAUUUAUCUUCCUUUUCUUUUUCCCUUUCUUUUAUUUUAGUUUCAAAGAUUUUGUGAUAAAGAGAACUGAAACAAUAUAGUUUUUGGCAGGAUACCUCCUCAUUGGGUACUGUCAUUGUAAGACACUGUGGAUACACCGCUGUAGUAAAGGUUGUUGGUGAUGUGAAGGAGAAGUUUGGCACACAAGAUAUUGAAAUUGAAGAUCAACCUGAUGGAGGAGCUAAUUCUCUUAAUAUUAACAGGUUUGAAAUUGUAACACAAUGCUUCCUCUGUCGAUUCGUCUUAGCACACAAAGACUAGGAAAUCUACAGAUGGAGAAUGGCUGUAAGAUAUGAAAAAUUAUCUUUCAACCACUAACAUUUUUAAGCUAUUCUGCAAGAUAUCUUAGACAUACUAACUGGUAUGAGCUUCUUUGCUUAGUGUCUAUCACAGUUGAAUUCAUGAUGCAGAGCAUUGUUAUUCUCUUUAUUUUUACCAGAUAGAACAGGAUUGAAAUGGUGGUGUUGGGGAUUCUUAAGGAUAGCACCUGCUCCUUUUUCUUUCUGUUUAGAUGGGAUCUAAUCAGUAGAUGUCUGAACUCUUAAGGGGAGUUGAUGUCAGAUUUCUAAACCAGGUUUUCUUCAAGUGUUAAGUUUAUGAAUAGGCCAAAGAAAAGAAAGCUGAUAUCUAGUUAGGGAUAUAUACUCCUCUUUCAGUAUCCUGUGGACCAGAAAAUGGCUUUUCCUAUAUUAAAAUAUGUGUGAGAUCCUUCACUGUAUGGGGAUGCUUCACCUCUGCAUAGUUGUAGACCACCUAAAUAAUAACGAGUGGUUGCAGGAAACAUUAAGUCAUGGCUUUCACAAUAAUGGUUGAGUGUUUAUAGUUAUGUGCCCUGACAUUGGUUUGUAAUUGUUAUAUUAACAAAAUAACCAACAGACAUCGUUGACGAUGUUCAAAUAAAGGAUAAAGGAAAGUAUAAUUACAGUGCAUGCUCAGUUGCUGAAAUAGGUCAUCAGCUUUUUAGAUUGUGCUAUUUCAGAAAGUAUUUAGGCCUUCUUUGGUGGAUUCUGCCUUUGUUUCAUAUACUCUUAUGUCUUUCUCCAUUUAAGUUGUUCUGACAGGGUAAACUAUUUAUUGCAGCUUAAGGCUUGUGCUUCAAAAGUCUUUCAGUGCUGAAUCAGCUAGAGGAGACCAGUCAACUCUGUGCAAUUUGGAUAAUUCAGAAGCUUUUAGAAGUCUUGUAAGAAGAGUUUUUAAACAGAGUUUAGCAAAGUUAGAGCUGGAGCCAACUGCUUCAGAAAGAUCUAUUAGAUGGGAACUUGGUUCUUGUUGGGUGCAGCAUCUACAAAAGCACGAAACUCCAACAGAUACCAAGUCAACGAGGUCUGGGGAUGAUAUUAAGACUGAACAUGCUGUCAAAGGUCUUGGGAAGCAAUUUAAAUUUUUGAAGAAGAGGGAGAACAUACCUAACCUUGUUGGUAGCAUUAAUGAGGCUAACGAAAAUGACAAUGGACCAGCAUGAAUAUGGGAGGUAAUGGUAGACAGCAAAGCAAUGGCGAGCUGAAUUGUGAGAUGGAAUUGAAAACACUAAUUUCUGAAGAAUCCUUCUUGCGAUUGAAAGAAACUGGCACUGGUCUUCAUUCAAAGGUUUCAGAAUCUCAAAUUUGUUUUGCAUUUCAACUGUAAAGUUUGCUACUUUUUGUGUUUUCAUUACGCUAAAUUUGGUUUGUUUUAUUUUCAUAUGGAAUGACUGGUAAAAUUAAUUUCUUGUGCAGGCAGUGGAUGAGCUUAUGAAAAUGGCAUACAAGUAUUUAUGAUGCGAGAACUAGUCAAGGUAUGCUUGCAGAACCUGCUGUACCUUCGGCUGCUGCUAGAGUUCCUUGUGGGCCAAGGUCGCCUCUCUAUUAUAGAAAUAAUUAUUCUUACAUUAUGAAACAUGGAUUUCCAAAAUACCACUCUUCCAUUAUGGAAAGAAACCUGUUGGGGCCUUCAAGAAUCAUGAACCCGCAUGCACCCGAGUUUGUGCCAAUGAGAGGUUGGCAAAUAAAUCCUGGAUAUGCAGAUUCAAAUGUUUCAAAUGGGUCGAACUCUUCAAAUGACACAAGUGAGGCAGACGAUGAGAAACUUGACAAAAUGUCCAGUAUUCAAGGCGAGGAUAAUACCUCAAGAAAGAGCAGUACAGAGGCGGAGAAGUCAGAGCUGGCAAGACAGAUACUACUUAGCUUCAUUGUAAAGUCAGUCCAGCAUAAUAUGGAUGCUCCAAGUCAAUCUUCAGGCUACGAAAAGAAGAUUGGGUAUUCAGAAAAUUCUUCAGAUGCAAUUGCAAAUGAUAGUGCUAUCAUAAAGAUCCUUUAUGGAAAUGAAAAGGGCAAAACAAA
rnacentral:lncRNA from 1 species